UCCAGCAACUUCUUUGGAAACAUCAUUCAACGUGGAGUCAUUUACAUCAAUGCCGGCAUUUUGUCGCAGUAAAGCCAAUCCUUCUUCUGGCGUUAGUGUACUAAGUGGAAUCUGUGUGUCACAACCCAAAGAAUCAAAAACUGACUUUUUGCGAGUGGUUAGAAGGAUUUUGCAACAAUUAUCUCUACCACCGACGGGAAUACCUAAUUUUUUCUCCGAGUCGAGUUGUUUCCAAAUAUCAUCAAGGAUUACGAGGAUUUUGCUGCUUUUACUCUCAGAAAACAUCAAGCGCAAUCGGUCUGCUCUCUCUUUUUCAUCUUUCUCAUUUAGUGCCCAGCCUAACGACUUUGCCAGCUCACCUUGAACCUUUAUUAUAUCUGGAUCCUGAGACACAGUGGCUAUCCCCACCUUAUCGAAAAUCUUUUGUUGCCGAAGUUGAUUGCCCACAGAUUUUGCCAAGGUCGUCUUUCCUACACCGCCGAGACCAUGCAAUCCCACCAUCUUUGUGCUGUCUUUUUUCAGUGCUUCAGUGAUCUGAUUACAAGCCGAUUCUGUAGUCUCGAAAGAAGAAAAAAAUCUUGGAAUAGGCAUUUCUGUGUCUGAUGGUAGAGGUUUAGGAAGGGCAACUGUGCUGAAUUUGCCGCGGUCUUGUAGAUCGGACGACUUGAGAGUCUCCUUUGAUGCUUUUCUACCCAUCCAAUAUCGGAAACCCCAAUUAGGACACCAUCCAUUAAAACAACUCUUCUUUUCAUCUAUCUCUGCUUUCAAAUUUCGGACAUCGGCCAUUUCUUCGACUACAUCCGCCAGCCACUUCUCUACAUCUUUCUCAACUACUACAGCGCAAUGUUUUUGUCGUUCUUCUUCUACUUUUUUGUUGAUGCCAUCUUGUGCCUCCUUCAAAUUAGUUUCUUUAUCCUCAAGUUCUUUAACAAUGCUGUUGAAACAGAACAGAUAGCGAGCUUGUUUUACGGUAGCAUCCACCAAUAAUUCUACAAGCUUUGAUCCAAUACCUGAUAAAAUUUCCAUGCUAUUUAUCUGCAAUUGACAAAGUUGAUCUCAGUACACUAUAAGCAAAACAACAAGGCUUGAUCACAAGAUCGAACGAUAAUGUUUAAUUACUUUUUUAUUGAAUGUUUAAUUACUUUCUUUUAUUCUAUGAAUGCACGUUUAUUAACGCCAGCUUUGAUCAAUAAGAGCAAAAUGCAAACGCCAGGCUUCAAGUAGCCUUUAGCUGCAAACAAAAGAGAAGAAAUAAGGCAAACGUGAUAGAUGGUGGAUUAUAUUGAAAUUAGAUUACUUUAGAAAUUUUUAAAUAAAAAUAUCAAACAACAAAUUUAAUAAUAGAAUCUAGAUAAAUCGAAGAGUUUGUUAUGCAUUGCGAGUGAAGACAGGCAGUUACAUGGGGGAAUCUUGUAAGAGUGAUGAAAAUUAAAAAGCCAUCCAUAAUUGAAGUUAAAAAGAGUAUUAGAGAUUAGAGGGGUUCAACAUCUUAUGCAAGCUCACUCAUGAUAAAAUUUGAAGAUAAUUAUCCCAUUUUUACUUCAAUCAAUAUUCUAAUACAAUAAUUCCAUAAAUCUCAAAUAGUAUCUUAAGAUUUUUUUUUUUCCUCAAAAUUACCAUUAAAAGUAAAACAAACAUGAAGCUAAGAGCCUAUGAAACAAUAAUAUCUCAUACCUUCUUUCUCAUAGAUCCUCAAUUACCCCUGAAAGCUCCGGUUAGAGAGUCGCACAAGCUCGGAGAAAAUUAAAAGCUGCAUCCAGCAAUAUAAAUAAACAUCAGAUCAAAACAACAAAGCAUAUAUCUAGCUAACUAAACAUCAUCUAUAACUCCUCGUUCUCAGUCAAAUCUUUCAUUCUUAGGAGAUAAAAAAAAGAUUGAAAUAAUAACUGUAACUGAUAUAGGAAGCAAAAGUAACAUACCAAAACGAGAGCGGCUAGCUCACAGAUCUGGUGACUUCCAAGAGCAUGAAAAAUGAUUGAGGUUUAAUAGCAAGUUCACAGAUGACAGAUGUGGUGACUUCAAGAGCAUGAAAAAUGAUAAAACUUUGGUAGAAAGGUCUGAGCCGUGUUUCACAAGUUGCUAUUGACUUCGUGGCUUCGCUUUUAUUUAUUAUUAUUAUUAUUUUUUUAAAUUCUAUAUCAGUGAGAAUUGAAAUGUGGAAAGUGAAAUGAUACACAUGCCUUAUCAUCUAUCAUGAGGGGUGAUUUGGUAAAACCGAUUUAAAAUAAAAAAAAGUUUAAAAAGAUGCUUUGUGUCUGACUGCUUGUAUUUGGGGUAUUUUUCGGGUUGUUGAGAGUGAGUUUAAUUAAAUAUAAGAUUUUCAUUUUUCUUAUUCUAUUUUUCUCUUUAGAAUGAAUUUAAAUCUCAUUCUUAUUAAAUCCAUUUUUUUAAAUGAAAGUAGAUUUCUCUCCACACAUUUGAGAUAUAUUUUAAAAUUAAUGUUCAGUAUAUCUCUAAAUUAUAUUAUAAAUAUUUUUAUUUAAAAUCUCAACAGAUUUCAUAACGUACAAAGAGAAAUACAUAUAUAUGUUGUAAUGUUUUAAUGAUGGAUCUCCAAAGUUAUCAAGUUAAAAAAUAAAUUAAAAAAUAAAAAAUACACACUUCAACUUAUUAUAUGAUAAAAUAUAAUAAAUUAAAGUGAGUAUUAUAUUUAUUUUUUAUUUUAUCUCUUAACUUAAUAACCUAAAAUAUAUUUAUUUAAUAAUGAUUAUAUAUAUAUCUAUAUAAUUUUUUUAAAAAAUAAACAAUUUAAGUGAAGCAAAGGACAUUUUAGAGGCAUUGCGAGACUACCAAUUUACCAUUUUGGGUUGCAAUAAAGUGAAAACUGUAGACUACCAAUCUACCAUUUUAUUGAAUCGGGUCCCGCUGACUUGGAGCUUAUGUAAAGUUACAUUCAUAACAAAUUGAUACUUGUCUUUAUUAUAAAUUAUUCUUUUAUUCAAAUAUACGUUCAUUUCUUCAAUCAAGUCCUCAUAUUUGUUCAAUUUAUGAUAAGAUCCUUGUAUGGGAGCAUAUCUGCAAAUGUAAUAAUUAUUCUUCUAUUUCAGAUAGUUUUUGUGAAAAAAUACUUUUAUCAAUUAUUUAUGUUUACUAAUUCUUAUGUCUUUUUUUAUUACUUUCCAUAGCUCUAUACAAAUGUUUGCUAUAGAAUUUGUGUUAUUUCGCUAUAAUAUAAUUUAUAUUGUAAACCUCUGUUCAUCUGUAAAUAAAAUGACAAUUUUUUUGUUUACUCCUAAAAAAUAUGAAAAUAUUAAUUUACUCUCAUAUUUAUUUAGAAGACAAUGGCAAAUAAGGUCGCAUUGAUAAUUUUUUUUAUUUACUUAUUAAUUAAUUAGAGUAAAUUAAUAUUUUCAUAAUGAGAGAUACAUUGAAGAUUGUCAUUCUUAGUAGAGGGUAAAUUAAAGUUUAUCUAAUUAAUUUAAAAUAUCAUUAAAAUUUAACAUUCUAAUCUGGAUUAGAUUUCUGGGGGGGAGGGAGGGGAACGUCCUUAUUCGGAUUAGACUCAGCUGGAAGAGGCACAUCCUUAGCUGGAUCAAUUUGUUCAAGAUUGGAUGCAUCCAUCGGUUUCAAAUUUGUCUCUUGUAAGCAUCAUCGGAUUUCUUUACUAAAAUUUAGAUUAUCAAUCACAUCUAAAACUUAUUGAAUGAUACAUUUCAUUUCUAUAAAAUUGAGUUACUAUUACCACCUCACAUCUUAUAAAUUCUAGAAAAUAAUCAAGGCUUGACAUACUUUUAUUUAUGCAAAAGCAUAAGAAAAUAAUUCAAAGUACUAAUUAGUGCAGUAUUACUCAAAAUUCUAGAAUAGAUUUGCUAGUUCUCUUUAGCCAUAGAUUGGUCCAUGAUUGGCACCGCAAUAGCUCAGAAUCACCUCAACGAUUGUUCCACACAGCCCAACAUGACACACUGUAAACUAGUCUAACAUGAACUUUCUGAGUGGCUUUCUAACAAUAGUCUUAGAGAAAGUGUUUAGUAGUAUGAAGUCUUCUUUUUUUAACAUAAAUGUUGGCAUGAUAUUCUUAAUAUAUUUCUAAAAUCAAAAUAAGAUGCAUAGAGGACGAUGAUAAUUUUAUUUCAUAAUUGAAUUUUUUGCAAAGAAAGUUUGAACAUGAGAGUGAUGAGAGAUGAGAAUAUUGAUGAUGGUGUGUACUUUAGAUGUAAAAAUAGAUUGGAAAUAUAUAUAGACAUAUUAAAAGAAAAAAAUUUGGUCUAUUUCAUAAGAGAAACAAAAAAUUAUAAACGCGGGUGUUAAAAUAUAUUCAGAAUUUAUAAAUUUUUAUAAAUAUGAUAAUCAUUAGACCCUUAUAAAAGUAUAGCAAAAAGUUUAAAUUUUUUUAAUAAAUAUCGAAGAGAUGGACGAAGAAACCAUCCACCAGUUCAGAAUUAAUAAUCAAAGAUAUGAUGACUUGAUUGAAGAAAUGGUGAAAAAUAAAAGGACAGUAGGACACUGGGUUGGUUGGCAGGACCCUAAUAUUAAUGGUUAAAAAUAAAAGGACACUGGGUUGGUAUCAAUUUCUACCGUGUAGGUUCAUAGCCGGGGAAGUAAUUGGGCACAAAUAUCUCGGAUGAGAAAUAACCAUUUUAUCCCGCAACCAUAUGUUUAUGGCCUCUAAAAAUUUUCACCUCUUUCACUUCUGGAACCCGUGGUUUCUGGCACAUGCACAAUACUUGGUUGCUACUUAUAGAGCGUUUUUAGAAUUGCAAUAUAAUCUACAGCUGGUUGUUGACAUUACACUGCGGGUGUGUAAUUAUUACAUAUGCAGAUAUUCUCCCAUGCGAGGAUCUUAUCAUAAAUUUAAAGGAUACGAGGACUUGAUUGAAGAAAUGAACGAAUAUUUGAAUAAAAAAAAAUUUUAAAAUAAAGACAAGUAUUAAUUUACUAUGAAUGCAACUUACAUAAGUUAGCGGGACAAUAUUGAAUCACACGCAAAAAACAAUCUGUCUUCUUCUUGAUUUCGUAAUUUAGCUGUCAAAAUAUAAUCUAUAAAGAUUACGAUACCUCGAUUCAAAAAAUGAUGUAUCUGAUGAAAUAAAUGAAAAUUGAACGUACAAUCUACCACGAACACUAUUCAAUUAACCGUUUAUUUCCCCUUAAAUUUUUAAUUUCAAUGAAACAUAGAUCUAAUGGGAACUACAUAUAUAUAAAAAUACUAUAGAUUGAAGAAGUUGAAUUUUUCUUGUGUGUUAAGUAUUUUUAGUUAAUACAAAAGGAUUCUAGCAAGUUAAUACAAAAGUAUCAUAAAUUCAUAGUAGUACAAGAGAUUUUUUUUUUUCUUUGAUGUUAAGAGUUUUGGAGAUAAAAAAAAAUAUAUAUAGGUGAAAGAAGAAGAUGAGAGAAGAGAAAAUAUUAAGAAUAGUUUUGGAAUUUUGAUGCGUUUUAUAGAGUAAAAUCUAUAUUUUAUAGUAUAAAAUGAUAUACCCAAAAUUUAAUGAUAAAAUUUUAAGAAAAAAUUGCACUCGUCAAAAAAAAAAAAAGCUCAGCUUAGCCCAAAAUUUUUUUAUUAAUCAUCUAGUCACUAAUGUAAUCUCUUUUUUAUGAGAUUCUUGAGCAUUUUAAUUUAGUCCAUUGUUAGCUAUCCUAAUAGCUUUUAUGUGCAUCUAUUUUUAUUUGAAAUAUGUUUCAAGCUUGAAUAAAAUCUGCGGGACAACUGGUAAGUAAUAAAGCUCAUUAAUUUUUUAUUUUGAAAAUAAAGGGAAUCACUUACACUUAGCAUGAUAUUAUUUUUGAUAAGUCAUUUUUUUGGUAGAUUAUUUUUUCUGACACGCUCUUAGAUUUAGUGAAAAUAAAUUGUAUACUUUAAACGAAGAAAAGUAAAGAUCAACCAAAUAUUUUGUUCUUUCCGACAACUUUUGCGUUCUCAAGUGCGCCUGAUACCCUUUUUUUUUUAACAUGAGCCCACGUGCCAUUGUUUCCAUUUCAAGUUCAUAAUUUAACAGUAGAAAUGGGUUCCACAGAUACUUUAUUUUAUAAUUUUUUAAAAAAUUACCAAAAUAUAAUAAAUAAGGUAAUAAUAAUUAAUAAAAAAGUAGAUUUUAAGAUGGAAAAAUCUUUUUGUGUGCUUAAUAAAAAGAUGAUAAGAAUGGGAUGCUUUUAGUUAAUUGGUUUACAUUCUCAUGGUUAUUUAUACUGAAAAAUUACAUCAAAAUUUAAUUAAUAAAUCAGUGAACUGCAGACUUAUUAAAUUUAAGCUAUUUUAAUAAGUCAUAAAUAUACUAAGUUAAAAUAGUAGUAAACCCAUUGUUACACAAUACUCUCCAUUGAGUGUUCACCAUUUUAAGAUAAUCAUAAAAUGACACCGGAAGUGCUAUUAUAGCUGUCUCAUGGAAAGCCUUCACCAAUAAAAAGGAGGAUAGAGCACAUACAUCCAGUUUUUAUACCCUUUGAUGCUCAGUCGACACGUGCCAAUGCUAUAGACUAUCGGAUAAUCUACUAAGGUGACGCAUGCCAAUGCUAUAGACUAGCUUUUCAAAGGUUGAACUGGGAAUACUUUUAGUAAAAAGACCUGCAAAAUCAUAGUGUACCUAUUUGACAUCAACUUUUUUUAUCUGCUGGAGCUUAUGAUUAUAGAAGAUCUUCGGUAAGAUGUGUUUGAUAUUAGAAAAUCUCCUUUUAUAUAUCCUCUUCUAACUUGUGUAAUAGUAGUAAACCCCUGCCCCUCUUUAUUUCGUUUAGUAUUUUCUAAAUGGCCGAAGGAAAAUUGGUAAAAACUCAUUUAAAAAUUAAAAAAUCAAAGAAACUCAAGAAGAAGCUUUUGUAUCUGCCAUUUGUAUUUGGGGUAUUUUUUUGGUUGUUAAGUGAAUAAGCUUAAAUCUAAAACAUUUAUUUAUAUAUUUCUUGUUGGAAAGAAUUUAAAUUUUAUUCUUAUUAGACUUAUUCUCUCUAAACAAAGGUAGAUUUUUCUCUAUGUGUUUAACGUGUAUUUUAAAAUUAAUGUUCAACAUAUCUUUAGAUUCUAUUAUAAAUAUUCAUAUCUAAAAUCUCAACAGAUUUCAUAAUAUAUAAAUAUAUAUAAAGAGAGAGAAUAACGUUUAUAAUAAGAAAUUUAUUAAGUUAAAGAAUAAUUCAAAAGAUAAAAUAACACACUCUAAUAUAUUAUAUAAUAAAAUAUACUAUAUUAAAAUAUAUAUUUUGUUUACUUUUUUUAAUAUAUCUCUUAAUAACUUAAGAAAUCCUUUGUUUAACACACACUCUCUCUCUCUAUAUAUAUAUAUAGAGAGAGAGAAAUGUUCGCGGAAAACCUUUAAAACCACAUGAUUUUAAAUAUUUAAACUUUAAGAACCGAUGAACAAUUUUUGACAAAGACGUUGCGACCUAAGUAGGGAUAGCAACUAAAUUCGGAUCCAACUCCGCAUGUAAGGAUCCGAAAGAUCCAGAUCCAGAAAAUUUUUAUCUGAAUAUUAAAAAAUGUUGAUCCGAAUAUAGAAAUUUGGGAUCUGCACGGAUUGGGAUGGAAGUACAUUCGGAAAAUUGGAUAUCGAGAUCUGGAUAAAUUUUGUUUCAAAUUAAAAAUUAAAUUAAAAAUUAAAUGAAAAAUUAAAAAAGUAAAUUUUAUUUGUGGAUUUAUGAUGUUGUUGUAUAUUAUUCAUGUUGAAUUAUUAAUUGUUGGAUUAUGAUUGAAUUUUGUUUGAAAUUAUUGGGUAAAUUUUUUAAUUUUAUUUUAAAUUAAAAAUAUUUAUUAAAAUUAAAUAAAAAUAAAACAUUAAAUUUUAUUUGUAAAUUUAUGAGAUUAUUGUAUGUUAUUCAUUUUGAAUUAUGAUUAAAUUUUAUUUGAUAUUAUUAGGUAAAUUAUUAAACUUUCAAAUUAUAUAUUAAAUUAUUUAAUUUUAAUUUUUUGCGGAUCCGAAUAUCUAGAAUAUCUGUCCGCAUCCGGAUCUACAUAUUUUUUUAUGAAUCCAGAUAUAAGAAUAUGAAUGCGGAUCCAAAUUCGGAUUUUGCCAACCCUAGACCUAAAAUGUUGUGACUUGUCUGUUCUACUUCAAUAUUAAGCACAAAUUCUCUGUCAACAUGUCUGUUCUACUUCAAUAUUAAGCACAUUCAUAGCGGUAUCAAAAUGUUGUGACUUGUGACUACCCAAAAUCCCCAGAAAGAGUGAGAGAUUUCACUGAAGCUAAGUUGUGACUUGUGACUACCCAAAUGUUCUAUAACACGAUAUGAUUAUUCUAGUAACACAAAUCCAAUAGCAUGCAACAUAAUCUACUCUCUAACAUUGUGCAUUAGUAAAAUAAAACAGAGUAAAAAGAGAAACCAUGCCUGUGAAUCUCUUCUUUUCCCCCUGCCACCCCUUUUUUCGGUGAAGUCCAUCAAAUGAAAAUGCAGCAUGACCACGUUGGCCACUGCCACUGCCAUUGCUUCUUCAACUGUGCCUUUUGUUGCAUGAAAUAUUCAAUUGAAAGAUGGUUUAUAUAAUUCAAGAUUCCAAUAGACCUGAGCUGCAAAGGUUGCCUUCCACUAGCCUAUCAGAGAAUAUGCUUUCUAUUUUCCUAGUUUUUUAAUCAAAAUUUUGCAAGAUUUAUUUAUGGAAUACUUGAACAAAAUUUUAUGUAAGAUACCAUAAAGCCAAAUGCAAUCUUUUUAAUCCUCAGCAGCAACAUUUAAAGUAAAAAAAUGGAAGCCAUAUAAAUAUAACUAUGUUUGGUACAAGCAACAAUUAUUUCAAGCUUUCAGAAAUGCUAGCAAGAGAUUGUAAGAGAACUUUACCUAGUCACAGAAUAUGUCAAACAUACUACCACCAACUGUCUUCAGCACGAUUGUUAUGAAGUCGCUUUUGAAUCGGAAGAUUCCAGCUUCCACCAGGCACCAUUAUUUUCAUUCUUGAUACUAUCUGCAUCACUGGCAUUAGUUAUAUCAUCAACUUUUGCAUCCUCACUCUCAUCAUCCCAAUCAAGGCUUCUUCUCCAGCUCUGGAUUAUAAGUCCACUCCGACAUCUUCAAACAUCUCGGUCCUUCCAUUUGCCAACAACCGAUAUGGCUUCCUUCCUUGCCUUCCCCAUUAAUAUAUCACUCGAAGGAAAAAUAGCCCCCACAAAAAGGGUCUUCAGACACCGCAACUUUGCCUUCUGCAAAACCUCCACAAAAUCUGAAUUAUCCAACACAACAGCCAGACACUCAAUCCUUCUUUUGUCCAUCUUAUCCACCGUAUGAUUCCUCAACAAAAUAUCUACAGCUUGUGGCUUAUCUAACACUGUCUUGAUCCAAAACCCCGCUCUUUUCAACUCAUCUGCCAAACCAUAACCCACUUUUGGAGUCAAAAUUGUCCUUGCAGCCCUUUUAUAUUUUUCCAUCUCCAUCGAAUACUUGCCACUCAAAUGGAAUUACCAGACAGGAAUCCCAGUAACAAGUCCACUCAACUUCUUCUCAUCUGAUCCCUCUUUCACUCUGGCGGAAACAUUAAUAACCAUUCACCAGCCACAAAUUACCCAAGUAAGUACUCGUGUCGUCAACACUUACCCUUCACUUCAUCGACGCAAACAAGAAUUCAAAUUGCUUAUUAGCUAGUGCUCGAGCGAAAGCCAAAAUAAAUUAAAUAUGUGUGUGUGUGUGUGUUAAAAGAGAAACGGUAGCGAAGUUAUUAUACAAUCAAGCAAACAAAAAUAAAUUCUACCCUCAUGUGGGUGUUUCGCUCGCAAAAUCUGGACAAGAAAAAAUAAUAUUGAUACAAUCUCCAAAUAAAGAGCAUUCCUCUUGGUAAAAUAGACAAAUCCUAUAAAUUUUGAUUAAUGGUGCCAAAUGAAAGAGUUGUAAUUUCAUGUACAUUUUGUUAACAUGAAUAAGGGUACAAAAUAGAUAACAAAGUGACAAAAACAAGGCUAAUCACAAUGGAUGAUAAGGUUUAGAGUAAACAUAAAGUUAUAAUCUUGAACAUAAGUGGCGCUCAAAGCCAUGAAUUUGAUAUCAUCAACAAGGGGAGUUCAAACAACGGCAUGUAAGAAGCAACAACUGUUGAGAAAAAAAAAAUUCAUAGUAACACGAGAAUAAAUUGUAAAGAAAUCCCAGUUUGUAUAAAAGAAAGAAAACAAAAUUAAGGAAAACAUAAACACAACAAAAUUUGACUGAUUAUUAAAAAUGAGAAAUGAGUUAUAAUGAGAAUUUUGGCUUUGUGGUGAAAUAAAUUGGGAAGUAUCCAAAAUUCGCAUGUAAAUAAUAUAAAUGAUAAGAAGACGAAGGGAACAAAAUGAUAAUAAGCAAGCCAAAUAUUAAAAUGUAUUACACCUCCUAAAGUCAUGUUAAGAUAGUUAGUGAGCUGAUAAAGUUUGUUGCACGUUUGAGUUGGUUUUUUUUCUUUUUAAAAGAAAGUAACCAACCCUUUCAUUAAUCACAAGAACUUGAGUACAUCGUAUAAUUCAGUUAGAAUAUUUUCCAGCCACAUAAAGGGAGAGUUUUUCUCCAAAACUAUCUUAUUUAAGUAAUGGGCACAUGCAUUACAAUGUCUUAGAAUGUGAUUGACAACAACUUUUUGGAAGUUUUUCAUCUGGUUUUGGAUUGCCAGAAUUGUCCAAAAAAAUUUUGAUCUGUUGCCCUUGGUGUUGUUCACUAGCUGGACCACCUCUAAGCAAUCUGACUCAAUGAUCAAAGAGGUUACAUCCGCACUUCUUGCCAGCUGAAGGCCCCAAAGCACAGCCUCUACUUCAGCCAAGCUUACUGACCCCUUUAGGAGGUUCUGAUUAAUCCCAGCUGCAACUAUCUUACCAUUAGAGUCUCUAAUCACAGCUCACACUCCUUCACUCAGAUUCUUUGAAUUAAUAGCAGCAUCCACGUUAACUUUGAAAACAUUCUCAGGGAGGAGCCACUCCUGAUGCUUCUCUUUUCUGUGGAGAGAGAUAUGAGCUUGCUCGGGCUUCUUAACUCUCUGAAAUGCUAUCAACACAGAUUCCACUUUAGCAGCUGAGAUAAUAGGAUUAAUCUCCCUGCCAUCGAAAAUACAUUUGUUCCUAGCCUACCAAGCAGACCAACACAGAGCUACCAUUAAUUCCAAAUCUGUUUUCCUCAGCUCCUUAGCCAUUCUUUGAAGAGUGCUGAAGAUGUCCUAAGAAUUAGCUUCUAAGUUAUGGGCUGUAAAAGGGGACUGGAGCCAAAUCUUUCUCGCAACCUUGCACUCCAAGAGGGCAUGGCUGAUAGUCUCUACACUUAUUUUGCAUCGCUUACAAGUUGGCUCCUCCACUAACUUCCUUUUCCACAAAUUUUCCACCGAUGGAAGCAGAUUAUUUGAGACCCUCCACAUGAAGAUUUUAAGCUUCUCAGGUAGCUCCAGUGACCAAAGGGCACUCCAGUACUGGUUGGAAGCCUCUGAGCAGCUGGUAGAAUCUGAAAAUUUCGUUCUCAAUGCUAGUUGGUACCCACUCUUGACAGAGUGGUUCCCUCUUUUGCCGUAAUGCCAAAGCACUUCAUCUUCCGUUUGCUCAGCUGGGAGGGAAAUCUUGAGGAUCUCUGCUGUGUCUGCAUCCAUGAAGUGCUGUCGUGGCUUGAUUUCAUCCUAUUGGUUGUUAGCCUUAAUUAAGUCUACAACAACUGAGUUUACAGGCAAUGAUGGAAAAUAGAUCUGAAGGUCUCUGGUCUUGGCAGCCAAUUGUACGAGAAAAUUGCUAUCUUCUUGCCAUUACCUAUAUGCCACUCAGGCCCUUCUUAAUCACUUGCCUACCUCAAAGGAUGCUUCUCCAAAUAUACGAGGCAUUGGCUCCUGCUUCUGCACAUAAAAAGCUGGAUUUCCUGUAAUAUCUUGCUUGAAGGACUCUUGAGACUAGGGAAUUUAGGUACUGCAAUAACCUCCAUGCUUGCUUAGCUACCAAUGCUUGAUUGAAACAAGUAAACUCUCGAAAUCCCAGCCCCCUCUAAUCUUUGCUUGGCUAAGCUUCUCCCAUUUCCGCCAAUGGAUUCCGCGCUUAUCCCCUUUCGAGCCCCACUAGAACUUCACUAUAGCUCAUUGAAUAUCAUCACAAAGGCCUUUUGGGAGCUUGAAAACACUCAUUGCAUACACUGGAAUUGCUUGGGCUGCCGCUUUGAUCAGAAUUUCCUUCCCCCCACUAGACAACAUUUUAUGCUGCCAUCCUGCAAUCUUGUUCAACACUUUCAGUUUGAUGUCAUUAAAGAACCCCAUCUUCUUCCUCCCAAUCAUUGAUAGAAGACCGAGGUAUUUCUUGUGCUUUGAGACCACAUUUAGAUUAAAGAUACCCCUUAUAGCAGCCCUUUGAUGCUCUAGAAUUUUGCCACUGAAGAACAAUGAGGAUUUCUGAAAAUUAAAGAUCUGUCUUGAUGUUGCAGCGUAUUUAUCAAAAAUCUCUUUUAAAUGAAUGCAUUCAGCCACUGAUGCACGAGAGAAGACCAAGCUGUCGUCCGCAAACAACAAGUGAGUAAUUGAAACUUCCCGUACAAAUUUGAGGCCUCGGAUUAGCUGGUUUUGUUAUGCCAAUAUCAACAAAUUGGAGAGAGCCUCUGCACAAAGAAUAACAAGGUACGGGGAUAGUGGGCAGGCCUAUCGCAAGCCUCUUUCCAGCUGGAUCAUUCCUUUUGGCACACCAUUAAUAAGCACCGAGAAUGAAACGGAAGUAACACAUCUCAUUAUCAAAGCUACCCAAUUACUAGGAAACCCCAACUUUAUCAUAGUUUGUUCUAAAAAGGGCCACUCAACUCUAUCAUAAGCCUUACUUAUGUCCAAUUUUAAAGCCAUAAGUUCGUUCUUCUUCCCUUUGCUAUGUCUUAUUUUAUGAAUGCAUUCAUAACCAAUAAUGACAUUAUCGGUAAUGAGCCUAUUAGGGAUGAAUGCACUUUACAUUGGGGAGAUGAUUUGGGAAAGGAUCGGCUUCAUUCUAUUUGCAAUGGCCUUAGCUACAACUAUAUAAAUAACAUUACAAAUGCUGAUAUGUCUAUAAUCACUCACUUUCCUAGGAUUUGCAAUUUUUGGAAUCAAAGCAAUAAAAGUGUGAUUGAGGAUAGAUGGGUUACCUUGCUCAUUAAGGACAUUAAGACACGUUGAGAUCACUCAUUUACGGACGGAUUUCUAAUGCUUCUGAAAGAAGACAGCUGGAAGACCAUCAGGCCUUAGGGCCUUUGUGGGGCACAUGUUGGCAAGGGCUUCCUCUACGUCUUCAGCGAUGAACGGCUUUUCCAGCUGAACAUUCAUCUCCAGAGUUACUUUUGCAGUCAUUCCUUGAAGGGUUGCUUGGAUUUGGCUUGGAGUCGGGCUGGAAGUAGUGAAUAGCUCUUGGAAAUGGCUGCAAAACUCCUCCUCUAUUUCAUCCAUGUCCUUCACCCAAGUGCCUUAGUCGUUUUCAAUCCCCCACACCUUGUUCUUCCUUUUGCAGGCAGAAGCUUUGGCGUGAAAAUACUUCGUGUUCUUAUCCCCUUCUCUAAGCCAGUUGGCCCUCGAACGCUGUUUCCAGUAAAUCUCCUCGUCAACUAGCAUAGAGUUAAUCUGACUUUCCAACCUCUUAAUUUCCUUGCCAUCAUCCAGCUUUGAAUUCCAUCUCAUAGCAUCUUGAAGGCUCUGCAUCAACUUUUCUUGCUUUCUUUGCCUACCAUUAAAUUCGGUUUUGCUCCAAAGUUUUAGCUGGGCCAAUGAAGCUUUGGCCCUUCUCUAAAAUUGUUGAACAGGGGAUUCCCAAGCUCUAGUCCCAUGUCGACUCCACUCUUCCUGGACUCUACUCUUGCAGCCUUCGUGAGAACUCCACAUAUCCUCAUAAUGAUCUCGGGGGAAUGAUUUGCCCACAUUUCUCGAAUUCUUGCUUCGCUCAUUGAAUUCUAGAAUGAUUGGGCAAUGGUCCAAAGUCCAGUUCACUAGAUUUGUGGCUAUAGAUUCUUGGAAUUUAAUCCCCCAAUCCUUACUACACAGAAAUCGGUAUAAUCUCUCCUCAAUGAAAUGAUCUCCGUAUCUUUUAUUUGACCACGUAUAGAGAUAUCCCUUACUACCCAUAUCCUGCAAAUUGCAGUUUUGCACAACUUCCCUAAACUCGGCAACCAUAUUCAGAUUUCUCUCAUUGCCCCCAUUUUUCUCAUGCAUAUGCAUUAUCUCAUUGAAAUCCCCAAAACAGCACCAAGGAUAGGAGAAUAGACUGGCAACCCUUUUCAUGAGAGUCCAAGUAUUAUGCUUCUGGCUGAACUCGGGAUGGCUGUAGAUCCCUAUGCAUCUCCACCUCAAUCCACUUUCAUUACUCACUAUUGCAUCUAUAUGAUGUGGGCUGUACGAGGUAAUGCUAACAUUAACAUCUGCACUCCAAAGCAAGGCUAGACCUCCCCCCAUGCCCGUUCUAUCUACUGCAAAACAAUUCUCGAGAUUAAAGUCUCUACAAAUAGAUUCAACUUGCCUAGCCAACAUCUUGGUUUCACAAUAGAAAAGAAUUUGAGGCUGGUGUAGGUGGAGAAUUUUUUUGAGAGCUAGGCGCGUUCGAGGUUUCCCCAGACCUCAAACGUUCCAACUUAGGAGUUUCAUGGUUGUCGACGGGCCUGAAAUUCAGCACCCGCCGAUACUUCUUCUUCCAUAGCUGCCACAUUUUCCCCUUCAUCUGAUAUCUCUUCUGUUAUCUUUAGCUGCCGAGCUGUUCUGUUGGAGCUAAUGUGGUUGCAGUAGUCUGAGUUUAUUGCUAAACUUAUGUGGUUUCCCACGUGUGGUUGUUUUGGUGGACUGAGCACUCUUUUUUUUUGUGGGCUGAGCUGAUUGUCAUCACUACUAGGUCUUUUUGCUCCUAUUAACCCAUGAUCCUUCGCUCCUUUUGCUAUGGGAAUUCUUGCCUUAAGUUUCCAUUUUCUUGCUUUGGGCUUCACGUUAGUCUUGCUUGGCCCACUAUCCAUUUCUUCCAUAUCUGAUCUGGCACUCUCUUCAGCCUGCUUCCUUUUAUCUUUUAUUAUUUUCAAUCUUGCUUUAUCCAUAGGAUUUUCGUUUUCCUUCAAAAUCUUUUCUCCCACCUUUGUACUUUCAUAGCUAUAAUGGCUAUCAUUACUUGCCACCCUAUUCUGCACCUCGUCGAUGUCACAGCCCAUACUUUGACUCCCCACUUGCUGAUUUUUCGUCUAUGAAGAGGUCAACAUUAAAUGUGCUUUGUCAUAUUUCAGCAUGUUUCUUGUAUCCUCUAGUUCUGCUCCAUCUUUUAUUUCCUGAUUCGAUUUGUUCAAUUUUGACCUGUCUCGAUCAAUCGGGUUGUUUGAGCUUGGGCUGGUUGUUGCUUGCACAUUUGCUUUGAGAUUGGAUUGCUCUCGAUUGCCUUUCUCUCUACUUCGAUUUUGCUUUAUCCUGUCAGCUUGUGUAACAGUUCUCAUCCAUCCACCAUAAGGCAAGUCCUCCUUUUGUUGCCCUUUGUAUCUCAGGCAUUCCCUGUACUGGUGACCGAUAUGCGCACAACAAAAGCAAAAAUCAAGAAGUUUUUCAUACAAAAUUGGCAUUGGAGUUUUGCCAUCCGCUUGUUGUAGGAACACAAUCUUUUUUAGAGGCUGUGAAAUGUCAAUGGAUAUCCUGACUCUCGCAAACUGCCCAAUACAUUCCCCAGCUUCGUCUGUCUCCACUUCCUUGACUGUACCAAUUUUUUCUCCCAGCUUUUGGAUGACCUCCUUGUUCAUACACAUUAUUGGUAUGUUAUGGAUCUGAACCCAGAAUGUGGUAUGUGUAAAAGAUUGAUUUUUGAUAUCUCCAGUCAAGACUAUCAAUACUUUGUCGAAAUGCCACGACCCUCCCAUGAGCACCCUUUUCUUUUCUUCUUCAUAGGCGAACUUGAACAUGAAAAUGUUAUCCCCCAUGCUUUCUAUUUUAACCUCUUUGACGGAUCUCCAAGCCAUUUGCAUUGCAGCUUUCAAGCCCUCCUUGUUUAUACUUCUUGAUGUUAGCACUUUGCCCACUAAACAAUUCGCAGCUACUUCCUCUCCCUUUAUCUUCAUCCGCCCCAUGAAUGUUACGUUUAAUAUUAUAACGCUGUCAAUGGCAAAGUACGUGAGUGAUACAAAUUAAAAACAAACAAAUCAAACCCUGUGCACUGUCAUCCCUAAUUAUAUUUACCACUUCAUACUCACAGUGAUAAUAACUGUGUAUCACAGUUGACUUUCCAGACGGCUAAAAGUUCCAAGUCCGGAUGCUUGGUUAUUGAAACUUGAUGAAAAGGGCAUGAAAGAAAAUAAGAAAUUAAAUAAUACAGGAGGUAUUAAUCAUAACAUCUCUAGUUAAUGAAAAUUGAUGAACGGUAAUCCAAUAUUUCUGCAGACAUGAGCCGUAAUUAUGAUACCAUUAAGAAUGAAGCAGAAGAGUUUCCCCAAAAAAGUUAAAACGCGGCACUUGGAUUUAAAGAAUUAUCAUAUCACAGUACCGGGACAAAAAAAGGUUAAUGCAACAACAUACAUCAAGUUAAUUCCAUAAUCUAUCGCCAAAGAAAGACAAACACAAGCUUAUAAGAUUAAAACUUUGGAAAACAUUAGAGUCGGACAAAAUUGUGCAAUCUUCAGAGUUUGGAGCCUAGUUCAUCCAGGAAAGCAAAAGAAAUAAUAAUAAUAAUAAUAAUAAUAGUGGUUUGAUCUCAAAAGGUGACAUCAAGGUGGUAACUUUGAGGUAUUGGAAGCUAAAACGUCUUCAACUUUGUCCUGAUUUUGAAGUCCCUUAACCCAUCCGCCAUCAAUGGAUUGAAUGCUUCCAUUCAACCCAUCAUCCACAAAAUCACCAACCCGUUUCACCUUCAUCUCCUUCGGCUUAACAGGGUACUUCCCAUAGAAGCAAGCAUAACAAAAAUUCUGAGAAUCAUCGCCUGACAACUUGUUCAGGCUGUCAAUUGGCAGAAAAGCAAGCGAGUCACACCCAAUAAACUCCCUGAUUUCCUCGACGCUCAUCCUGUUGGAAAUCAACUCCUCACUACUUGGGGUGUCCACUCCAUAGUAACAACUUAACAAGAAGCUAUGAUUGGUGGGCUUGCAAUUCUCAUGUGAACCUCUUUAGCUCCAGCCUCCUUAAGCAACCGAACAAUUUUCGAUGAAGUUGUUCCUCUCACUAUUGAAUCAUCCACAACCACAACUCUCUUUCCCUCCAACACUCCCCUUACAGGAGAGAGCUUAAGCUUGACACCAAAGUCCCUAAUUUUCUGGGACGGCUCAAUGAAAGUUCUCCCAACAUAGUGUGACCUUAUCAACCCUUGUUGAAAUGGUACCCCGGCUUUCGCAGCGUACCCAAGUGCAGCCACCACUCCAGAAUCUGGUACUGCAAUCACAGCAUCACACUCAACAGGAGCCUCGGUAGCAAGUACUUCCCCAAAAUGAUACCUCAACUCAUAAACAGACCUACCAAAUACAACAGAAUUGGGCAAAGCAAAAUAAAUAUGCUCAAAGAUGCACUGGUUAGGUUCAGGGUGAGGCAUCAAACAAAGUGAUUGAACCCCAUCUUUAUCCACCAUCAAAACUUGGAUAUACCUCUCUCUCGUAUGUGGCCUCAAUCAAAUAGUGCACAAGUCUCUGUCGCAAAAACCAGAGCACCAUUACUCCUCCUACCCAUCACCAACGGCACAAACCCAUACGGGUCACGAACCGCAACAAGCUUAUCCUCAGUAACAAACACCAUUGAAUAAUUAUAUUAUUAUUAUUAUUGUUUUUAAAAAUAUCAUUUAUUUAUUUUUUAAAAUUUUUUUAAAGGUAAAGAAGUGGGUAAAGAUCAAAUUCAAUUUUUAUUCCUUACCCCCUAAGAUUUGAACUUAAGUGACCAAAUGUAUAAUAUUAAGCAUCUCAAAUUUCAUUUCUAAUGAUAUACAAUUUAUUAAGUGAUUGUUAAUCUUUACAAGAUUCGAGUGAAUUAAUUAUAUUAUUUCACUAUUAAUAAUAUGAGUAUCAUAUUAUUUGGAAUAACUUUUGAAUAAAAACAUUGUGAUGGAUGAAAUAUUCUUUUGAGAAUUUAUUGACUUAUCUCAUUUAUGAUUUAUUGUUGCAUUUAAGUGAUAUUGCAAAUAAUCUCAGAUAAUUUCAAGCCAUAUGUCAUUAUUGGGAUAAAAAUAAAGUAAAAUGGUUAAAACUAUUUUUAUGUAAUUUAUAAAAAUUAAUGAAGCAACUACAAAAUUUUUUAAACGAAAAACAAUUGAAAUGUGUGUGGAAAAAGAAGAAAAAAAAUAAGGCAUUUAAAUAUCUUCUUAAAAAAUACGAUUGAGUAAAAUCAUUUUAACAGAAUGCUCUUCCAAAUACAAUUCCACAUUUUUUUUAUUGCAGUGGGAUAUUCCAAAAUUGGCACAACUCAUUAAGAAUUCGGCAACUCAAAUUUUAUUUAUCACUCUAUGCAUUUGACAAAUUAAAAAGAAAAAAAAAAUUCAUAUAUCUUCUGUUCAAAAGAAACCUUGGUAAAUAUUGUAAAACAAAUUACCAUUUUUUUUAAUUUAUGCCAUUAUAUCGUCGCUAUUUUCUCGCCCACUUUCUUAAAAUAGAAUCAAUAUUCAUUGAUGGGUUGGGUUCCAGAGUAAGCACCAAUUCUGCAAAAUGGUUUUAUAGUAGAAAAAGCACUUGUAAGACAUUCAGAACACAUUUUUCAAUUUUGUCUUUUGAAAAUGAGUCUUGAGUUCCACAAGCCAAGAAGAAUGGCUAAAAAAUGUAUGGUAUCAAAGAAAGAGAAACACCCACACACACAGAGAUUAAUGGGGAGAUAUAUGAUUGUGUAAUUUGCAUAUAUAUCCCCAUUAAUUGUUGAUAGUCCAAUGGGUCUAUGCAAAAGGAAAAAAUUGGCUGUCCUUAAAGACAAAAUUGACUGUCACAUGAAAAUAAAAAAAUUUGUUACCACGCAACGAAAAUAAAGAUUUCAAGAACAACUUUAUGGUCCCCUUUCUGUCCAAACAUAUGCGAUAGCAAUUAGUGUAAACGACACUUGAAAUAUAUAUAGUAGAUCCUCACGCAAUUGAUAAAUAUUUAUAGUAGGAUGGAGUGAUAAAUAGUUUCACAAAAUUAUUGGAAUUAACUAUUGAAUACAUGAGAUCUAUCUCAUUAAGGAUAAAAGAUUUGAGUGCUACUUCAAAAGCAUGACGUUGCUGGCAACAAAUUUAACACAAAAGUUUAAUUAAUUAUCUUAGUUGAGACGAUAAAAUCUUGGAUUAAGAACAAAAGGUUUGAGGUUCGAACCUUCUCAUUCAAGAAAAUCAAAAUAUUACAUCUUCCAGCACAUAUCAAACAUUUUUUCAAAGGCAGACUGACAAUUCAGGGUAAAAAAAACAAAAAAACAAAAGGAAUAUAUGCUAUUGAAGACAAGUAUACCUUGGACAUGAAGUCUGAGUCCAGAACAAGAAGCAAUUAGCUGAUCUUUCAAUUUCCAAAACCCAACAAAAUCUUUGUCAAAAUAUACGAUCUAGUCCCAUAUUAAGCACAUUCAUAGCCGUAUCACCAGGUUCAAAAUAUUUUCCCCAAAAAGAGAUAGAGAUUCCAUUGAAGUUGAGUUGUGACUGUCCCAACGUUUGUAAUUAUAUGUUUCAGGAUACCAUGCCUAUGAAUCAUUUUUUUUUUCCAUGUUUCGAAGUCUAUCAAAUGAAAAUGUAAUUAUAUGGUUCAGGAUACCAAUAUGCCAGAGCUGCAAAGGUUGACUUCUACUAUCCUAUCAAUGUCUAUACUUUCUAUUGAAUUUCCUUGUUUGUUUUUUUAAAUUGCGAGAUUUAUUUUUAGAAAUCUUUGACACAUUUUAUGAAAGAUACCAUAAAACCAAAUACAACCAUUUUGAUUCAGCAACAACUUUUUUUUUUCCUUUUAAAAAAAGGAAGCCAUAUAAAUGAUGCUUUAAACAUUAUUUGCAGCAAGGAACAAUUAUUUCAUGCUUUCAGGUAUUAGAAACUUCCCAAAAAUGCUAGCAAGAAAAUGAAAUGGAACUUUACCUAGUCACAGAAUAUGUAUUGCUGUUAGCCCAAUUGUUAUGAAGUGGCUUCUGCAUCAGAAGAUUCCAGCUCCCACCAAGCAUUGUUAUCUCUCUUCUGAAUACAAUCUGCAUCCCUGGGCAUGAGUUAUAUCAUUAAUGUCUGCAUCCUCACUUACAUCAUCCCAAUCAAGUGUUUUUUCUCCAUAUCUGGAUUAUAAGUCCACUCUAAUCUCUUCAAAACAUCCUAGUCCUUCCAUCAUACGACUUCCUUCCUAAUUACUUUCCCAUUAAUAAAUCGCUCCAAGAAAAAAAAAGCAUUAACAAUUCUCUUCAACGCCCCAUCACUCAUAUCCCCUACAACAAACAUCUUUAGACACCUCAAUGUUGCCUCUUGAAAGACCUCCACAAAAUCCGAAUCAUCUGACACAACCAUCAAACACCUAAACCUUCUUUAGUCCACCAUAUCCACCAUAUAAUUCCUUAACUAAACAUCGGCAUCUUGUGGCUUAUCUAACACCUUCCUGACCCAAAACCAUGCUCUUUUCAACUAAUCUGCAAAACCAUAACCCACUUUUGGAGUCAAAAUUGCGCUUGCAGCCAUUUUAUAUUUUUCCAUCUUUAUUGAAUAGUUGCCAACCAAAAGCACUCUCACCUUCCCUCUAGUUGAUUCUAUUUGAUUCGACCUUUUCUUUUGUUCACCCUCAUGAAUUUGCCUAAAAUGAUUAAUAAGUUUGUCAUUAUUAUAAAAUCUCCUUCCACAAUCACCAAUACAUACGGCUUAGCAGGCCUAAUUACACCCUUGAUUUAUAAUUGGAUAAACAAUUCUUUUUCUUUCUUUGCUCUCUUACAACUUGAGGCACAUAACUAAACGUGUGGCUAUUAGCAUUUGCCACCAUGUAUUUAACAACCCCAAAUGAAGAUAUUAAUUUUUUUAGUUUAAUUGCUGCUUCAAAAUGGGGUACUGCAUUUGGAUUUUGUUAUUCAAAUUCCAAAAUGUUCCCACAUUGUGUUGGACAGUUUUUGGUUCUAAAGUUUAUGACUGGUUUUGCCAAUCAGGCUUCAAAUGAGAACUUCUAAACAAUAAGACAAAUAGGUUUUGAGUUUCUAAUCUUAUAAACUUUGUUCUAUUGUAUAAGUUAUGAAAUCGCUGAAACAUCACUACAGCUACAGGUCUUUAUGUGUCAAUGAACUGCAGAAGCUGAUGAUCUACUUGUAGUAGACUCCUAUUGCCCCUGCCAUUCUAGGAAGACAAACAAGUUCAGGAACUACAUCUGGACCAAACUCGUAAUAUUGCCACUGCUUUGUGCCAAUCUGAGACGGAAAGAAGAUUGAAGUUCCUAAAUAAGGCACAUCAUGAUUUAAUAGAAGUACCAUUAUAAGGAAAAAAUGAUUUCAGGAAAGCACUAAAAUAUGACAUAAUCUCCCCCUAAUGGUCUAAAGUAGUCAAGAAAUUAUAUCAACCAAGCAAAAACACAUAAACUAGUUGAGAUACAAAGUUAUCAUAAAAGUCAAUUUUGAUCACAAAUCCAUUAAAAUUAAAAGACAUCAGAAAGUUAUAGAACAUUAUAAUUUAGGACUUAGCUAAGUUGCAAAUUCUGUAAUUAACAGCUGAGUCCACAUUGGCCUUGCAUCAGCUGAGUUUGGGUUGCUUUUCCUCUCUCCUGCAACGCGUGAAAGCGUCCCAUUUGCUGUGUUAUAUACAGAGUCGGUACCGUAGCAAGCUCCUAUAAUUUAAGUUUGAUUACUGUAGACAAUAGUCUGCCUCUGUUCAAAAGCUAUGCUGCAAGAUAUAACGUCUUUGCAAUGUUGUACUUUCUAAAAGUAAUAAGAAAUGAAACCAAGGGGUAAACCGAACACCAAAAGAAAUUUAGUCGGCCAACCAUAUUAUGUUCCCACACAGUCCACUAAUUAAGUUAAUAAUUAAAGGGAAUUAAAAUCUAAGAAAUCUCAUCUUCAAGCAGAAUACAAACACACCAGGAUUGAAAAUCACAAAAUCAUAAAAAGAAGCUGACUUGAAAAGCUCAAAUAUACGUUCAUCAGCCUCUCAACUUAUAUCUAAGAACAAAUGCCUGCAGCCUGUGAAGACAUAGAUAAUUGAAGCUGAUGAGGCAUAUUUAACAGAUGAUAAUCAAAACUCAUGUGAUUAAAAUUAUAAUUCAAUAAUGGAUCACAUAAAACAACAAGUAACUAGUUGUAUAUAUACCAAACAACUUUCUGAAGUUAAGGCGUAAAACAAAAACGUAGAACAAAUUAAUUAAAUAUACUAGCACCAAUACUCUUAUUAUUAUCCACGUAGAAAAUAACAAUGUAUCAAACAAGGAAAAUGAAAUAUUGUUAAUAACUCAAAAACCACUAGUGUCAAGAACUAGACUAAUAAGUGAAACCCAUAAUCAGACACAACCACAUCAAAAUCUCUGAAAAUUGAGGUCUAAACAUUGAAAACAAUUAGACAUAUAUAACAGUCAAUCGAAACAAAGCCUCAAAAUAAUAAUAAACUACAAUAAGACAGAACCUAAAUUGUAAACACACGCAUACCCAGUAACAGUAAUCAAGUAACAAGUCAAAACCAGAAUCAAACGUAGAAUUUUGAAAUCCAUACGAACUCUAACGUAUUAGAAUGAAAGAAUAAGGAUGAUCAAUAAACUAGACUCAAACAAAAACAUGCCCAGUUAAAAAAUGAAGGUAAAUAAAUAAAAAUGGUAUAAAACUGCGAAAAAAAUUAAUGAAAUGAAGAGAAAAUCACAGGAAUCCUAUGAAGAGGAAGGUAAAGAAACCUUCCAGAGCCGAGAAGAUGCCUUUUUGGUUGACGUUUGUGCCUAUACAUAUAUAUAUAUAUUUUUUAAUUUUGAAGAAAGCAUUGGUUAACAGAAAGGGAUGGCAACGUGGCAGAUAUAUAUUAGAUUUAUUCUACUCCAGAUUCGUAUCCAUAAUAAAAAUUAAAAUUCGUAUAUGCUCUAUAUUUGUCAUAAAUUUAUAUUUUUCGUUCCAUAUUCAGAUCUAAAAAAUAAAUAAAUAUCUAUAACUGCUCUAAAUCUGGAAAAAAAAAUUAAAAUCCAAAUAUACUUUAAAUUCAUCAUGAAUUCUAAAACUUAGUAAUAAAAAAGUAAUAAUUUUUUAGAAUGAAAAUUGAAGACUAAAAUGUAUUGAUAACAAUAAAUUAUAUAUUUUUUCUCAAAAAUAUAAUAAAUAUUGUAGCUUAUACUUUUACACUAAAACAACAAAUAAGAAAGAUAAUAAAAUAUUUUUCAAAAGUAAUUGCAGGAGUAAGAUCAAUAUAAUAUUAUACUGUCUCUUUUAUCAUUUUAAUAUCCAUGACACACCUACCCUUAUUUCUACAACAUUAGAUAAUGACAUAUAAAUUAAAUAUGAUUUAUAUUCAGUGCUUUUUAUUUUUAUUAUGACCAUAUUUAACUAAAUAUAUGAAUAAUUAUAUUCAUUAAAAAUUAUUUGGCCAAUAUAAUGAAAUAAAUUGUCAGGUUGUAUUACUUGGCUUGCAAUUUGAAUAUUGCAUGUACAUGCUUUGGGGCUGGCUGAUCUUUAAAUUUACAAAACUAAUCUUUAAGUUUUAAGAGUUUAAAUACAUGGUAAAUAUUACUAAUAUACUAUGAAUAAAAUUUAUUAUCAUUAUAAUUCCACAAUUUUUAAGAAACUUUUAAAAUAAAAUAAAAUUAAAAGAUUGGUGGAUAUGGAUAUGGAUUUAGAUAUUAUGAUAGAUCCAGACCUGCUCCAGAUCUGUCUUAGAUCCGCACAUCAAUAUCCAAAUAUGAUCUAAAUUCAUUUUAAGCUGACCCAAAUCCGAUCCGAUUGGAUUUAGAUCACGUGGAUCUUGAGUCAGAUCCAAUCAUUGCCAUUAGGGAUGGCAAUUUGCGGGCCUGGGCCGGGCUUUUUAAAGCUCAGGCCCAAGCCCACAUCAGUUAAACGAUGUCCAGGCCCUUCAAAAGCCCGCCCAACCGAACUCGGGUCAGGCCUAAGCGGGCCUAGGCUAGGCUCGGGCUUUUAAAAUUAAUUAUAAAAUAUUUUUUAAAUUAAGAAAAUUAUUUAAAUUAAAGAUAAUAAUAUAAUAUAUAAAUAGAAUAAUAGUCAAAUACAUUAAAUAUUAGCAAUACAACCUAAUAAAAUAACAAAUACUAAUAUAAAAAAUUAAAGUAAUUUAAUAUUUUGAUUUUUUUCUUUUUUAUUUAAAUUAAAUUUAUUUUUUAUUCAUAAAUUUAGAAAGCCCUUGCUUUUUUGCUAAGCCCUUGUCUAGGCCCAACAUAUGUGGGCUUUGUAAUUUUUAGGCUCAUAUCCAAGCCCACCCCCUUGCGGGCCGGGUGUUAGGCCCGCGGGCCUGGGCUGGGCUUGACCGGGCCUGGGCCGGCCCGGGCUUUUUUGCCAAAUAUGAUCUAAAUUCAUUUUAAGCUGACCCAAAUAUGAUCCGAUUGGAUUUAGAUCACGUGGAUCUUGAGUCAGAUCCAAUCCAUUGCCAUCCCUAUUAACAGAACGAAAUAUUAAUAAUAGAUGUUGGCAAUUUCAACAAGGACAAUCUUGGAUUCAAAUGUACCCCUAUGAUAAAGAAAAAGCCAGCUUGGCUAAAUUUUGAGCACCACAUUACAAGAUCUAGGUGUAUGCUUAACUAUGCAAAAUGAAACAUCUAUUAAUUGUAAGUCCCUUGACCUCUGUAACCAGCCAACCGGUCUCUUUCCUACUAGACAACCUUCCAUCGACCAGAUUAAUAAUAUUUACUAAAUCAUGUUCUAUAGUUAAUGAAGUUGGACCAAGGCAAUUGUUAGCUUAAUGUCACAGGCCGCUCAAAUUUGCCGUAAUUGGAGGAUAAUUAUGUGCACAUGAGUUUGCUUAGCAAAAGUCCGCCUCGACGUGGAGUGCGCUUAAAAGCGGGAUGCACUUAGAAGUGGGAUGCGCUUAGCAAAUCAUCCAAGCCCAACCCAAGAUCUAGAACUCUCUGCAAAUUAUAAAUAAGUUAAAAGUUUUUAUAUUUCUCCACGUAGGUCCCUAGGAUAUUUAUGGAAGUUGCUAGGAAGUUUCCUCCCCUAAAAUGUUAACAUUUUGGUGGACGGUUAAUAUAAGUUACAAACUUAAAAUAGAAAAUCAAAUAAAUUCAAAUUUUCAAACUAUUUAUGGCAAAUUUAGGACAUAUGGUUAAUAAUUUUCCCAUGUCUUUUUACAUUGGUUGGUAUAAGUUACAAACUUAAAAUAGAAAAUCAAAUAAAUUUAUAUUUUCAAACUAUUUAGGGCAAACUUAGGGUAUAUGGUUAAUAAUUUUCCUUUAUUUUUUUUUACGUUAAAUUGAGUUUCAAAGGUAAAAUGGUCAAUUUAUUAUAAAUCUGUUAAUUUUUUAGUGGAAGCAAAUGAUAUAAUGGACGAAUGAUAUAAAUUGUAAAAUUAAGUUGCAUGAAUGAUACAACUUUAAAGUAUUGUAGUAAUCUUAAUAAUAGAACAAUUUAAGGGUGGAUUGGCAAUAAUUUAAACUUUAAUGAAGCAACUAAAAAAAAUUUUUAACAAAAGAAAAAUAAUUGAAAUGCUUUAAGAAAAAUAAAGGAAAUUAAAUAUCUUUAUAAAAACAUAAUUGAGUAAAAUCAUUUUACAAAAUGCUCUUUCAAAUGCACAUUCCACAAGUCAGGGAGAACGGGUGGCUAACAAAAAUCUCACUUUUUAUGAGUUUAUAAAAUCUCACUUUUGCAGAAUUCAAAAAUAACAAAUACUAAUCACACAAAAAAUAAAAAUUAUUGCUGUCACGACAUUACGCACUUUCUUCGUUGUCUAGAAAGGUAGAACAUUUCGAUGUUCCUCAAUACAAAAUGCGUGCUACUACUAAAUUGGCCCAAUUAAUGCCCAUCGAAAAGGCCAUGAAUUUAGCCAACAAUUUUGUCAAAAUUUCAGCAAUUGAAGAAAUAAUGAUCACAAACAGAACAGUUGAAUUUUGAAGUUUGAAAAAAUCUCCAGAUACGUACAACAAAGUCUUGAAGCUCUGGUCUUUACAAUUUGAGCACAGAAUAAAUAUUAACUACCUGCCAUUUAUAAUUUGUAUUAACUCUGUACCAAAACGUUAAUCGUCAUUCAUAAUUAAUGACGUGACAAUGAUAAUUUAAACAUUUGAUAUGCUUAAUAAAAAAUAAAAUAAUAACUUUAAAUAUAAAAAUUAAAAGAUAUUUUUAUAAUCAAUUCAAUUAAAUACACUUAAAAACUCACAUUAAUCCACAAAAUGCAUACAAAUGUACAGUACCAGAGAAUGAGAAACACACAUUUAUAGGCAAUCCAUUUGAGUUUAUGAAAUCUCAGUUCCCAAAAUCCAAAAAUAUUCAAUACACUCACAAACUUAAAAAAUAAAAAUGAUUGCUGUCAAGACACUUUUUAGCUGUCUAAAAAGCUAAACAUUUGAAGUUGUUUGAUACAAAAUGCAUGCUAAAUUGGCACAAUAAAUCCCCAUCGAAAGGUUAACAAUUGAAGGACAAUGAACACAAACGUAAUCUUUAGAUACAUACAACCAAUCCUUCAAACUUUAGUCUUCACAAUUUGAGCACGCCAUAACCACCCGCAAACAAGUUUUGGUAGCUUCUUGCGCGAACUGAACCCGCUGAAAUGUUUCUCUUAUUUUGUUAUUUUUUUUCUUUUUUUUUCUUUUUAGUCAUUUAUGUUCGCUGGCAUCUUCGUUGGCGUCUCUAUCUUCGCUGGCAUCUGCCUCGCCUGUAGUUUCAGUGCUAAUAUCCAACCAAUAAAAUGGGCAUUAAAUAUGAAUGAUGAAUAAAAUAAAAUAAAACAGAGAAAAUAAUGACAAGAAGAAAAACAAACUUUAAAAAAAAUUAUUAAAAGGGAAAUUUUGAGUUUAGCAUAGAUCAAACAGGCAUCACAAACUAAAACAAGAACCAACUAUAAAUAGAGUCAAUUAAUUGAAGUUCUCAAGAGCUUACCUCUGCUCCGGAAUUCUCGGAAUCAUCCACAUAUCUCCUUUUGAAUUUGCACCAAGCUUGGGACAAUUAUAAACGUAUGCAGAUGGAAAUCGAUUUUGAAAAGAGCUGUGGAAAAAGGGAUGGCGAAUGUUGCGAUAUGGAAAAUUUAGCAGUUCAAACUCCCGAAGUUGCUUCAUAACAAUUUGAUUGCAAUCCACGACGUCUGCUCCAUUUUUAUGCCAGAAUAUUGCUUCUAAUUCAUCAUUUCGUUCUAUCCGUAAGAAAUAUAGUUUUUGAAGACUUGGAGCUACGCCGAUAUGAAAUAGAUGCUUUAGUUUGGGGCAACCACAGACAGUGAUGCUUGUGAGUUUUGGGAAACAUACAGGUUGGAGAUGAUCCUCAUCCUCAUCCUCAUCAAUGAUUUGCUCUAAUUCGAAGCAGUUAUCAAUAACCAGCCCCUGCAAUUGCAACAGAUUUCGAGCAAAUGUUGAUGUGAAGAGACGCCUGAGCAUAGUGCACCCGUCCACUCUUAAAUGGGUAAGAUUUUGGAGGCUAAAAUUAUGCGUGGGACCUUCAUGAUAUAAUAAUACUUGCAGUUCUCGAAGGUUUUCCAACUGCACCUCCUUCAAACAUGGGAAUAAUUUGUUUUCUUGUCCCUUAGCGAUAAUAGCUUCCAAUUGAAAUACCACAUGUACUCCAAGUUGGCUAAUACCCAAUUCUUCCAAAUUUUUUAAGCCGUGCUUCAACAGUGCUGGAAUCGUGUCACUCAAAUGGGAACAAUUGUCCACAUAUAGAAUUUUUAAGUUCUGAGACAAAUAAAUAAAUAACUUGAUGCAAUUAAAAUCUAUUAGCAAGCUAGGAUUAUCACAUGAUAAGUGAUGAACACUGCAAAAAACAAAAACAGAAAACAAAAUCCAAACAAAAAUAUCAUAAUACAUAUGUAAACUAAUAAAAUAAUUAAAAAGUAAUGGAUUUAAAAAAAAAUUAGUUAAAAGAGAUCAUGUGAAGUGAUAUAAAUGUGACAUUAGAUUGUUUUAGAAAAAAUAUUAUUCUAUUAAUUUAUAUGGUUUGAUCAACUAUUUAAUUGAAUUUGAUUAAUAUUAUAUACACUUCAGAAGUAUUUGAAGAAUGGUUUUAGCCUUAUAAUAAAGAAAAUUCCCUAAGAUAUCUGAGCAUUAUUAUUAUCAUUACCACAUUCACGACCACCAUCAUCAUCUCCAUAGGAUCAAAAAAUUAAUGGCUGAUCAUAAAAUUUAUUGUUAAAAUAUCCUUUUGAGUAAAAUUGAAUGAAAAGAAAAAAUAUGAACCCAAACAGACAUACCUCUUUGAGAUACUGCAAAUUGGCUUCAAGUUCAUUACUGUUGAUGGUCAAGUUGGGACAGCAAUCAAGCUGUAACUCUUCCAAUGCUGCCCAAAUUGAACAAUAAUUCUCUGAACAGAACUUGGUGAGUUCUGGGAGAUCUUCAAGUUCUAAUUUUCUCAACAAAGGGAGGGCGAGCAUCGUAUUUCCAUCUCCGACACUUAUUUCCCCUUCAUUAUGAUCAAACUUUGCUUCGACAAUACAUUCCAGUCUCUCGCAUUCCCUUACAUGGAGACUUUUAAGCUGCUCCAAACUUCGAGCUUGUGACAACGUGAAGAUAUAUGUCAACUUGUUGCACCUAACCACAUUCAAUUCUGUAAGAGUUUGGAGACUGAUCACAUGUUGGGCGGGCGCCUUCCAUAUCCACUUCAGUUCUGGUAAGUUCCACAUAGAUAACUCUGCUAAUCUUGAGAGACUCUUUCCAUGCGGCGACUUAGAGGCUUCCAUUAUGCAUUCUAAAUCUUCGCAAUCGCCGACAUCAAGACAAGUCAACUCAUUUAAGCCCCUUUCAUCUAUGCUUGGCACAAUAUUGUAACAACCUAUAAUCCAUCUUAUAUAAAGAAUUUCCAGUUCUUGAUACAAAGCCGAAAAAAUACCGAGCGAGGUCACUUCAGGAGGGUCAUUCUCAAUGAUUAAGCUCUUUCUCUGACUACCAUAUUCCAUUUUAUAAAAAACUUCUUCACCUUUACAGAUGACGUACCUUUGCAAUUUCGGGAAUGUAAAGUCUUUUGGAAGAUAUACAACAGAUCCGUCGGCUUGGGAGUUCAACUCAGCAAGCCUAGCAUUACUUUCUUCUGAACUCAUCCCUUCAACCUCCCAAUUUUUUAUCCGACCAUAAAAUUCUUCUAAUUUUUUUAUCGUAAUGGGAGAAACAGAACUAGUAUCAAUAUGUAGAAGUUUCAAUCUACCAAGUUCAUCCGACAAUUCUUCAGGAAUUUCAAUGGGAGACGACCGGAGAUAAAGAAGUUCAAGUCUCUUCAACUUUCCAAGAAAAAACGCGUCACUCAAAUCACACAAAAUCAACUGCAGAACUCGGAGGUUAUUGGCUAGGAAUCGAAGUGAUUUUAGUGAAAGGACUCCAUUUAUUAUAGUAACAACUUUCAAUGCUGGCAUCCCUUCAAAAAAAUUUUCUGGAACUUGCAAUUUGUAGUCACAUAGAGUGUUGUCCAGUCGCAAAAUAUGAAGGUUAGGGCAUACCAAACGACUAGGAAGCUCUUCUUCUUUAUUUCCCAUUACAGAGAUUCCUCUAUAUUGCUCCGGGCCUUCUUCCAUUACCCGUUCUGCCAAUCCAAUGCCAACUUUACUAAAAAAUUUCUUCUCCACUAGUACUUCUGAGCCUAUCCAUAUGGCUACAUCACGAACUAUGUCAUGCAUUUUCACAGAUCUGUCAUUACCAGUGUCUAACAGUAGUGAAGCAGCUUUGAGUCCGUCAAUUGUUCCAAGCAGUAGGCUUCUGGUGUUCUCUAUUGACUCAGCUUGAUACCAAGUCAACCCUACUGCAUAUCCAACCAAAUCCUCCAAAUUAAUCUCAUAAUCUUCUGGAAAUAGCGAACACAACAAGAAGCAUAACUUGGAAUUGUCAUCAUUCAAUUCGUCGUAACUAAAUUUGAGACAACCGUAAACGUCUAAGUUCUCCUCAUCAAUACCUUCUAUUGCAUAGAGUUUUGCAGCCUUUAGGUUAUGUAGAGCUAGGUUCCAUUCAUUAAAUCUUUUUCCUCUUAGUGCACUUCCAACAGCUUCAAUAGCUAAAGGCAGCCCCUUACAUUCUCCAGCAACUUCUUUGGAAACAUCAUUCAAGGUGGAGUCAUUUACAUUAAUUUUGGCAUUUUUUCGCAGUAAAGCCAAUCCUUCUUCUGGCGUUAGUGUACUAAGUGGAAUCUGUGUGUCACAACCCAAAGAAUCACAAACUGACUUUUUGCGAGUGGUUAGAAGGAUUUUGCAACAAUUAUCUCUACCACCGACGGUAAUACCUAAUUUUUUCUCCGAGUCGAGUGGUUUCCAAACAUCAUCAAGGAUUACGAGGAUUUUGCUGCUUUUACUCUCAGAAAACAUCAAGCGCAAUCGGUCUGCUCUCUCUUUUUCAUCUUUCUCAUUUAGUGCCCAGCCUAACGACUUUGCCAACUCACCUUGAACCUUUAUUAUAUCUAGAUCCUGAGACAUAGUGGCUAUCCCCACCUUAUCGAAAAGCUUUUGUUGCCGAAGUUGAUUGCCCACAUAUUUUGCCAGGGUUGUCUUUCCUACACCACCGAGACCAUGCAAUCCCACCAUCUUUGUGCUCUCUUUUUUCAGUGCGUCAAUGAUCUGAUUGCAAGCGGAUUCUGUGGUCUUGAAAAUAGAAGUAAAAUGCCUUGGCAAACUUAAUUCUCUUUCUAAUGGUAGAGGUUUAGGAGAGGCAACUGUGUUGAAUUGGCUGCAGCCUUGUAGCAGAUCGGACAACUUGCUAGUCUUCUCUGAUGCUUUUCUGCCCAGACGAUAUCGGCAACACCAAUUAGGACACAAUCCAUGAAGACUACUAUCCUUUUCAUCUAUCUCUGCUUUCAACUUCCAAACAUCGUCCAAUUCUUCGACUCCAUUAUUCAGCCACUCCAUUACAUUUUCAUCGACUACUAUGUCGGGGCAUUUUCGCAGUUCAUCGUCUAUUCUUGUUUUGAUGCCAUCUCGUGCCUUCUUCAACUUAGUUUCUUUAUCCUCAAGUUCUUUAACAAUGCUGUUGAAACAGAACAUAUAGCGAGCUUGGUCAAUGGCUGCAUUCACCAAUAAUUCUUCAACCUUUGAUUUUAAAGCUUCCAUGCUAUUUAUCUGCAAAUAACGAAGUUGAUCUCAGCACACUAUUAGCGAAACAACAAGGCUUGAUCACCAGACAAAAUGAGAACGUUUAAUUACCUCUUUCUGCACUGUGAAUGCACGUCUAUUAACACCAGCUUUGACCAAUAAGAGCAAAAUGCAGAGGUGGGGCCUUAAGAGUUUCGGUGGCCUUUAGCUGCAAAACGGCAGAUGACAAAUAAGGUGAACGUUCCUAGCAAACGUGAUUUACGGUGAAUUAUAUUCAAAUUAGAUUAUUUUAAAAGUUGGUAAAUUAUUUAUCACUCUAUCUUAAUGAUACCUUAUUUGGGAUGAUAAAGAUUGGGGUAAAUUCCCUUUUAUUCUCACAUGUUUAUAGUAUUUAUAUUUUUAUAAAUUACCUAAAACAUCCAUGUAACUUACUUUUAUAGCUAUUGAACAUAUCAUUUCAAAUAUAAAAUACUAUUUCUGUCUAAUAUAAAUUAAAAAUCAAACAAAUCUAUCAUGCAAUAAAUGAAAAGUAAAGAAUAUUAAUUAGGUUUUAAUGGAAACAAAUAUAAAACAUAGAGGUUUUGAGUAACUUUUGUAUUUUUUUUAAUGUUCAAUUUAGAAUUGAAUAAUUUGCAUAAUGAAAUUUUGAGGUUUCUAUAAUUUAUAUGAAGAUAAACUGCGAAAUAAGUUUAUAUGCCGAAAUUAAAAUAGUUAUAUAUUAGCAAUCAUAUAAUAAUAAAAAAUUUUAAUAAAAUUUAUUUAAAAAUUGGCCAAUUGUGUUUCAUGAGUAAAACAGAGAGCAUAAUGGACUUAUGUUGGGUCUUGGGAUUGAAAGACUAAGGGUAAGGGGCCGGGAGGUAGGACGGUAGGAAAAUUAAUUUUUGUUAUUUUUAAAGUAUGGUCAACAUUAGUGACUUGGAGGUGAUUGCCGUUAAUCAAUUACCUUUAACUUAAGAAUUAAUACAAAUAAAUGGCAAAAAUAAUUUAAUGAAAAUUAAUUUAAUAAAAAAUUGCACUAAAAACUUAGAACUCAAAUUCUCGAUCAUUUUAUCCGUACGUUUUAAUCCGACGCUCAGAAUUGGCAUAAAACAAACUAAUAUAGCCAUUGGAAAUAAAACAAACAUCAAAUCAAGAGCCUAUGAAACAAUAUUAUCUCGUACCUUCUUCCUUAUAGAUCCUCAAUUGCUGUUGAAAGCUGCAUAUGACAAUAUAAAUAAACAUGAGAUCAAAACAUCAUAGGAUAUAUCUAGCCAAUUAACAUCAUAUAUAACUCCUUGUUCUCAGUCAAAUCUUUCAUUCUUAGAUUAAAAAAAAAAUGAAAUAAUAACUGUUAAGUGAUAUAGGAAGCAAAAGUAACACACCGAAAUGAAAGCAGCUAGUUCACAGAUGACAGAUGCGGUGACUUCAAGAGCAUGAAAAAUGAUUAAACUUUGGUAGAAGGGUCUGAGCCGUGUUUCACAAGUUGCUAUUGACUUCGUGGCUUCGCUUUUAUUUAUUAUUAUUAUUUUUUUAAAUUCUAUAUCAGUGAGAAUUGAAAUGUGGAAAGUGAAAUGAUACACAUGCCUUAUCAUCUAUCAUGAGGGGUGAUUUGGUAAAACCGAUUUAAAAUAAAAAAAGUUUAAAAAAAUUUAAAAAGAUGCUUUGUGUCUGACUGCUUGUAUUUGGGGUAUUUUUCGGGUUGUUGAGACUUGAGAGUGAGUUUAAUUAAAUAUAAGAUUUUCAUUUUUCUUAUUAUAUUUUUCUCUUUAGAAUGAAUUUAAAUCUCAUUCUUAUUAAAUUCAUUUUUUUAAAUGAAAAUAGAUUUCUCUCCACACAUUUGAGAUAUAUUUUAAAAUUAAUGUUAAGCAUAUCUCUAAAUUAUAUUAUAAAUAUUUUUAUUUAAAAUCUCAACAGAUUUCAUAACACACAGAGAGAAAUACAUAUAUAUGUUGUAAUGUUUUAAUGAUGGAUCUCUAAAGUUAUCAAGUUAAAAAAUAAAUAAAUAAAUAAAAAAUACACACUUCAACUUAUUAUAUGAUAAAAUAUAGUAUAUUAAAGUGAGUAUUUUUUGUGUGAAAUAAAAUUAAAGUGAGUACUAUUACCACCUCACAUCUUAUAAAUUCUAGAAAAUAAUCAAGGCUUGACAUACUUUUAUUUAUGCAAAAGCAUAAGAAAAUAAUUCAAAGUACUAAUUAGUGUACUAUUCCUCAAAAUUCUAGAAUAGAUUUGUUAGUUCUCUUUAGCCAUAGAUUGGUCCGUGAUUGGCACCGCAAUAGCUCAUAAUCACCUCAACAAUUGUUCCACACGGCCCAACAUGACACAUUGUAAACUAGUCUACAAGAAUUUUUUGAGUGGCUUUCUAGCAAUAUUCUUAGAGAAAGUGUUUAGUAGUUUCAAAUCUUCUUUUUUUAACACAAAUGUUGGCAUGAUAUUCUUAAUAUAUUUCUAAAAUCAAAAUAAGAUGCAUAGAGGACGAUAAUUUUAUUUCAUAAUUGAAUUUUUUGCAAAGAAAGUUUGAACAUGAGAGUGAUGAGAGAUGAGAAUAUUGAUGAUGGUGUGUACUUUGAAUGGAAAAAUAGAUUGGAAAUAUAUAUAGACAUAUUAAAAGAAAAAAAUUUGGUCUAUUUCAUAAGAGAAAUAAAAAAUUAUAAACGCGGGUGUUAAAAUGUAUUCAGAAUUUAUAAAUUUUUAUAAAUAUGAUAAUCAUCAGACCCUUAUAAAAGUAUAACAAAAAAGUUUAAAAUUUUUUAAUAAAUGUAGAAGAGAUGAACGAAGAAAUCAUCCACCAGUUCAGAAUUAACAAUCAAAGAUAUGAGGACUUGAUUGAAGAAAUGAUGAAAAAUAAAAGGAAACUGGGUUGGUUAGCGGGACCCUAAUAUUAAUGGUGAAAAAUAAAAGGACACUGGGUUGGUUGGCAGGACCCUAAUAUUAAUGGCAAAAAAUAAAAGGACACUGGGUUGCUAUCAAUUUCGAUCGUGUAGGUUCAUAGCCGGGGAAGUAAUUGGGCACAAAUAUCUCGGAUGAGAAAUAACCAUUUUAUCCCGCAACCAUAUGUUUAUGGCCUCUAAAAAUUUUCACCUCUUUCACUUUCUGGAACCCGUGCUUUCUGGCACAUGCACAAAUACUUGGUUGCUACUUAUAGAGCGUUUUUGGAAUUGCAACAACAUGGUGCUCUUUGAUAAUUCAAAAAUCCAAUAUAAUUUAUAGAGAAUUACAGAAUUGUGGUACGUGAUAAUUUGCUGAUGCAAUGAGGCGCCGAAAUUCUUAUACAUGUGAUUUAAGUUAUAUAUGUAUAAUUAAGUAAUUAGAAUAUACUAGUUGGGGGUAUUUGUGUCCAUGAAAAUUUACAGCUGGUUGUUGACAUUACACUGCGGGUGUGUAAGUGUAAUCAUGGAUCUGACCAUUCAAAUUUAAAAAAUGGGGGUCCCGCUAGCUUACGGAGUUAGUAAUUAUUAGAUAUGCAUAUAUGCUCCCAUACGAUAAUCUUAUCAUAAAUUUGAAGGAUACGAGGACUUGAUUGAAGAAAUGAACGAAUAUUUGAAUUAAAAAAAAUUUUAGAAUAAAGACAAGUAUUAAUUUACUAUGAAUGCAACUUACAUAAGCUGUAAGUUAGCGGGACACUAUUAAAUCACAAGCAAAAAGCAAUCUGACUUCUUCUUGAUUCCGUAAUUUGGCUGUCAAAAUGUAAUCUAUAAAAAUUACGAUACCUCGAUUCAAAAAAAUGUUGUUUCUGAUGAAAUAAAUGAAAAUUGAACGUACAAUCUGCCACGAACACUGUUUAAUUAACCGUUUAUUUCCCCUUAAAUUUUUAAUCUCAAUGAAACAUAGAUCUAAUGGGAACUACAUAUAUAUAAAAAUACUAUAGAUUGAAGAAGUUGAAUUUUUCUUGUGUGUUAAGUAUUUUUAGUUAAUACGAAAGGAUUCUAGCAAGUUAAUACAAAAGUAUCAUAAAUUCAUAGUAGUACAAGAGAUUUUUUUUUUCUUUUGAUAUUAAGAGUUUUCGAGAUAAAAAAAAAAAAAAUAGGUGAAAGAAGAAGAUGAGAGAAGAAAAAAUAUUAAGAAUAGUUUUGGCAUUUUGAUGCGUUUUAUAGUGUAAAAUCUAUAUUUUAUAGUAUAAAAAGGUACACCCAUAAUUUAAUGAUAAAAUUUUAGGAAAAAAUUGCACUCGUCAAAAAAAAAAAGAAAAGGCUCAGCUUAGCCCAAAAAUUUUUUAUUAAUCGUCUAGUCGCUAAUGUAAUCUCUUUUUUAUGAGAUUCUUUGGCGUUUUAGUUUAGUCCAUUGUUAGCAAUCCUAAUAGCUUUUAUGUGCAUCUAUUUUUAUUUGGAAUAUGUUUCAAGCUUGAAUAAAAUCUGCGGGACAACUGGUAAGUAAUAAAGCUCAUCAUUUUUUUAUUUUGAAAAUAAAGGGAAUCACUUACACUUAGCAUGAUAUUAUUUUUGAUAAGUCAUUUUUUUGGUAGAUUAUUUUUUCUAACACGCUCUUAGAUUUAGUGAAAAUAAAUUGUAUACUUUUAAUGAAGAAAAGUAAAGAUCAACAAAAUAUUUUGUUCUUUGCGACAACUUUUGCGUUCUCAAGUGCGCCUGAUACCCUUUUUUUUUUAACAUGGGCCCACGUGCCAUGUUUCCAUUUCAAGUUUCAUAAGUUAACAGUAGAAAUGGGUUCCACAGAUAAUUUAUUUUAUAAUUUUUUUUAAAAAUUACUAAAAUAUAAUAAAUAAGGUAAUAAUAAUUAAUAAAAAAGUAGAUUUUAAGAUGGAAAAAUCUUUUUGUGUACUUAAUAAAAAGAUGAUAAGAAUGGGAUGCUUUUAGUUUACAUUCUCAUAGCUAUUUAUACUGAAAAAUUACAUCAAAAUUUAAUUAAUAAAUCAGUGAACUGCAGACUUAUUAAAUUUAAGCUAUUUUAAUAAGUCAUAAAUAUACUAAAUUAAAAUAGUAAUAAACCCAUUGUUACACAAUACUCUCCAUUGAGUGUUCACCAUUUUAAGAUAAUCAUAAAAUGACACCGGAAGUGCUAUUAUAGCUGUCUCAUGGAAAGCCUUCACCAAUAAAAAGGAGGAUAGAGCACAUACAUCCAGUUUUUAUACCCUUUGAUGCUCAGUCGACACGUGCCAAUGCUAUAGACUAGCUUUUCGAAGGUUGAAGUGGGUAUGCUAUUAGUAAAAAGACCUGCAAAAUUAUAGUGUACCUAUUUGACAUCAACUUUUUUUAUCUGCUGGAGCUUAUGAUUAUAGAAGAUCUUCGGUAAGAUGUGUUUGAUUUUAUCUUCUUUUAUAUAUCCUCCUCUAACUUGUGUAAUAGUAGUAAACCCCUGCCCGUUUUUAUUUCGUUUAGUAUUUUCUAAAUGGCCGAAGGAAAAUUGGUAAAAACUCAUUUAAAAAUAAAAAAAAAUCAAAGAAAUUCAAGAAGAAGCUUUGUAUCUGUCAUUUGUAUUUGGGGUAUUUUUUUGGUUGUUAAGUGAAUGAGCUUAAAUCUAAAACAUUUAUUUAUAUAUUUCUUGUUGGAAAGAAUUUAAAUUUUAUUCUUAUUAGACUUAUUCUCUUUAAACAAAGGUAGAUUUUUCUCUAUGUGUUUAACGUGUAUUUUAAAAUUAAUGUUCAACAUAUCUUUAGAUUCUAUUAUAAAUAUUCAUAUCUAAAAUCUCAACAGAUUUCAUAAUAUAUAAAUGUAUAUAAAGAGAGAGAAUAACGUUUCUAAUAAGAAAUUUAUUAAGUUAAAGAAUAAUUCAAAAGAUAAAUUUGUAUUCAACCCAUUUAUAUGAUUAAUUAAGGUUUUAAACAAAUUUUGGACUUGUUCUAUUGUAGAGCUUAAAUUCAAAAUGGAAGAGUGAAGAAGGGAAAAAGAAGACGAAUAAAGAAGAAAAGAGGAGAACAACUUAUACAAAAGAGGGAGAACGAAAAAGUGAAGGGCAGAAAAAGAAAAAGAAUAAAGAAGAAAUUAAUCAUCGCUGAUAUGAAAAUAAUUCCUUCUUCUUUAUUGUUCUUAGUGGUUCUACUUUUUUUUAUUGGAUUCUAAAUUUUUGUCGUAGAUGGAUUAUAAGAACUAGAAAAUUAUAAAGAUAAUUUUUUAAUUAUUCGAUUAAUUAAUUCCAGCAGAAGACAAGAAAUUGAUUCUGCUUCGUUAGAAAGCCAUCACAUUCUAUACGCAAUUGCAAAAAGUAUAUAUUUUUGUCUGUUUUAGACAAGAAUAAAAGGGAUACCUGGUAUUGCAAAUCUAGACACGUUUUAGUGCUUUAUGUCCGAAUGAAUUCUUUCUUGCAACAAUAAACUUGGCCGAUCAGGAUUUGCCGUUUACAUAUGUAGGUCCUGUUGGUUCUGUAGUAGGACUCAUAAAUUUUUAUUUUUAAUUUACUGAAUCCAUAAAUUUAAAAUAACGGUGCAACUCCUGAGGAUGACAAUGGGGCGGGUGAGGUCUUGGAGUCCUGAAAAAAUUUAUAUCUGCAUAUUAAAAAAUGUGGAUCCGAAUAAGAAAAUCCGCAUGAAUCCGAAUGCAAGUGCAUUUGGAAAAUCGGAUAUCGAGAUCUGGAUAAAAAUUUAUUUCAAAUUAAAAAUUAAAUUAAAUAUAUAUUAAAAAGUAAAUGAAAAAUUAAGAAAGUAAAUUUUAUUUGUAGAUUUAUGAUGUCAUUGUAUAUUAUUCAUGUUGAAUUAUUAAUUGUUGGAUUAUGAUUGAAUUUUAUUUGAUAUUAUUGGGUAAAUUAUUGAAUUUCAUUUUAAAUUAAAAAUAUUUAUUAAAAAUUAAAUUUUAUUUGUAGAUUUAUGAGAUUAUUGUAUGUUAUUCAUUUAAAAUUUUUAAUUAUUGAAUUAUGAUUGAAUUUUAUUUGAUAUUAUUAGGUAAAUUAUUAAACUUUUAAAUUUUAUAUUAAAUUAUAAGCAGUAGGAAAUUAUGGUAUUCAGAACAUGUAUACCUUCGCACAUGAAGCUUGAGUCCAGAACAAGAUGCAGCUAGCCAAUCCUUCAACUUCCAAAACCCCACAAAACCUCUGUCAACAUAUCUGCUCUACUUCAAUAUUAAGCACAUUCAUAGCGGUAUCAACAGCUUACAGCUCCAAAAAUAGUUUGAGAUUUCAUUGAAGCUAAGUUGUGACUUGUGACUGUCCAAAUGUUCUGUCACACGAAAUGAUUAUUCUUGUAACACAAAUCCAAUAGCAUGCAAUAUAAUCUACUCUCUAACACUGUGCAUUAGUAAAAUAAAACAGAGUAAAGCAUUAGUAAAAUAAAACAGAGUAAAAAGAGAAACCAUGCCUGUGAAUCUCUUCUCCUCCCCCCACCACCCCUUUUUUUGGUAAAGUCUAUCAAAUGAAAAUGCAGCAUGACCACAUUGGCCACUACCACUGCCAUUACUCCUUCAACUGUGCCCUUUGUUGCAAGAAAUCUUCAAGUGAAAGAUGGAUUAUAUAAUUAAAGAUUCCAAUAGAAGCAGCAAAGGUUGCCUUCCACUAGCCUAUCAGAGAAUAUGCUUUCUAUUUUCCUAGUUUUAAUCAAAAUUUUGCAAGAUUUAUUUAUGGAAAACUUGGACAAAAUUUUAUGUAAGAUACCAUAAAGCCAAACACAAUCUUUUUAAUUCUCAGCAGCAACAUUUAAAGUAAAAAGAUGGAAGCCAUAUAAAUAUAACUAUAUUUGGUACGAGGAACAAUUAUUUCAAGCUUUCAGAAAUGCUAGCAAGAAAUUGUAAGAGAACUUUACCUAGUCACAGAAUAUGUCAAGCAUACUACCACCAACUGUCUUUAGCACAAUUGUUAUGAAGUAGCCUCUGAAUCGGAAGAUUCAAGCUUCCACCAGGCACAAUUAUUUUCAUUCUCCAUACAAUCUGCAGCAGUGGCAUGAGUUAUAUCAUCAACAUUUGCAUCCUCACUCUCAUCACCCCAAUCAAGGCUUCUUCUCCACCUCUGGAUUAUAAGUCCUCUUCGACAUCUUCAAACAUCUCGGUCCUUCCAUUUGCAAACAACCGAUAUGGCUUCUUUCCUUGCCUUCCUCAUCGUUUAUAUCCCCCAAAAAAGGGUCUUUAGACACCUCAACUUUGCCUUCUGCAAAACCUCCACAAAAUCUGAAUUAUCCAACACAACAGCUAGACGCUUGAUCCUUCUUUUGUCCAUCAUAUCCACCGCAUGAUUCCUCAACAAACAUCUGCAGCUUGUGGCUUAUCUAACACUGUCCUGACCCAAAACCCCACUCUUUUCAACUCAUCUGCCAAACCAUAACCCACUUUUGGAGUCAAAAUUGUCCUUGCAGCCCUUUUAUAUUUUUCCAACUCCAUUGAAUACUUGCCACUCAAAUGCACUCUCCUACCUCUAGCUGAUUCUACUUGAUUCAACCUCUUCUUUUGUUUACACUCAUGAAUUUGGAUAAAAUAAUUAACAAGUUUGUCAUUAUUAUAAAAUCUCCUUUCACAAACACCACAUAAAUAUGGCUCAGCAGGCUUAAUUACACCCUUGCUUUCCAAUUGGUUAAACAAUUUUUCUCUUCUCUUUGCUCUCUUACAACUUGAGGCACAUAACUAAAUGCAUGGCUAUUGGCAUAUGCCACCAUGUAUUUAACAACCCAAGUGAAGAUAUUGAUUUGGGGGUUUGUUGUCCAAAUCCCUAAAAAUUCACACAUUGCGUUGGACAGUUUUUAGUUCUACAAUUAAUGAUACGUUAUGUGAAUUAAGCUCCAAAUGAGAACAUCUAAACAAUGAGACAAAUGGGCUCUAGGUUUCUAAUCAGUAAACAUCGUUCAGUCGCAUAAUUUAUGAAAUUUUUGAAACAUCACUACAGCUACAGGUCUUUAUGUGUCAAUGAACUGCAGAAACUAAUGAUCUACUAGUAGUAGACGUUUGUUGUCCCCACCGUUCCAGGAAGAAAAAUAAGUAGAAGAACUACUUUUAGACCAAAAUUAAAAAAUUGAAACUAUCUUGAAAGACUUUCCCUUCAACUAAGUAAAAAAGAAAAGAAAAAAAAAAGGUAUUAGACAAGCAUUUUCAAAGGAAAAAGAUCAUCCAUUUAUUGUAUGUACUCAGGAAAAAUAAAUGUACUAAUAGGUAGAAACACAGCAAUAAAACUCAAAAACUAACAUCUAUAAAGCUCAAUAACAAUUAUGAAUUAGAUAUUUUGGUCCCUUCAUAAUUCCUCCUCUUGACUUCACAUUUCCCCUCAGCCCGUGAUAAUUUUACCUAUUGAAUUCACAUUUCCCCUCAUCCAUUGAACUUUCCCAAUAACAAGAUGAGUCUAAAUCAUCAAUCUCAUUAAACACUCACAUCUACUAAAUAAUAUCGCAUGCAGUAACUUUAAGUAAGGAUCUAAAACUUACAAGAAAAAGAAAACUACUGUUUAUUAAUUUCAAAAUUUACACAAAAUUACAAAUGAUUUUAUAAACUGUACCAAAACAUGUUCUCUAAAAGAGAUUCAUUAUCCUGCAUUUUCAAAAACAAUAUAAACUAACACUAGAAUAGCCAUUUGAUAAUGAUGUGAAUUUGGGCAGCACCAAGAAGCAGUGAGCCCCAUUUGGUGAAAGCAAAAAGAAAAAAAAUUAAAAUAAAGCACUAUAAAUUCUAAUCAAAUUAUUAACAUUAGCUACACAUCAAGAAACCAGAAUAAAAUCGUUAUCUAAACCACAUACUGAAAAAGAAAAAACAAUGCAGUUAAAAUUCUAUCAUUUUCACUUACAAACAAAUAAAGAAAAAAUUAAGAACAAAGGUUGAAGCAAAGAAUGAUUGUACCUUGAGGUACUUGAGGUUAAUGUUUCCAUAAACGAGACCGAGCGAAAAAGCCGAAACCAGAGCAACCUAUUCUUACUACUCAAAAACACGCCCAGAUCAGAAAAUAAAUGAUCAUUCAAUAACAAUUCAUAGGAAAAUGAUGUUUGCCCCGGGUCAAACCCCGGGUCAAACCCCGAAAAUAACUUAAACGGCGUCGUUUUGAUUAUUUUUUUUCUUUUGGAAUACUCCAAAACGACGACGUUUCUGAUGAUAUUUUGAGAAGAAUAAAAUCUAUCUUCCUCUUCGUUUUCGUUUCUUCGUUUCACCUGUGAAAGAACAGAGCAACAGAGCAACAGAGAUCCCAACUUGGUCUUGUUCCGUUUGACCGUAAAUCUCUUCAUUUCUUCGUUUCUUCGUUUCUUCAAAUAACGGCAAUAUCACCCAAAACAAAGUUUCAUGCAAUGUUGUAAAAAAUAAAUUAUGAUUUGAGAACUGAAAAAAUAAUAUGAGAACUAAAAAAAUGAGACAAAUCAAGAAUAUGAGAACUGAAAAAAUUAAUUCAAUGUUACAAUGUUACAAUGUUCUAAAAACGAAGGCCAACUUCCUAAAAUAAAAUUAAAAAACAAAAUGCUACAAUGUUAAUCUUCGAAAAUUAAACUGAAAAAAUGAGACAGUACCGAAAAAAACAAAUCUUCGAAAAUUCAAGCUUGGCACAAUGUUAAUCUUUCGUCCAAACUCAGCUUUCAACCGUCCAAAUUCAGCUUGUCCAAACUCAGCUUUCAACCGUCCAAACUCAGCUUGUCCAAACUCAUCUUUCAACCGUCCAAACUCAGCUUUCAAGGACACAUUUCGCAGCCGAAACUCAGCCGAAACUCAGCUGCUGUUGGUCUUGUUCUUCAAUGGGUACCAAACGAAAAAGAAACGAAAAAGAAACUCAGACGCUUUCAACUCAGCUUCCAAGGACAAAUUUCGCAGCCGAAACUCAGUCGAAACUCAGUUGCUGUUGGUCUUGUUCUUCAAUGGGUGCGAAACGAAAAACAAACUCAGAUGAAGAGGAUGGAGCUUUAAUUAGUAGAUCCCGUUCUGCUGUCGAUGAGUGCUCCGGCUGUGGAUCUCGGUCGAGGAUGGAAGAAACGAAAAAGAAACGAACAAACGAAAAAGAAAAUAAAAGAAAACGACGCAAAUCAUUCAAUAAACAAACGAAAAAGAAAAAAAAAAAAGAAACGACGCAAACGACGCCGUUUAAGUUAUUUUCGGGGUUUGACCCGGGGCAAACAUCAGCACUCUUUCCUUUAUGAAUUGGGAAAAUGCUACUUUCCCCGGGUCAAACCCCGAAUUAUUUCAAAACGGUGUCGUUUUGUUUUUUUUUUUUUCUUUUUACUUGCAUGAAACGUGGUCGUUUGAGCUAGUAAAAACAAAACAAACUAAAGCAGAAAAAACUCAAGUGCUUAUCUUCUCUGCCCCUUUCUUAAUUUCCUUUUGACAAACCACGGAAUCACACCCACAAACAACAAUCACCCACAGUCACGCGAACAGCCGGCACAGACGAAGGAUGAGCCCACAGACGACGGACCACCGCAUUGAAAUCUCUGUCCACAUCACCGGCACCAUCAUCGUAGGUCUGUAACAAACUGUCGUAAGUUAAACCCUUCUCACCGUCGAUGAACUCGACGUAAGUACGGAAUACUUCGUCGAGAAUUGCGUUGAUUUGUUCGUCGCUGAAUUUGACUCGAGGGUUUACGGCCACCACUAAAGCCGCCAUUUCUUCUCUAUUACGGCCACCGUCGCGGUUCGUGUCAAAUUGUUGAAAAAUUCUCUUCACUUUCUCUGAUCUGCUUCCUCUCGUAGCCAUUUUUUUUUUCUGUUUUUCUGGGGGUCAGUUUGGUUUCUCAGUGUUUGUUUGAGAAAGCGGAAUUAGUAGAUAAGGGAAUAUAAGGAAAAGUUGAUAAAAAGGCAAAGGGUGGUUACUUUAAUUGUUGGUGAGAAUAAUGAUGAUGAUGGCUUAAUUCUGGGUUUUGUUGGAUCUGAAUGAAUUCUUAACGGCAAAAGUUAAAGAGUAGAAGAAGAGCAAGAGGACGGACUCUCAUUCUUUCCCUUUUUUCUUUUAAUUUUAAAUAUAUCAAAAACGGCAGCGUUUUGGAGAAACAAAAAAGAAAAAAAAAUUAAAACAAAACGACGCCGUUUUUGUUUUCGGGGUUUGACCCGGGGCAAACAUCAGCACUCAUUCAUAAAAACUCCAUCCCAUCGCAUUUAAAACAAAACAAAGAAAAUAUUGAUUAGAAAAAAAAUUACACGCAUGGAAUAAAAGAAUAUAAAAAUGGAAUUACCAGAGGGAGCUAGUGCCGGAGUAGGAACCAGAAGGCAGCGCCAUAUGAUGCUCUUGUUAUGGUUUUCCUUCUUGUGGGUCUGCGCUGAAGUCGAAGAUGAAGAAACAAGAAAGAGCCAGCAAAUUGAGAAAUCGACUACCAUCUUCGAUUCCGACUCGCAUGGCCAUUUUUCUUUGAUGAAUGAAAUAUUGUUUUACUCCCUAAUUCUUAACCAAAUUACAAGUUUUGACUUCUGUUUGUAUGUUCUUUCAUACGGGUUCUUGUUCACAGGAAUAACAAAUGGGCCGGACGUGUGGCUAAGCCCGGGCCUGGUGUCGAUAGCCAGGCCUGGGCUUUUACGAGCCCAGGCAUUUUAUUCUGAGUAUGAUCCUUAUAUCACUUCACUUUUGUAAUCGUAAUUUUAUUGUACUGAAAAUUAUAUGAACGAUUAAUAUGAAUUUAAUUAAACAAACAUGUCUUUACAACUCAUGCAACCUUACUAUUUUCUAAUCCUAAUAUGUGAUAUAAUUAAUUUUACUGAUAAAAUCAAAAUAAUUUUUAAACAAUGAAGAAAUAAAUUAUAAUAACAGUAAAUUUAUUACGAAAAAGUAUGUUUACAAAAUUUAUUUUAAAUGAUAUGAAAUCUAAUUAAAAUUCUAUUCUAAUUUUAUGCCCUUUUUUACAAUUUUAUUAAAAAGUGGGAUCUCUUAAGAUUUUAGGAGUGUUGGAAUUCUAUUUUUCCAGAUUUGAAUUUUAGUGACCUUUACUUCAUUUAAAUUUUUUGUUAUAAACUUGCAAGCAAGUGCAUUUAGGAUAUCUUUGGUGAACUGGAUUGUAACAAUAAUUUUAUUUAUUAAAAUUAUUAAAAGUAUUUAAUUAAUAAAACUUCACGUAUCCUCGGGUCUAACCAAUCAAAUUCUUUCUCUCAAAAGUACACAAAAGUGAGAUUGGCUCUUGCCUAUUAGUUAACAUAUGCAUAUUAAUUAACACUGACAGAUAUAUAGAUAUACAGCACAGCUAGCAGCACAUUCGACUUACAGAUAUACAGAACUUGAACAUAAUUCACAUAUCUGAAGGGAGAGGGAUAUCGAUGUUGCGGCCUGCAAUUCAUAACAUAUCAUCGGUCAUUUAAUCUAGAAUUGAGGAGAGAAAAUGAGUCUAAAUUCGAAAACUUUGGCACUAUUUACAUAUCAUUAUUUGGGUGAAAAUUCAUUUCUCUGCUUUGAUAUGAUUUGGUCUUUCAUUGUUACGGUGCCAAUUUUUUAUUUAAAGAUGUAAGGUAGUGGUACUAUAGCUUAUAUUUUCCGUAAUUACUAUCCGGUAAGUACAAAAAUAAAAUACUAGUUUAAAAUAUAAAAAUGAAAAAUUAUUUUUAUAACCAAUAUUCAAUUAAAUACAUUUAAAACUCUAUUUUUUCUUAAUAAAAAAAAUUCUAAUUUAUUUUCUCAAUUUAUCUAAACAACUUUACCUAAUCAAGCUAAAUCUACAUAUUACCCUAAACCUUAAUUCAUAAACACCCAAUCAAUCUAAUUGUUAAAUCUUAUUUCAUAAUAAAAAAAAAUUAAUUUCUUUUUUAUUAUUUAUGGUGCAAAGGAAAAAAUGAAUUUAAAGGUAAAAUUGAUAUUUUAUUUAAAUUUUGUUAAUAUUCUAAUAAUAUUAAUGUCUUGGUGGUUAAUAAAAGCAUAAAGUUAAACUUUUGUAGUAUUUUUAAUAAUAUGGUAAAGAUAUAUGUUUGAUAAUUUUCUUAUGUCUUUUUACGUUAAAUUGAGUCUCAAGUAUAAUGAAUAAAUAAUACAUAUUAUAAAAUUAGUGUAGAUAAAUAAUACAACUUGAAAAUAUUAUAGUAUUCUUAAUAAUAGAGAAAUUUAAAGGUGGAUAGUUGAUUGUUUAAUGAAACAACUACAGAAUUUUCCUUUCAAAUAUCUUUUUGAAAAAACAUGAUUGAGUAAAAAUUAUUUUACAGAAUGACCUUUCAAAUGCCCAUUCGACAAGCCAAGAAGAAAGGGUAGCUAACAAAUUUACAAGUACCAGAGAUCCAGAAACACAUUUAUAGCCAAUCCAUUUAUGAGUUACAUUCAACACUCUCACAAACUGAAAAAAUAAAAAUUAUUACGGUCAAGACGCACACUUUUUGACAUCCAAAAAGCUAAACAUUUGAAGUUCUUCAAUACAAAAUGCAUACUAAAUUGGCACAAUUAAUGCCCAUGGAAGGGUCAUCAAUUUAAGCCAACAAAUUUGCCAAAGUUUUAACAGUGAACACAAAAGGAACAUGUAAAAUUUGAAGUUGAACAAAUCUUCACAUGCAUACAACAAGCCUUAAAACUUUAGUCUUCACAAUUUGAGCACGCAAUAAAUAUUAAGUGACCACCCGCAGAACAAGUCUAGAAUAAACUUGUUAGGUUCUUGCGCGAACUGAACCCCUCUGAAACACUAAAAGAGAAAGUACAAAAUAAAGAAGACCAUAUUACGUGGCUAACUAACAGCCAUUCCCAAAGAAAUGAGAGUGAUGAUAACGUCUUUUUUUUUUUUUUUUCCUUUCAAUCAUAUUUCUCGUCAUCUUCUUCUUCACGGGCAUCUACACUGACGUCUCCCUCUUGGCUGGCAUCUUCCUCGUUUGUAGUCGGUCGCUAUCCAACCAACAAAUUGGGCAUUAAAGAACAAACAGAGAAAAUUAUAACAAUAAGAACUAUAAACAUGAAAAGAAAAAAAAAAAAAAGAUAUUUGAAGGGAAAUUUUGGUAGAACUCUAUGGCUCAUCCGUGAAAUUAAUGUUAAUAUAUAUGUUUAUGUAAUGACGGUCUAUUGAUUUUAGGAUAGAUCAAUAAGCUAUUACAAACGAAAACAUGAACCAACUAUAUGUAGAGUUAAUUAAUUUAAAGUUCUCAAGAGCUUACCUCUGCUCCAGAAUUCUCGGAAUCAGCGCGAAACUUGGGACAACGACAAACGCGUGCAAGUGGAACUGGGAUCUGAUAACCCGUAGGCCAAAAGUUGGUGAGGUUUGGUAAAUCUUUCAGACUCACGUACGGAAGUUCGUCCAUAACAAUUUCAUCGUAAUCCAUGACGUGUGCUCCAUCUUUAUCCCAGAAUACUUCUUCUAAUUCAUCAUUACUAAAUAUCUCUAGUUUCAUUAGUUUUUGAAGACUUGGAGCUACGCUGAUAUGAAAUAGAUACUUUAGUUUGGGGCAAUGACCGACAAAGAUCCAUGUGAGUUUUGGGAAACAUAUAGGUUGGAGAUGAUCCUCAUCCUCAUCCUCAUCAAUGAUUUGCUCUAAUUCCCAGCAUUUCCAAAUAUAUAACUUCUCCAAUUGCAACAGAUUUCGAGCAAGUGUUGAUGAGAGGAGACGUCUCAGCUUAAUGCACCCCCUUACGGUUAAAUCAGUAAGAUUUUGCAGGCUAAAAUUAUGGGUGGGACCUUCAUGAUAUAAUAAUACUUGCAGUUCUCGAAGAUCUUCCAAUUGCAACGACUCCAAACAUGGGAAUAGUUUGUUUUCUUGUCCCUCAGCGAUAAUAGCUUCCACUUGAAAUACCACCUGUACUCCAAUUUCCACAAUAUUCAAUUCUUCCAAAUUUUUUAAUCCAUGCUUCAACAGUGCGGGAAUUGUGUCACACAAAUGGGAGCAAUCUUCCACAUCUAGAGUAUUUAAGUUCUGAGACAAAUAAAUAAAUAACUUGAUACAAUUAACAUCUAUUAGCAGCUACGAUUAUCACAUGAUAAGCAAUAAACUAACACCAAAAAAAAAAAAUCUAAAUCCGUACAAAAUAGUUAUACUUUAUGAAAGUAAUGGAUUUAUUAAAAAAAUGAAAUUAGUUAAAAGAGAUCGUGUGAAGUGAUAUAAUGGUGAAAUCGGUUUGUUUAUGAAAAUUUUGUAUUCUAUUUCUAUGGCUUGAUUAACGAAUUAAUUGAAUUUGCUUAAUAUUAUAUGUACUCCACCAGUGUUUGCAUCCAUUUUUUUUUCCUUCAAAAGCGAAGCGAGAUUUGACUUUCAUUUGAAGAAUGAAUUUUAGGCCCUAAAAUAAGGAAGUUUCCCUAACAUAUUGGAUUUUAUUAUUAUCAUCACCAUUAGCACUACGAUCAUCAUCAUCAUCUCUCUCUACAAAGCCAAAUGCAAGGUGGUAUGAAUGGCGGAUCAUAAAAAUUAUUGAUAAACUAUCAAUUUGAAUAAAAUUGAAGAAAAAUAAAGAAAAAAACAUAAACACAAACGAACAUACCUCUCCAAGAUACUGCAAAUUGGCUUCAAGUUCAGUAUUGUGGACAGUCAAGUUUGGACAGCUGGUUACAUCUAACUUUUCCAACGCUGGCCAAGUUGAAUAAUAAUUUUCUGAACAAAAGCUAAUGAGUUGGGAGACCUUCAAGGCUUAAAUUUCUCAACAAAGAGAGCUCGAGUAUUCUAUUUUCAUCUGCUACACUUAUUUCCCCUUCAUUAUGAUCAAACUUUACUUUGACGAUGCAUUCCAGUCUCUCGCAUCCACUCACUUCGAGACUUUUAAGCUGCACCAAACUUCGAGCUUGUGACAACGAGAAGAUAUAUGUCAAGUUGUUGCAUCCGUACACACUCAGUGCUGUAAGAGUUUGGAGGCUCACAUGUUGGGCGGGCGCCUUCCAUAUCUGCUUCAGUUCUGGUAACUCCUGCAUAUAUAACCUUGCUAAUCUUGAGAGCAUCAUAGGAUUCCCACUCUCUCCUUGCGGCGACUGAGAGGCAUCCAUUAUGCAUUCUAAAUCUUCACAAUUGUUGACAAAAAGAAAAGUCAACUUAUUUAAGCCCCUUGGAUCUAUGCUUGGCACAAUAUUAUGACAACUUAUUAUGUCAAACAAAGGUUUCAAUGCAGAAAAUAAUUCUUUCGUAUAUUCUUCUCCAAAUCAGAGGCAAUAUAUGAAGCUAAUUACAUCCUAAAAAAGGAAGAAAUAAAUUGUUUCUAUAUUUAAAUACAAGAUUGAUCAACUAAAAAGAUUCCCGGACGUAAUAACAAAAUCAAUUCUAUAAUUGACAGCACAUGCCGACAGCUCAUGCUAGCUCAUGCCGACACUCCCCCUCAAGUUGGAGCAUAGAUAUCUAUCAUGCCCAACUUGUCAAUUAUAUCAUGAAACACCCUUCCUGAUACUGUUUUUGUGAGUAUGUCAGCCAACUGAUCUCCAGAUUGAACAAAUGGGAACUGUAUAGUUUUCUCGUCAAGCUUCUCCUUGAUGAAAUAACGAUCUACUUCAACAUGUUUUGUGCGAUCAUGUUGUACAUGAUUCUGGGCAAUCUCUAUGGCUACUUUAUUAUCACAUUUAAGAUUCAUGGGUUUUGCAUAAUCAAUCCCCAAAUCUUUCAGUAUGUUCUUGAUCCAUAACAUCUCACAUACACCUUGUGCCAUUCCACGAAAUUCCGCUUCAGCGCUUGAUCUUGCCACAACCUUCUGCUUCUUGCUUCUCCAAGUGACGAGAUUGCCUUCAACAAAUGUAAAAUAACCUGAGGUAUAUCUUCUUGUUGUCUGGUCACCUGCCCAAUCAGAGUCCGUAUAUCCUUCAAUGUUUGAGACAGUAUUUUUUGAGAACAAUAAACCUUUUCCAGGAGCACACUUCAAAUAUCUCAGAAUUCGAUAGACUGCAUCCAUAUGUUCUUCACUUGGUGAAUGCAUGAAUUGGCUUACUAUACUUACGGCAUACGCUAUGUCUGGCCUUGUGUGGGAUAAAUAGAUUAACCUCCCAACUAGCCGUUGAUAACGACCCUUAUCAUUUGGUAAAAUCCCAAGCUUGUGAUUCAUCUCUAUAGGCGUUUCAACUAGUUUACAAUCAAGCAUACCAGUUUCAGUGAGGAGAUCUAACACGUAUUUUUGUUGUGAAAGAAAAAUUCCACUUUUCGAUCUUGCUACCUCAAUCCCCAAGAAGUAUUUAAGCUGCCCAAGAUCUUUCAUUUCGAAUUCAGUAGCCAAAUGUUCUUGUAGUGCUUUCAUUUCAGAUAAAUCAUCCCCUGUUAACACCAUAUCAUCAACAUACACUAUUAACACCGUCACUUUUCCGCCUUUGUGUUUUAUAAACAAAGUAUGGUCUGAAUUACUUUGUUUAUAACCAGCAGCUUUCAUUGUCGCUGAAAACCUCCCAAACCAUGCCCUAGGUGACUGUUUUAGUCCGUACAAGGACUUCUUCAGCUUACAUACUUCAUUCCUAUGCAUAGAACUAUGUUUGACACCAGGAGGUAGCUCCAUGUAAACUUCUUCUUCUAAAUCUCCAUUGAGAAAAGCAUUUUUGACAUCGAACUAUUUUAAGGGCCAAUCUCGAUUUGCUGCUAUAGAAAUAAUAAUACGAAUGGUAUUUAUCUUGGCUACUGGUGCGAAAGUGUCUUGGUAAUCUAAUCCAUACCUUUGUGUAUAUCCCUUUGCCACUAGUCUCGCUUUAUACCUAUCAAUGAUUCCAUCCGCUCUGAGUUUUACCGUGAAUACCAUCUACAUCCAAUUGUUUUCCUUUCCUUAAGUAGUGAAACCAGUUCCCAAGUGGCAUUUUUUUGUAGAGCUUCCAUCUCUUCAUUCAUCGCCUUAGUCCAUUUUGGAUCCUCCAAAGCAUCCUGUACACUACUAGGAAUAGAUAUAGUGGAUAAUUGAUUAAUAGUAAGUGCAUAUGAUUCACACAACCUAUGAGAUGACAUGUAGUUACUGAUUGGGUAUUUUAUUUUGGAUUUGGGAUCAGGUUCAUAUUGUUUAUUUGGAAUUCCUCUAUUUGACCUUUGUGGAUAUUUAGGAUUCAUGUCUUCUACAGAAAAAAAUGGUUCAUUAGACUCAUUAGACAAUGGAUUUGAAAUUACAUGAGGAGGAACACUUUCGGUUAAUUCUUCAGUUAAUGGUGUAGACAUGGGUAGCUCUAGUGGCCUUGAUUGUGCUUCAGACAUGUCCAGAAAAUUGGAGGGAUCACAUUCGGUUUCAGUCAUGUUAUCACACCCUUGUUGAACCUCAUUUCCAUCACUGUUUUGAAGUUUUUCGACCAUGUCUUCUAAUUCUACAAAAUCACCUCCUCCUUCAUUUUCCCUUUGACCAUUCUCUUCACACAAACUCUCCCCCUGGAGGGAAUGGUAAGAGACUCCCCCUGAGUAAUAAGGUUCUAAUUCAUGAAAAGAGACAUCCAAAGUUACAUGCAAUUUUUUUGUGUGUGGAUCAUAGCACCUAUAACCUUUUUGAAGAUCAGAAUAGCCAAUAAAAACACAGCGUUUGGCACAUGGAUCAAGUUUAGUUCGUAAACUUUUUGGAAUGUAAGCAUAAACAAUACAACCAAAUAUUCGGGGUUCAAGAUUAGGAAGAUGAGGAAUUGAGAGUAAGGAUUGCAUUUUUUGUUGGGGAGUUUGAAAAUCUAGCACUCGUGAAGGGGUUCGAUUAAUGAGAUAAGCUGUCCCCAAUAAAACCGAGGCAUGUUCAUGCCAAAAAGAGAAGCACGAACCACCUCUAAAAUCUGUCUAUUUUUCCUCUCAGCCAGCCCGUUUUGUUGUGGGGUGUAAGUGCAUGAGGUCUGAUGACGAAUUCCAUGAAUGUUUAAAAACUUGCCAAGAGAGGCAUCCAUAUACUCAGUACCAUUGUCAGAUUGAAGUACACGAAUCUGCUUUUGAUAUUGAGUACUUACCAUUUUGUGAAAUUCUUGAAAGGCUAGACAUACAUCGCUUUUUUUUAUAAGUAAAGACACCUAAAUCAUUCUAGUACAUUCAUCAAUAAAUGUCACAAAAAAACGAGCUUUAGAAAGAGAAGCAACUUUUGCAGGACCCCAAACAUCGGAAUGAAUCACCACAAAAAGGUUCUAGACUUUUAUUUAAACUUGGUAAAUAAGAAGUGCGAUGGCUUUUAGCCAUCUCACAAAUGUCACAAUGAAAAUUCAAAUCAUUUAGAGUUGAAAAAAGAUGAGGCUGUAAUUUUUUGAGAUAACCAAAAGAAAGGUGUCCUAAUCUACGAUGCCAUAACCAAACAUUUGCCCGAGUUCUAUCUUUAUUAGAAGCUUGAUUUGCCUGACUGAUAUUUGGUCCCUCAUUUUCUGUCAAUUCCAAGUAAUAGAGUUUACCCCGUCUAACACCAUAAUCAAGAAUCUUCCGAGUUAGGAUGUCCUGAAAAACACAAAAAGCGGGCCAAAACGUUACAGUGCAAGCAAGUGUGGAGGUAAUUUGGCUAACCGACAAAAGAUUAUAUUCAAGAGAUGGGACAACAAGAACUGUAUCUAAUGUAAGAGUAUUACUCAAGGUAAUAGACCCUUCCCCAAUAAUAGGAGAAGUACUACCGUUUGCAGUGGAGAUAACAGAUUGAGAAGAGGGAAGAACAGAUUUUAAUUGGCUAGAAUCUCUGGUCAUAUGCUCAGAUGCACCUGUAUCAAUAAUCCAUAUUCUAUUCUUAGAAGUUACAGAACAUACAGAUGUCUUACCAAUAAUACCUGGGUGGGCAACAUUUGCUGAAGGGGAUGGUUGUUCUUCAUCCUUUGCUGCUGUCACAUUAGCCUUCCCAGAUAUUUUCUUACGGGGCUUCUUUGAGAAAUCCCACCAAUCUGGAUAGCCAAUGAUUUCAUAGCAGCGUUGUUGUGAAUGACCUUUUUCUCCGCAGUGAGUGCACACAAGGUUGUUAACUUUGCUGGAUGAUUGAUUGCCUCGAUUUUUUGAAGAUCCAUUUCGGUUUUGACUGGCCAGCAUGGCAAGGUUCUCCGAAAUUAAAUUAGAGCCUCUCAUUGUUUGUCUCUGUUGGUAAUCCCUUCUAACAUAAGCAUAUGUGCUUUCUAAAUCAAGUUUUGGGUAUUUUCGCAAUAUUUCUCCACGAACCUGUUCAAACUCUGAGUCGAGGCCACUUAGAAAAAUAUGAACUCGAAGCCUAGCCAUUGCAGAAUGCAGCUGUAAUAGCCCUUCGACUGUGCCUUCUUUAGUGGUAGUCCUAUGAUCGAUUUCCUGAAAAAUGGCAACCAGUUCAUUGUAAUACGUUGGCAAUGGUCGCCCAUCCUGUUUGGUAGAGAAAGAUCUCUGGUUCAGCUCAAAAAUACAGGUUUCAUCGGUUCCAUCAUAGAAGGUUUUCGAUACAGCCUCCCAUAUAUCUUUGGCUGUAGGGAGACGAAUAAAUCGUUGCAUCAACGAUGGACUCAUUGAGUCAAUCAACCAGCUCUUGACUCUUUGAUUUUCAGUAAUCCAUGAUCCAAGAUUAGGAUCUCCUGGUGCUGGUUUCUUCGUUUCUCCAGUAAGAUAACCAGCUUUGUUGCGAGCACUAAUCCGCAUCUCUAUGAGUUGAGACCAUAAUGAGUAGUUGGUCUCAUCCAGAGUGAUUCCAGUUGGAAAUGCCGAGUUGUCUUGAUGAACAACAACUUGUGGUGCUGGUGGUGGGAUAAUAUCCAUUGAUACGCCUGUGAUAUCAGUCAUAGAGAUCACAACAACGGUGAAUAUUCAGAAUACGAAUACAAAUUUCGAGAGAAAAAAAGAAAAAAGAAAAUAUUCGGUUGUCAACACAAAUUCUCUUGAUGAGGAACCUGCUCUGAUACCAUGUCAAACAAAGGUUUCAAUGCAGAAAAUAAUUCUUUCGUAUAUUCUUCUCCAAAUCAGAGGCAAUAUAUGAAGCUAAUUACAUCCUAAAAAAGGAAGAAAUAAAUUGUUUCUAUAUUUAAAUACAAGAUUGAUCAACUAAAAAGAUUCCCGGACGUAAUAACAAAAUCAAUUCUAUAAUUGACAGCACAUGCCGACAGCUCAUGCUAGCUCAUGCCGACAUAUUAUCCUGCUCAAAUCAAGAAAUUCCAGAUUUUGAUACAAUGCUGAAAAAAUAUUGAGCGAGGUCGCUUCAAAAGGGUAAUCAAUGAUUAAGCUCCUUGUCUUAUCAGCAUCUUCCAUUUUAUAGUCAACUCCUUCACCUUUAAUCGUGUACCUUUGCAAUUUUGGGAAUGUAAAAUCUUUUGAAAGAUAUACAACAGAUCUGCCAACUUGGAAGUUAAACUCAGCAAGCCUAGCAUUACUUUCUUCUGAACUCAUCACUUCAACCUCCCAAUCUUUUAUCCGACCAUAAAAUUCUUCUAAUUGAGGAAAUUUUUUUAUCGUAACGGGAGAAACAGAACCAGUAUCAAUAUAUAGAAGUUUCAAUCUACGAAGUUCAUCCGACAAAUCUUCAGGAAUUUCAAUGGGAGAAUUCUCGAGAUAAAGAAGUUCAAGUCUUUUCAACUUUCCAAGAAAAGACGCGUCACUCACAUGACGUCCAAUCAACUGCAGAACUCUGAGGCUAUUGGCAAGGAAUCGAAGCGAUUUUAGUGAAAGGACUCCAUUGAUUAUAGUAACAACUUUCAAUGCUGGCAUCCCUUCAAAAAAAUUUUCUGGAACUUGCAAUUUGUAGCGAUAUAGAUUAUUGUGCAGUCGCAAAAUAUGAAGGUUAGGGCAUACCAAACGACUAGGAAGCUCUUCUUGUUUAUUUCCCAUUACAGAGAUUCCUCUAUAUUGCUCCAGGCCUUCUUCCAUUGCCCGUUCUACCAAUCCAAUGCCAACUUUACUAAAAAAUUUCUUCUCCACUAGUGCUUCUGAGCCUAUCCAUAUGGCUACAUCACGAACUAUGUCAUGCAUUUUCACAGAUCUGUCAUUACCAGUGUCUAACAGCAGUGAAGCAGCUUUGAGUCCCUCAAUUAUUCCACGCAGUAGGCUUCUGGCGUUCUCUAUCGACUCAGCUGGAUGCCAAAUCAACCCCACACCGUAUCCAACCAAAACCUCCAAAUAAAUGUCAUAAUCUUCUGGAAACAUCGAACACAACAAGAAGCAUAACUUGGAAUCCUCACCAUUCAAAUUGUCGUAACUAAAUUUAAGACAACCACAAACGUUUCGCUCAUCCUUAUCAAUCCCUUCGAUUGCAUAGAGUUUUGCUUCCCUUAGGUUAUGUAGAGCUAGAUUCCAUUCAUCAAAUCCUUUUCCUCUUAGUGCACUUCCAACAGCUUCAAUAGCUAAAGGCAGCCCCUUACAUUCUCCAGCAACAUCUUUGGAAACAUCAUUGAAGGUGGAGUCAUUCACAUCAAUGCCGGCAUUUUUUUGCAGUAAAGCCAAUCCUUCUUCUGGCGUUAGUGUACCCAGUGGAAUCUGCGAGUCACAACGCAUGCGUUCACAAACUGACUGCAGGCGAGUAGUUAGAAGGAUUUUGCAGCGAUUGUCUCUAUCACCAAUGGGUAUACCUAAUUUUUCCUUCAAGUUUAGUUCGUUCCAGACAUCAUCGAGGAUUAUGAGGAUUUUGGUGCUUUCGCUCGCAGAAAACAUCGAGCGCAGUUGGUCUGCUCCAUCUUUUUCAUCUUUCUGCUUUAAUUCCCAACCUAAUGAAUUUACCAGCUCAUUUUGAACAUUUAUUAUGUUUGGAUGCUGAGAUACAGUGGCUAGCCCCACUUUAUCGAAAAUCUUUUGUUGCCGAAGUUGACUGCCCACAAAUUUUGCCAAGGUCGUCUUUCCUACACCACCGAGGCCAUGCAAUCCCACCUUCUUUGUGCUCUCUUUUUUCAGCGCGUCAAUGAUCAGAUUGUAAGCUGAUUCUGUGGUCUUGUAAGUAGAAGAAAAAUAACUUGGUAAACUUAAUUCUCUCUCUAAUGGUGGAGGUUUAGCAAGGGCAGCUGUGUUGAAUUGGCUGUAGUGUUGUAGCAGAUCAAACAACUUCCUAGUCUUCUCUGAUGCUUUUCCGCCCAGACUAUAUCGGCAACCCCAUUCAGGACACAAUCCAUGAAGACUACUAUCCUUUUUAUCUAUCUCUGCUUUCAACUUUUGAAUAUCGCCCAAUUCCCCGUCUACAUCCUUCAGCCACUCCGUUACAUUUUGAUCGACUACUAUGUCGGGGCGUUUUUGUCGUUGAUCUUCUAUUCUCUUAUUGAUGACAUCUAGUGCCUUCUUCAACUUAGUUUGUUCAACCUCAAGUUUUUUCACAAUGCGGUCGAAACAGAAUAGAUAGGAAGUUCUUUGAUUUCAUUCACCAAAUAUUUUCCAAUCGAUUCUAAAAGUGGUUUAAAAAUUUCUUUUAAACAAUCUUUUAAAAUUUCCAUGCUAUUUAUCUGCAAAUAAAAAAGUUGAUCUCAAUACGCUAUAAGCAAAAGAACGAGGCUUGAUCACAAGAUCGAAUGAAGACGUUUAAUUACCUUUUUUUGUUAUGUGAAUGCACGUUUAUUAACACCAGCUUUUUUUUUUUUGGUCUAAUCCAUCCGGUAUCCGGUGACCACAUUGGGCCCCGACUACUCCGGAUUCGGAGAGAGGGCGUAAUUCUCCUCCCAACGUAGGCGACUCCACCAAGACUCGAACUGGGGAGCAAACCCAGUCGAGCCCCUGAGGGGUUCAGCCCGCUGCCAACUGAACCAACCAGUCGUUGGUUUAUUAACACCAGCUUUGAUCAAUAAGAGCAAAAUGCAAACGCCGGGCUUCAAGAGUUCUAAGUGGCCUUUAGCUGCAGAAUAGAAGAUGACAAAUAAGGUAAAACGUUCCCAGCAAACGUGAUAUGUGGUGGACUUAAAAUGAUACCUUAUUUGGGAUGAUAAAGAUUGGGGUAAAUUCUCUUUUGUUCUCAAAAUUUUGAACCUAUUAUCAGUUGUAGUAUUUGUAUUUUUAAAAAUUACCUAAAACAUGCAUGUCACUACUUUCAUAGCUAUUGAACAUUUCAUUUCAAAUAUAAAAUACUAUAAAUUAAAAAUCAAACAAAUCUAUCAUGCAACAAACGAAAAGUAAAUACUAAUAAUUAGGUUUUAAUGGAAACUAAUAUAAAACAUAGAGGUUUUAAUUAAUUUUUGUGAUUUCUUUUAAUGUUCGAUUUAGAAUUGAAUAAUUUGUAUAAGGAAAAUAAACUGCAAAAUAAGUUUAUAUGCCGAACUUAAAAUAGUUUCAUAUUAGUAAUCAUAUAAUUAUCAAAUUUUUUAAUAAAAUUUAUUUAAAAAUUGACCAAUUGCGUUUCAUGAGGAAAACAGAGAGCAUAAUGGACUUAUGUUGCGACUUGGGAUUGAAAGGCCAGAAGGUAGUGUUAGCCUAUAUGGCUAUAAAAUAUUGAUUUUGAUGAUAACAAACCACAUGUAUUGACUAAGCAAAGAUUUAUAAAUUAUGCUUUUAUAAUAAGAAAAUAAUGUUAUGGAAUUAAAGUAUUUUGGACUAAAAUGAAAGUAUUUUAAAAUCUUUGAUAGUGUUUUUAAAUUUCGGAUUUGGACCUAUUUAAAACUAUUUAAAUGUUUUUGGGUCAUUCUAUAAGUAUGGGUCAGUUGAAAUUUAAUGGAAAAGUUUACGACAUAGUCAAAGUUCGAGAGCUAUUUUCAAUUUGAGGAUAAAACAAUGUUGCAAUUGUUGGCUUGUUGCAACAUUCCAUAACUUUUGUGUAUUUGUGGCUUAAGUAUAUGGCAGUCCUUGAUAUUGUAUAUUACAUAUAUCCUGCCUUCAACUCACUGAGAGUAAGAGUGCCACUGUUGUCAGUGUCCAUCUCUCUAAAUUUUUCCGUUAGCUUUUGCUUUUCUCCUGUUGGAAGAUUUUCCACAAUGACCUGAAAAUCCACUCAGUUUUAUCAGUAGAGGAAGCACAAUUAAAUGCAUAAAUUUAAUGGCUUGCACAUAUAUAGCUAACUGAAUAUAAUAACAAGUACUUCGCAAUAAAACAUUGUUGGUGAGGAAGUGCAGAUGCAGAAAUUCGAUCAAGCAUUUAACUAAUGAUUGUCGCUGUUGUAUCCAAUUCUCAUACUUAGCCCUAAUCUGAGCUAGCUCCUAAAUGGGAAGAAUCUUUUUAAUUACAUGCGUAUGUAUAUAAUUAUUAGUUAGCUAGUUGUGGUCAAUGUGACCUGUAUUUUAUCAAUGGAAUUUUAAUCAGGUGUGCGCGACAUCACACAUUGUGCACUAGAUCAAUCCUCUUAUCAAUUAAUAUAUAUUAUAUAUAGAUAUAGACACGUAUGUGAGUGGAGGAAGAAAAAAAAAUUAAGAAUAAUUUUGGCAUUUUGAUGGGUUUUAUAGAGUAAAAUCUAUAUUUUCAAAUAUGAUAAUUCUUUAAUUUAAUUUGGUGUUAUGAAAAAAGGGCAUUUUAAAUAUGUUUUAAGUUAUAAAUAACUCCAUCCAAAAUUUAAAAAUGAAAUCUGGGGGGGGGGGGGGGGGGAGGAGGGGGGGAAUUUCACCCGAACUAACAAAGGCCCAGAGUAGCCGCGGCUUUUUUCACCAAUUCUCUAAUUCCCAAUGUGGUCUAAUUAUUUACAAGGAAUAUGAGAUUCUCUACCACUCCAAUUUAUCCCAUUGUUAGUAAUCUUAUUAGCUGUUUUAUAUCCUAUUUUUAUUAUGCUCCCCAAACAAAUAUGUUUCACCUAAAGGUGCCCAACGGGCUGCACCGUCCGUCUGAAUGAACGCAUGAGAGGCUCCACAUGACCCGGCAAUCUUUUUCUUUUUAAUGAGGGCGUGACUGAUAUGCUUUUUCAAGUCUAACGCUCUUUUUUUUAAAAUCCAUAUAUUUUUUUAAGCUCAUGUCAAAUUCGGUAGUAAGAGAAUGCAAUGCUAGUUAAUAAGUUAAAGUGCAUCCGUGCCACUUUUUUCUUGUUGUUUUAUUUGUAUGAUAAUUAUCAUGGACCCACGUAACUUUCUUUUCCAUUUAAAAUUUUAUAAUAUAUUAAAUUAGACAAAAGAAAUGAAUCCCACAAAUAAUUUAUUUUAUAAUUUUUUAAAUAAUACUAUUUUAAAAUAAAUUAUUAAAACAAAUUUUAUAUUCACUAAAAUUAAUCAUAUUCAUAUUAUAAAAUAUAAAAACAACAUUUGAAAAAUAAUAUCAAAUACACCCUUAAAUUUUAUAUCGGCACUAGAACCGAUGAACAAUUUUUGACAAAGAUGUUGCGACCUAAGUAGGGAUAGCAACUAAAUUCGGAUCCAACUCGGAUAUGUAAGGAUCCGAAAGAUCCAGAUCCAGAAAAUUUUUUAUCUGAAUAUUAAAAAAUGUUGAUCCGGAUAUAGAAAUUUGGGAUCUGCACGGAUUGGGAUGGAAGUACAUUCGGAAAAUUGGAUGUCGAGAUCCGGAUAAAUUUUGUUUCAAAUUAAAAAUAUAUAUUAAAAAUUAAAUAAAAAUUAAAAAAGUAAAUUUUAUUUGUGGAUUUAUGAUGUUGUUGUAUAUUAUUCAUGUUGAAUUAUUAAUUGUUGGAUUAUGAUUGAAUUUUGUUUGAAAUUAUUGGGUAAAUUUUUGAAUUUUAUUUUAAAUUAAAAAUAUUUAUUAAAAAUUAAAUAAAAAUAAACAUUAAAUUUUAUUUGUAAAUUUAUGAGAUUAUUGUAUGUUAUUCAUUUUGAAUUAUUAAUUGUUGAAUUAUAAUUAAAUUUUAUUUGGUAUUAAUAGGUAAAUUAUUAAACUUUCAAAUUAUAUAUUAAAUUAUUUAAUUUUAAAUUUUGCAGAUCCGAAUAUCUAGAAUAUUUGUCCGCAUAUUUUUUUACGAAUCCAGAUAUAGAAAUAUGAAUAUGGAUCCAAAUUCGGAUUUUGACAACCCUAGACCAAAGCAUGAAUGUGCCUAAAGUUUUUACUAAGAACAUGGAUCAUUCAAUGACCCGACAUGUUUUGCAGCUCUCAUUAGUAUAAUUGAAUAAUUAAUUCAUCUCUAUAUUCAGCUUACACCGUCUCAAAUUGCAUGCAAAUACGAAAGUACACAUCUGAAUCGUUCACUUGAGGAAAAUUAAUUUUAACGCAAUAAGUCCUAAUUCUCCACGUAGAAUUUUAAUUCAAAGCAUAGCAAAUUAGACAUAAUUCUAAUUUAUAUGGGAAAUAUAAUUAGCGAAGACACUCUUUAUAUAAACAUUAUUGUCAUAGGAUGCCAAACCUAAUAAGAUUCAAGAUCUUAACAUACUUCAUAUGAAAUUUGAUCUUGGCGCGUACCGACACGCUUAACAUCAAGACUCUACUUCAUAUAAUGUAACUUCAUGGAUUUUUUGCUCUCUUGUGAAAUUGACAAUUAUUGGCGCUGUGUGGCAGUGGUACAUAAUAAAAUAAACGUUUAUUUUUAGAAUAUUAUUAUUUAUCUCAAUUUUUUAUUUAAUAGUUAAUUUUAAUAAAUUCUUAAACUGUCAUAAUCAAUUAAUUUUUUACAUUAUGGCAUCUUAAAUAAAUUUUGGAUCUAUAAUAAAUAAAAACUGGUAACGUUUGUUCUAUUAAAACAUAAAACAACCGUAACAUUGGUUUUUACAUUUUGAAUUUUUCUUGCAUCACUAUUUAGAAAAAUGAUGUUAAAUCAACUCACAAAAUAUAUCAAGCCAUCUAAAAUCCAAAUAUUAUUACAUUUGUAUUUGCAUUGUUAAAUUGUUGGAACGACGGCAAAGCAAUUGAAAAGAGAUUAACAAAAAAGUAAAGAUUGGCCAAGGAUUAUUCAUGUUUAGGAAAUGCCUUAACUUUUGAUAUAAUCAUUGUUAUAAUUAUAUUGUAGAAAUAAUCAAUUACCUAAUGUUUGUGGUGGUAAAUAUUAUUAACUUGUUUUACUAUACCCAUGUUUAUGUUGGUCUCCUUUUUGUCCAUUUCUGUACAACGAAAUAUUUGCAUGUUUCGAUAGAAAUUGGUUUAAAUGACAUUUAAAAUAGUAUAUCCCCAGACAAUUAACGAAAAAUUUGGAUGGUAGGAUGAAGUAAUAAGUAGUUUUACAAAUUACCGUAUUAGAGGUAAAAAAAAAUCAAGAGGUUACUUGACAAUUAUGACAUUACUAACUACAAAUUUAACACAAAAAGUUUAAUUAACUUUUCUUUUUGAGAUGACAAAAUCUCUGGUGUUGAAAACAAUGAGGUUUGAGGUUCAAGCUUGAAUAUCAAGUUACAAUUAGUAGAUGGUCUUAGGACAUAUCAAAGAUUUCUUUAAAGACAAAAUAAUAAUUACAAGCAAUAGGAAUUUAUGGUAUUCAGAACAUGUAUAUCUUCGCACAUGAAGCUUGAGUCCAGCAAAAGAUGCAGCUAGCCAAUCCUUCAACUUCCAAAACCCCACAAAAUCUCUGUCAACAUUGUUAGAGUUAUAAAUAUAAAGAAUAUUUUUGUAAUGAUUCUGCUGAUGUGGCAGCUGAGUAAGCAAGGCUAUUAUUGUUAGUUUGUAAGUUUGUUAUGGAGCUAAGAAGUUAGUUAAUCACAGCUCACUCUCAACACGUGUGUGAGCAAAUGCAUAAGGUUCUGGAUCUUAGUAUAUAAGGUCAACAUAUGUAUUCAUAAUUCAUUGAAUAAGAUUCGAUCUAUUUUUUCUUAUAGUUUCUCUUAUUGCUCAUUAAAUUUUCCUUCAUUUUCUCUGCAACCAAACAAGCAUAAAUAGCUUGGUUAAACUUCAAUUUGGUAUCAGAGCCACAUCUAGUCUAAUCUCAUGGCAUUAUCAAGCUUGAACACAAACAUCUCUUCUUCAGCAACAACCUGUACUUUCACAACUCCAAUAAAACUUGAUCGAUCAAAUUACUUAAUCUGGAAAUCUCAAAUUCUAUCCUCAGUUCGAGCAAAUGAGCUUAAGAGUUUGCUUGAUGGAUCCAGAAUCUGUCCAGAUCAAUUUCUCUCAAGCACUCAAGGAAAUUCAGAUGCUAUGUUCAAUGCUUCUGCAAGUUCAACUAUUGCUUCACGAGAGAAUCCUGAGUUUAAUGUGUGGAGAAAGCAAGAUCAGAUGCUACUGAGCUGGCUGCUAUCCUCUAUCAGCAUUGAAAUCCUCAGCUUGUGGUAAACUCUAAAACCUCUUAUGAACUGUGGUCUAGUUUAGAGCAACAAUUUGGAUCUGAAACUGAUGUUAAGAAAGUUCAUCUCAAAAUGAUGUUGAAUAAUCUGAAGAAAGGAUCUAUAACUAUGACAGAAUAUUUUAGUAAGUUGAAGUCAGUUACAGAUGAGCUUGCUAUUGCUGGAAGUCCUGUUAGUUCUUUGGAUUUUAUAACUCAUCUCAUCUCUGGAUUAGGUCAGCCUUAUUAUCCAGUAGUUGUGUAUAUUGAAGCAAAUGUUCUAAAAAUGAGUAUUAAUGAGGCUUAUUCAAUGUUGUUGACACAUGAGGCACGUUUAGAAAGCAAUCAAUCUAAUUCUUUCAAGGAAGUGAAACAGAACUAUGCUGCUAACUUAGCUCAGGCUGGAAAUAAUCAAAAGAAAGUUAACAAUCAGGGAGGCUGGAAUAAUAAUAGUCAAGGAGGCUGGAAUGGAAACACUGGAAACAAACCUGGAUUUCAUAACUGGAAUGGAAACUUUACAAACAGAGGAGGUUUCAAUUCAGGAAGGGGACAAAAUUCAGGUAGAGGACAAUGGAAUAAUAACUGGAAUAACUGGAAUGGAAAUCAAGGUAGAGGCAAUUUUGCUGGUGCUGCUGGAAAUUUUUCUGGUAGAUUUCCUGGUGGCUAUAAUGGAUUUGGAAGAGGAGGAGGCAGAGGAAAUAUUGUUUGUCAGAUUUGUUUCAAACACAAUCAUACUACAGUUGAUUGCAAAGAUAGAUUUAACAGAAAUUUUGUUCCUAAUUUUUCUGUGCAAGGAAAUUUUCCAGAUCAGAAUCAAACUUCUAGAUCUGCUUUCAUGGCUACAUCAGAAGGAGUUGCUGACCAAGGAUGGUAUCUGGAUAGUGGAGCAACACAUCAUCUCACAAACAAUGUGGUGAACCUAGCUGAAGGUAAACCUUAUCUUGGAUCUCAGUUGCUGUUAGUUGGUAAUGGACAAGGUCUUAGAAUCACUUCCAUAGGCAAUAUCUGUCUCUUUACAUCCUUUGGCAAUCAAUUAAACCUUUCCAAUGUUCUGUGUGUUCCCAAAAUUACCAAGAAUCUUAUUAACUUAUCUAAACUUCUCUCUGACAAUCAUAUAAUCAUUGAAUUUGUUUCUAAUCUUUGUUUCAUUAAGGACAAGAUGGUCUCUUUAAGCUACUGACUCAAGAUACACCUCUUUCUGAUUCUAAAGCCUUGGGUCUCAAACCUAGUUCAAUGUUGUCUGUUUUUUCAAAUAAAGAGAAUGUACACUCUUUGAAAGAGUUGAAUAACCAAAUAAAUGUCUGUUCAAAUUUGAUCAAUUCCAAUAAUGAGAAUUCUGUCAGUUUUUUAGCUUCCAGUAGUGAGUCUAUGUAGUUGCUACACAAUAGGUUUGGUCAUCCAACCAAACAUGUCUUGCAAACAAUAAUGAAAAGUCUUCCCAUGCAUUCAACCCAUUCUCAAUCUCUUAAUUUUUGUGAUGCUUGUCAAUAUGGCAAAUUACAUUAAUUCCAUUUUCCAGUCACUGAUAUAAAAUCAAAAUUCCCUCUCCAACUCUUAUAUGCUGACUUAUGGGGUCCAGCUUCUGUGUUGUUUAUGGACGGAUACAAGUACUAUAUUUCUUUUGUUGAUGAUUUCACAAGAUAUUGUUGGAUAUUUCCACUCACACUCAAAUCUGAGGCAUUUGACACCUUCAAAUAUUUCAAGUCUCUUGUCGAAAAACAGUUUUCUUUAUCCAUCCAAACACUACAAACUGAUAUGGGGGGUGAGUUUAUAGCUUUCAGAUCAUUUCUCCAACAAGAGGGUAUUCAAUUUAGAUAUAGUUGCCCCCACACUCACCAUCAAAAUGGUGUGGUGGAAAGGAAGCAUAUGCAUGUUGUUGAAACUGGACUCACACUCUUAGCUCAAGCUCACUUACCUCUCUCUUUUUGGUGGGAAGCUUUUCAUACAGCCACUUACUUAGUGAAUAGAAUGCCAACACCUGUUCUAAACAAUUUAUCUCCUUUUCAGAAACUAUACAAUCAGCUUCCAUAUCACAAGUUUGCUAAAGUGUUUGGAUGUUCUUGUUUUCCUUUUCUUCGAAAUAAGUGAAAAUUAAACCUACAAUUCAAAAUAGAGGACUGUAAAUGCGUAUAAAUUGAAGAAGGUAAAUUUUGUGUGUGCGUAAAUAUUUUAGUUAACAACAAAAAAUUCUAACAAGUUAAUAUAAGAGUAUCAUAGCAGUACAAGAGAAUUUUUUUUUUUUUUUAAUGUUAAGAGUUAUCGUGAUACCCAAUAUAUAUGUGUGUGUGAGAGAGUGGAGGAAGAAAAAAAUAUUAAGAAUAGUUUUGGCAUUUUGAUGGGUUUUAUAGAGUAAAAUCUAUAUUUUCAAAUAUGAUAAUUCUUUAAUUUAAUUUGGUGUUAUGAAAAAAAAAGGGUAUUUUAAAUAUGUUUUAAGUUAUAAAUAACUCCAUCCAAGAUUUAAAAAUGAAAUCUUAGGGGGGAAAAAAUUUCACCCGAACUAAGGCCCAAAGUAGCCGCGGCAUUUUUCACCAAUUCUCCAAUUCCCAAUGUGGUCUAAUUAUUUACAAGGAAUAUGAGUAGGUGUGGGCACGGUUCGGUCCGGUUCGGUUUGGAUCGAAAUUAAGCAGAACCAAUUUAAAUCGGUUAUUUUAGAAAAAGAACUAAAUAAGAACCGAACUCAAUAAAAACCGAAGAUAAACGAAUCUUUUCGGAUUGGUUCGGUUCGGUUCGGUUUUUUCGGUUUUGGGCCUAUUGGGCCUAUUUUCAAUUUUUAAAUUGUUAGCCCAUUAGGCCUCAUAAAUGUAAUAAUUUUAUUCAACAAUUAAUUUAUCCUAAUUUCAUUACAAAUAUUAACAAUAAAUACAAAGUAUUCAAAACACAUUUUAUCAUUAAUAUCUUACUAACUACUAAUAAGGUACUUACAAAAUAUGAAAUAUUAAGAUUUCAAAAUACAUAAUCAAACUCCAAUACUCCAUCUACAUAAACAUAAUGUUGUAAAGAAAAAUAAAAAUAACAACAAUUAAAACUUACAACACAAAAUAAAAAGAAAAUUUGGAAACAAACACCAACAACAAUUUUUAAAUAUAUAUAUAUACCAGUAAUUGUGUGUGUUCAUGCCUAUUUUAGUUAUCUCACGCAACCAAUUAAAAUUUAACACGUGUCUAUUUAAAUAAAAUUUCAAGAAUAACUCGGUUUUUCGGUUCGGUUUUUUGGUUCAGCUGAGUGAACCGAAUAUCGAACCUGUAUUUCGAUUUUUUUUACAAACCAUAUAUUUCAGUUAUUUUUUAAAAUUAAAACUAGUCCGAACGGAACGGAAUGGUUCGAAUCAAUUUUCUCUAGUGCACGAUUUUUUUGCCCACCCCUAAAUAUGAGAUUCUCUACCACUCCAAUUUAUCCCAUUGUUAGCAAUCCUAUUAGCUGUUUUAUAUCCUAUUUUUAUUAUGCUCCCCAAACAAAUAUGUUUCACCUAAAGGUGCCCAACGGGCUGCACCGUCCGUCUCAAUGAGCGCACGAGAUGCUCCACAUGACACGGCAAUCUUUUUCUUUUUAAUGAGGGCGUGUCUGAUAUGCUCUUUCAAGUCUACAUACCUAACGUUCUUUUUUUAAGUGCAUAUAUUUUUUUUAAAGCUCAUGUGAAAUUCAGUAGUAAGAGAAUGCAAUACUAGUUAAUAAGUUAGAGCCUACAAAAUAAUAAUAAUAAUAAUAAAAUUUUCUUUAAGGGUUAACAUUUUAUUGUUAAUUUGAAUUUACAUACAGUUAUAGAUUAUAGUCUAUAAUAAUAUUAAUACUUACAAGUUUCAAAUUAAAAUUUAAUAAUUAACGUUUCAUUAACACAACUAUAUUAUCUAAUUUUGCAAUAACCAAUUAUAAUACAACAAUACAUAAUUCUAAUUUCAUAGACCAUGGUAAUAAAAUCUAUACGUUAAUGAAAAAUUUUAUUUUGAUAUACGUCGGUCUGCUUGUUAUUGAUGGCCGAUGGUCGUAUGCUAGCCUGCUAAUGAAGUGUGUUUAUUAUUGGUUUUUUCACGUGUCUUGCUUUACCACAUCUCUAGUCAAAUUGUGUUCUUAAAAUCCACAGCCUAACCUAGCCUCUGUGUGUGUCCUGUUGUGCCAUACUAUACAAACACGUAUCCAGUACAAUGCCACAUACCGGUCGGCCCUUAGCCAUCUCUAGUUUCACCCCUAAAUGAAAUCUAAACGGCUACUGGCAAGUAAGAAAACUUGUUAUUCUUUAUUUUGAAAAUAAAGGGAAUUGCUUAGUUUGAUAUUGUUUUUGGUAAGUCAUUUUUUUGUUUUGAAACAUUUUUCUGAGAUGUUGUUGUAUUUGGUGAAAAAUAAAUUAUUUUAUUUUAUACUUUUAAUGAAGAAAAGUAGAGAAAAACAUUUUGUUGUUUUCGACAACAUUUGCCUUAUAAGUGCACCCGUGCCAUUUUUUUCUUGUUUUAUUUGUAUGAUAAUUAUCAUGGACCCACGUAACUUUCUUUUGCAUUUAAAAUUUCAUAAUAAAUUAAAUUAGACAAAAGAAAUGAGUCCCACAAAUAAUUUAUUUUAUAAUUUUUUAAAUAAUACUAUUUUAAAAUAAAUUAUCAAAACAAAUUUCAUGUUCACUAAAAUUAAUCAUAUUCAUAUUAUAAAAUAAAUAUAAAAACAAUAUCUGAAAAGUAAUGCUAAAUACACUCUUAAAUUUUCUGUACAGCAUUAGAAUUGAUGAACAAUCUGACAAAGAUGCUGCGACUUAAGUAGGGAUGACAAUUAAAGCCGAAUUUGGAAAAAUUCAUGUCUGCAAAUUAAAAAAUGUGGAUUCGGAUAUAGAAAUUCGGAAUUCAUACGGAUCCAAAUAAAUUUUAUUUUAAAUUAAAAAUAUAUAUUAAAAAUUAAAUGAAAAAUUAAAAAAUAAAUUUUAUUUGUGGUUUUAUGAUGUUGUUGUAUAUUAUUCAUGUUGAAUUAUUAAUGGUUGGAUUAUGAUUGAAUUUUAUUUAAAAUUAAAAAUAUAUAUUAAAAAUUAAAUUAAAAAAAAUUAAAUUUUAUUUGUAGAUUUAUGAGAUUAUUGUAUGUUAUUCAUGUUGAAUUAUUAAUUGUUGAGUUAUGAUUGAAUUUUAUUUGAUAUUAUUAGGUAAAUUAUUGAAAUUUUAAAUUAUAUAUUAAAUUAUUUAAUCUUAAUUUUUACAAAUAUGAAUAUCUAGAAUAUCUGCCUGCAUCCGUUGCAGAUAUUAUCUGCUUCCAGAUCCACAUCUUUUUACGAAUCUAAAUAUAGAAAUAUGAAUGCGGCUCCGAAUCUAGAUUUUACCAACCCUGAACCUAAGCAUGAAUGGGCCUAAAGUUUUCACAACAAACAUGAAUCAUUAAAUGACACGAGAUGUUUUACAGCUCUCAUUAGUAUAAUUGAAUAAUUAAUUCAGCUCUAUAUUCAGUUUACACCGUCUCAAAUUGCAUGCAAAUAGGAAAAUGCACUUCUGAAUUGUUCACUUGAGGAAAAUUAAUUUUAACUCAAUAAGUCCUAAUUGUCCACGUAGAAUUUUAACUCAAACCAUAGCAAAUUAGACAUAAUUCUAAUUUAUAUGGGAAAUAUAAUUAGCAAAGACACUCUUUAUAUAAACAUUAUUGUCAAAGGAUGCCAAACCUAAUAAGAUUCAAGGUCUUAACAUACUUCAUAUCAAAUUUGAUCUUGGCGCGUACCGACACGCAUAACAUCAAGACUCUACUUCAUAUAUAAUAAUGUAACUUCAUGGAUUUUUCGCUCUCUUGUGAAAUUGACAAUUAUAGGCGAUGUGCCAGUGAGGCAGUGGUACAUAAAAUAAAGGAUAAAAGUUCAUUUAGUCCUUAUAUUUUAAUAUUAAUGUCUAUUUAGUCCCUGUAUUUGUUAAAAUACCUCGAAACAUUCCUGCCGUUAAAGUAUUGAUGCCCUUACUGUUACUUUUUAUUUUUUUAGCUUACUUUUACAAUAUUACCCUUUUAUAAUAAAUUUUUUGUUUGGACAUUAAUCAAAAUAAAAUAAUUAAUUAUCAAUUUAACCCUAAAAAAAUUAUAUUAAUUUUUAAUUGUCAAAAAUUAAAUUGUCAAAUAUCAAGUGUGCAAAUGGUGCUUGCAAAAAAAUUAAUAUAAUUUUUUUUAGGGUUAAAUUUGGUAAUUUAAUUAUUUUAUUUUUAUUAAUGUCCAAACAAAAAAAUUAUUAUAAAAGGGCAAUAUUGUAAAAGUAAGCCAAAAGAAAUAAAAAGUAAUGGUAGGGGUAUCAAUACUUUAACGGCAUGGAUGUUUCGAGGUAUUUUUAAAAAUACGGGGACUAAAUGGACACUAAUCUCAAAAUACAGGGACUAAAUAGACUUUUACCCUAAAAUAAAUGUUUAUUUUUAGAAUAUUAUUAUUUAUCUCAAUUUUUAUUUAAUAGUUAAUUUUAAUCCAUUCUUAAACUGUCAUAAUCAAUUAAUUUUUUACAUUAUCACAUCUUAAAUAAAUUUUGGAUCUGUAAUAAAUAAAAACUGGUAACGUUUGUUCUUUUAAAACAUAAAACAACCGUAACAUUGGUUUUUACAUUUUGAAUUUUUCUUGCAUCACUAUUUAUAAAAAUGAUGUUAAAUCAACUCACAAAAUAUAUCAAGCCAUCUAAAAUCCAAAUAUUAUUACAUUUGUAUUUGCAUUGUUAAAUUGUUGGAACGACGGCAAAGCAAUUGAAAAGAGAUUAACAAAAAAGUAAAGAUUGGCCAAGGAUUAUUCAUGUUUAGGAAAUGCCUUAACUUUUGAUAUAAUCAUUGUUAUAACAAUAAUGCUACACAUCCCAAAUUUUUUAUCCCAAAAAGUUAUCCCAAAUGAUAUGUCAUUAAUUGAGUGGUUGAUAAUUCUUUACAAGAUCCAAGUGAAUUAAUUGUAUUAUCUCACCAACCAAUUGAUUAAUGCCACAUCAUUUGGGAUAACUUUUUGGGAUAAAAAAUUUGGGAUGUGUAGCAUUAUUGUUGUUAUAAUUAUAUUGUAGAAAUAAUCAAUUACCUAAUGUUUGUGGUAGUAAAUAUUAUUAACUUGUUUUACUAUACCCGUGUUUAUGUUGGUCUCCUUUUUGUCCAUUUCUGUACAACGAAAUAUUUGUAUGUUUUGAUAGAAAUUGGUUUAAAUGACAUUUAAAAUAGUAUAUCCCCAGACAAUUGACGAAAUAUUUGGAUGGUAGGAUGAAGUAAUAAAUAGUUUUACAAAUUACCAUAUUAGAGGUAAAAAAAAAUCGAGAGGUUACUUGACAAUUAUGACGUUACUAACUACAAAUUUAACACAAAAAGUUUAAUUAACUUUUCUUUUUGAGAUGGCAAAAUCUCUGGUGUUGAAAACAAUGAGGUUUGAGAUUCAAGCUUGAAUAUCAAGUUACAAUUAGUAGAUGGUCUUAGGACAUAUCAAAGAUUUCUUUAAAGACAAUAAUAAUUACAAGCAAUAGGAAUUUAUGGUAUUCAGAACAUGUAUAUCUUCGCACAUGAAGCUUGAAUCCAGAACAAGAUGCAGCUAGCCAAUCCUUCAACUUCCAAAACCCCACAAAAUCUCUGUCAACAUGUCUGUUGUACUAAGCACAUUCAUAGGGGUAUCAACAGCUUACAGCUCCAAAAUAUUUUCCCCAAAAAGAGUUGAGAGAUUUCACUGAAGCUAAUUUGUGACUUGUGACUGCCCAAAUGUUCUAUAACACGGUAUGAUUAUUCUAGUAACACAAAUCCAACAGCAUGCAACAUAAUCUACUCUCUAACAUUGUGCAUUAGCAAAAUAAAACAGAGUAAAAAGAGAAACCAUGCCUGUGAAUCUCUUCUUUUCCCCCUGCCACCCCUUUUUUUGGUGAAGUCCAUCAAAUGAAAAUGCAGCAUGACCAUGUUGGCCACUGCCACUGCCAUUACUUCUUCAACUGUGGCUUUUGUUGCAGGAAAUAUUCAAGUGAAAGAUUGGAUUAUAUAAUUCAAGAUUCCAAUAAACCUGAGCUGCAAAGGUUGCCUUCCACUAGCCUAUCAGAGACUAUGCUUUCUAUUUUCCUAGUUUUUUAAUCAUAAUUUUGCAAGAUUUAUUUAUGGAAAACUGGGACAAAAUUUUAUGUAAGAUACCAUAAAGCCAAACACAAUCUUUUUAAUUCUCAGCAGCAAGAUUUAAAGUUAAAAAAGGGAAGCCAUAUAAAUAUAACUAUGUUUGGUACAAGUAACAAUUAUUUCAAGCUUUCAGAAAUGCUAGCAAGAGAUUGUAAGAGAACUUUACCUAGUCACAGAAUAUGUCAAACAUACUACCACCAACUGUCUUUAGCACGAUUGUUAUGGAAGUAGCUUUUGAAUCGGAAGAUUCCAGCUUCCACCAGGCACCAUUAUUUUCAUUCUUGAUACAAUCUGCAUCACUGGCAUUAGUUAUAUCAUCAACAUUUGCAUCCUCACUCUCAUCAUCCCAAUCAAGGCUUCUUCUCCAGCUCUGGAUUAUAAGUCCACUCCGACAUCUUCAAACAUCUCGGUCCUUCCAUUUGCCAACAACCGAUAUGGCUUCCUUCCUUGCCUUCCCCAUUAAUAUAUCACUCGAAGGAAAAAAAGCAUCAGCAAUUCUCUUCAACGCCUCAUCGUUUAUAACCCCCCAAAAAAAGGGUCUUCAGACACUUCAACUUUGCCUUCUGCAAAACCUCCACAAAAUCUGAAUUAUCCAACACAACAGCCAGACACUCAAUCCUUCUUUUGUCCAUCAUAUCCACCGUAUGAUUCCUCAACAAAAUAUGUACAGCUUGUGGCUUAUCUAACACUGUCUUGAUCCAAAACCCCGCUCUUUUCAACUCAUCUGCCAAACCAUAACCCACUUUUGGAGUCAAAAUUGUCCUUGCAGCCCUUUUAUAUUUUUCCAUCUCCAUCGAAUACUUGCCACUCAAAUGGAAUUACCAGACAGGAAUCCCAGUAACAAGUCCACUCAACUUCUUCUCAUCUGAUCCCUCUUUCACUCUGGCGGAAACAUUAAUAACCAUUCACCAGCCACAAAUUACCCAAGUAAGUACUCGUGUCGUCGACACUUACCCUUCACUUCAUCUACGCAAACGAGAAUUCAAAUUGCUUACUAGCUAGUGCUCGAGCAAAAGCCAGAAUAAAUUAAAUAUGUGUGUGUGGUAGCGAAGUUAUCUAUAUAUAUAUAUAUAUAUAUAUAUAUAUGAAGUUGGGACACGAGGAGAUGACGUGGCAUCACCAUUUCUCAUCUUUGUAUAUUCUCUAUUAUCUAAUAAAUAGAGAAUUUUUUUUUCAGAUUUAACUUUUCAUCUUCUCAUAAUUAAUUUAAUUGUUAUUACACAAUAACAAUUAUGUAAAAAUUUUAAUGAGGCAUAUUCUUUAUAAUGAACAUCCAAAGGGAAGUGUUAUGAAUUUAUUAAAAUAAAUGUAGAUGUUCAUAACAUAUAUCUCUUAUUCUCACCACUAUCUCUCAUUAGCAACCUUUAGCUUCCCUAUAACUCCCACUAUCUCACAAGGAAUUAUGAUCCAUAAUUUUUCAUUAAUUUCAUAGAGUGAUUAUGUAACUAUAAAAGGAGAGCUCAUCUUUUGUUCUGUACACACACAAUUAGAAUGAAUAAAAUCACUCUAUAAUAUAUUCUCUCAUUUUAUUCUUUAUCUUGCGUUGCUUCUUUAUUUGUAUUGCUGGUUAAUAGUUUUUUUUUUUUGUUUUUUAUAAGGCUGCCUCAUCUUCAAAAAAAAUCAAUUCAUAUUUUUUAUCAGUUUCAUAAAGUGUAAAGUAAAAAAAAAUAAUACUAAAUUCUUUUUUCAAAGUCGCAUGAAACGCGGUUCUAUUUUUUAGUAUAUAUAUAAAGCUGGAACUGGAGGAGGUGAUGUGGCAUCACCAUUUCUCAUCUUUGUAUAUUCUCUAUUAUUUAAUAAAUAGAGAAAUUUUCUUUUAGAUUUGGCUUUUCAUCUUCUCAUAAUUAAUUUGAUUGUUAUUACACAAUAACAAUUAUGUAAAGAUUUUAAUGAGGCAUAUUCUUUGUAAUGAAUAUCCAAGGGGGAGUAUUAUGAAUUUAUUAAAAUAAAUGUAGAUGUUCAUAACAUAUAUCUCUUAGUCUCCCCACUAUCUCCCAUUAACAAUCUUUAGCUUCCCUAUAACUCCCACUAUCUCACAAGGAAUUAUGAUCCAUAAUUUUUCAUUAAUUUCAUGGAGUGAUUAUGUAACUAUAAAAGGAGAGCUCAUCUUUUUGUUUUGUACACACACAAUUGGAAUGAAUAAAAUCACUCUAUAAUAUAUUCUCUCAUUUUAUUCUUUAUCUUGCGUUGCUUCUUUAUUUGUAUUGCUGUCUAAUAGUUUUUUUUUUGUUUUUUAUAAGGCUGCCUCAUCUUAAAAAAAAAUCAAUUCAUAUUUUUUUAUCAGUUUCAUCAAAUAUAAAGUAAGAAAAAAUGAUAAUACUAAUUUUUUUUUUCAAAGCCGCGUGAAACGCGGUUCUAUUUUCUAGUUAUACAAUAAAGCAAACCAAAAUAAAUUCUACACUCAUAUAUAUAUAUAUAUAUAUAUAUAUAAAGCUGAGACUUGAGGAGGUGAUGUGGCAUCACCAUUUCUCAUCUUUGUAUAUUCUCUAUUAUCUAAUAAAUAGAGAAAUUUUCUUUUAGAUUUGACUUUUCAUCUUCUCAUAAUUAAUUUGAUUGUUAUUACACAAUAACAAUUAUGUAAAGAUUUUAAUGAGGCAUAUUCUUUGUAAUGAAUAUCCAAGGGGGAGUGUUAUGAAUUUAUUAAAAUAAAUGUAGAUGUUCAUAACAUAUAUCUCUUAGUCUCCCCACUAUCUCCCAUUAACAAUCUUUAGCUUCCCUAUAACUCCCACUAUCUCACAAUGAAUUAUGAUUCAUAAUUUUUCAUUAAUUUCAUGGAGUGAUUAUGCAACUAUAAAAGAAGAGUUUAUCUUUUUGUUUUGUACACACACAAUUGGAAUGAAUAAAAUCACUCUAUAAUAUAUUCUCUCAUUUUAUUCUUUAUCUUGGGUUGCUUCUUUAUUUGUAUUGCUGUCUAAUAACUUUUUUUUUGUUUUUUAUAAGGCUGCCUCAUCUUAAAAAAAAAAAUCAAUUUAUAUUUUUUUAUCAAUUUCAUCAAAUGUAAAGUAAGAAAAAAUGAUAAUACUAAAUUCUUUUUUCAAAGCCGCGUGAAACGCGGUUCUAUUUUCUAGUUAUACAAUAAAGCAAACCAAAAUAAAUUCUACACUCAUGUGGGUGUUUCGUUCGCAAAAUCUGGACAAGAAAAAUAAUAUUGAUACAAUCUCCAAAUAAAGAGCAUUCCUCUUGGUAAAAUAGACAAAUCCUAUAAAUUUUGAUUAAUGGUGCCAAAUGAAAGAGUUGUAAUUUCAUGUACAUUUUGUUAACAUGAAUAAGGGUACAAAAUAGAUAACAAAGUGACAAAAACAAAGCUAAUCACAAUGAAUGAUAAGGCUUAGAGUAAACAAAAAGUUAUAAUCUUGAACAUAAGUGGCGCUCAAAGCCAUGAAUUUGAUAUCAUCCAUGAGGGGAGUUCAAACAAUAGCAUGUAAGAAGCAACAAGUGUUGAGAAAAAAAAAAUUUCAUUCUACCACAACAGAAUAAAUUGUAAAGAAAUCCCAGUUUGUAUAAAAGAAAGAAAACAAAAUUAAGGAAAACAUAAGCACAACAAAAUUCGACUGAUUAUUAAAAAUGAGAAAUGAGUUAUAAUGAGAAUUUUAGCUUUGUUGUGAAAUAAAUUGGGAAGUAUCCAAAGUACGCAUGUAAAUAAUAAAAAUGAUAAGAAGACGAAGGGAACAUAAUGAUAAUAAGCAAGCCAAAUAUUAAAAUGCAGAUUCUACGCUUCUGCCCCCCCAUACUUCAAGUUAGUGUCUCGCUAAUCAUUUUAGAUGUAUCAAUUACAAAGGGAGGCCAUCUAUUUAUAGUAAGCGUACGCCUCUAAUGCUUUGCCAAGUGUCCAUUGAUAAUAUCACAAGGGAAAUUAAAUUGGUGUAUGUGUAUUACACCUCCUAAAGUCAUGUUAAGAUAGUGUGCUGAUAAAGCUUGUUGCACGUGUGAUUGGUUAAGUCUGCUAGAAAUGCAAACGUGUAAAGCUGAGUCAGCAAGUUAGUUAAGGUUAUUAUGAAUGCUUAGAUUCAGCUCACGUGUAUUGUAUGUAAUACUUAGAUUCAGGUCAUGUAGAUUGUGUAAUCUCAAUAUAAAUACUUGAUGAUCAUGAUUCGACAUUCCUCACAGCAGGAGCUGUGGAUCUUUAGACAUCAGAUUUUAAUUUCUGUAAUGUUAAAUUUGGAUCCCAUAUUCGACAUUCCUCACAUCAGGAGCUGUGGAUCUUUAGACAUCAGAUUUUAAUUUCUGUAAUGUUAAAUUUCCCAAAACAUUAAAAAAAACAAUGCUGUAUACAUGGUGAAUGAUCUGGCGUAUCUAUAGGUAUUACCCAAGACAUUUCUGAGAACCUGAACUAGGAAUCCUUGUAUUUUUCUUUAUGUCAAGACAGUGACUUGAAGAUUUUAGAUUAUUUUUUUUGGCCAUUUUAUAAUUGUUGGCAUAUUGAACUUGAGUAAUUUUGAUAAACCAUAGUUCAGGAAUGUCUGAUAGAAAUAUUGGAGACUUGAACUUGAAUAUUAGAUUUGAAAUUAAAGAGGUAAGCCAUUAAAAUACAUCAAAGGAUUUGGAAAAUGGAGGAAUUGGAAUAUUGGUAUGAUGGGAUUACAAGAAAGGGAAACUUUUGCAUCAACAUCAAGCAUUGGGCAUUUUCAUUUGUCCUAUUCUAACACCAGUUAGGAAUAUCAACAAGGAGUUACGCUAUGAAUUAAGUAAUCUGCCAGUAAUGCAAGCAUUGAAUGUGAAGAGCUUCACAUAACUUUGAAUUAGCUUAUGAUUUAACACUAUUCCUUUUUGUGUGUGAUCAUGCAUUACGCCGUACUAGAUUUUUCUCUUUCUCUGCGGGAGAGAAAAGAAAGAGAAACAAUGGAUGCAAUAUAAAAAAAGUAAUACAUAUUUACCUAUUUAGUAGGCAAUUUACGCCAACGGUGACACUAUCACAUCAUGAGCGAGUUAUGUAAUAGUUCUUAGAUGAGAUCAUUCUUGCUGCAUUAUUAUUAGAAGUAUCUAUUUAUGCAAGAUUGAUAAUUUGAAUACACGUCCAAAUUAACAAGAGUUUUUAGGCAGUUUAAUUUAACUAACUAGCUAUUUAGAAUACACAUCAUAAUAAAAAAAAAGUACAAUUUAAGAUGUAUGAUUAGACUAUCUAUCUGCUCAAUCAAGACUGAGUGUGAUAUUUCCUCCGUAAACUCAUAGUUAGUUUUGUCACGCUUACAAAUCAAACUACAUUAACAUGAUUUAGGUAUUAGGGCAAGAUUGGAAAAAAAUGUCGAUAAUGCAAUGAUUAUGACGGAGAACAAACCUACAAACAGUACAGCGCAUGGACCUUUUUUCAAAAGAAAUUAUUCUUGAAAGAUAAAAAAAUUCCUUGCUUUUUACAUUAUUUUUUAAUGUAAAAAAUAUUCUCAGUUCUUGACUUGGUAUCAGAUUUUUACGUUACUAGAAAAAUCUAGUACGGCGUAAUGCAUGAUCACACACAAAAAUUUGAGGAGUUGAUGAUAAUCUCAAUAUAAAUACUUGUAAUCAACAAAUACAAUAAUAAGAGUCAUCAUUCUUCAUUUUCUCUCAGUUUCUCUCAUAUUUUCUCUGCAUCCAAACACAAUAUUCUCAGUUCUUGACUUGGUAUCAGAUUUGCAGUUUAAUUGUCAUGGCUUCCUUCCUUAAGCACAAAUUCAAACACAAAUCAGUCUCCUUCAUUCUUUACCGUCACAAAUGCGAUCAAACUGGACAGAUCUAACUAUACGAUAUGGAAAUCUCAGAUCCUCUCUUCAGUGCGUGCCAAUGGACUUGAAGGCUUUCUUAAUGGAACUAAAAUUUGUCCAGAUCAGUUACUUACUCAAGAGAUUGAAAGUUAUGGUGUUGAAAAUGCUGUUGUUGAAAGCUCAACUGAUAGAUCUCAGGAGAAUCCAGCCUUUGUUGCUUGGAAAAGGUAGGAUCAAUUGUUAUUAAGUUGGCUCAUGUCCUCCAUCAGUGUUGAGAUACUUAGUCUUGUGGUAAAUUCUGAUUCUUCUCAUAAACUUUGGACUAAUCUUGAAGAAAAUUUUUGGAUUAGAAACUAUGGCUAAGAAAGCACACUUAAAAAUGAUGUUAAGCAAUCUCAGAAGGGGAUCAAUGACAAUAACUGAGUAUUUUGCCAAACUUAGAGCUGUAACUAAUAAACUUGCUCUAACUGGUAGCCCUGUUUCUACUCUAGACUUUAUUAAUCAUCUAAUCUCGAGAUUAGGCCAGCCAUACUACCCUGUUGUUUUGUAUAUUGAAGCUAAUAUGAUGAAAAUAUUUGUCAAUGAAGCCUACUCUAUGCUUUUAACUCAUGAAGCAAGAAUUAAAUUUAAUCAUCCGAGUGCAAAUAAAGAAGCAAAGUUGAAUUAUGCUGCUAACAUAGCUUAGGCUGGACCUAGUAAUAACAAUAAGAAGUCUAGUAAUCAAGCUAAUUACUAUCAGGGCAACCAAGGUAACGGGAAUAGAAAUGCUCAUUGGUGUGGUAACAAUGGAGGAAGAGGUGGCUUUGGCAGAGGUUUUUCAGGGCAAGGAAGGGGUAAUUAGAAUAAUGGUGGUCAUUGAACAAUGGACCUUGGAGUAGUAGUCGAGCAGGUUAUAAUUGUUCUGAUAUAAACAUUAUGACAUGGUUGCUGGUGAACCUGUAAACAUAACCACAAAAGUAAGAAGGCAUAAUUUUUUUAUAAGAAACUCAAAAAUGUAUUAAUGAUGAAAAUUUUAAAAUAGAUAGUGGACCAUCUGUCCAGUAAGAAAACAAAAAACUGAAUAUUUGUGCUAUAAAAAGGCACACCCAAUCUCACCCCUAUAAAAGGCUAGAAUCAGCUACAAAUCCCUACCUCAAAACCCCAUCCCAGUUUAGAUGAAUGAAGAAAAAUGAUGAAUCUUGAAACUCCUUAGAAACUGAAGCCCAAAGUGAAGCAAGAAGAUGAACUCUAUCCCAAGCAAGCAAUAUGGCAUAUAUCUCCAUUAAUGGUUCAAAUAAAGUGAAUGGCUUUCUCUGAUGAGUGGGAAAUUGUCAAGAUCAAUAGUCAAACUCACGCAAAGUAAACGGACUUAAUUCUCAGAGGCUACUCAUUCUAAGUCUUAAAGAAAAUUUUUCUAAUUUCUAAAGAUUAUAUGGGGAAAAAAUCAUUAUUUUUAAGAUGGAAAAUUUGAUAUGGUGUUUAAUGUCUGAUCACAAUGAUAAUAUGAGUACUAACAAAAACAUCUUUAAUAGGCAUGGUGCGAGUAAAACACCUUUGUAAUGUACCUCAUCAAAUAUAACCCAAGCCACUUCGCGCGUAAUCUCUGAGCCUUUGUACUGCAUACUACGCCAGAUUUCAGUAGUCAUCACCUGAAAUUAAACUUCAUAUAAGCAAUCCACAAAUCAAAGCGCUGCAACACCCAAAAGAUGACACUACCAAGUUGACCUACCAAACAAGAAGCAUUAGGGUCAAUUGUGACAUCCCCAGUCAUCAAACCAACAUCUGAAACUCUUCUUUAAACUCUUCUGAUUGCUGAGUGCCUUAAUCGGUGAAGUAUAUAUCACACGUUGCUUAUUCCGCAACGACAUAGCAAUAGCAUACAAUGCUACCACAGUUUUCCCAGCAGAUGUAUGGGCCGAUACCUGUCAAAUAAAUGAAAGGCAAAUCCAAAUUAAAAAAAGAAAAGAAAAAAAAAACUAUUUUUAUUUUCACACAUGAUAACACUUCAUGCAAAAAUUCUUAAUUCUUAUCGGUGAGCUGAAAAGCAGAGCGCUUUGUACCAAAGCACUUCCAAAUUCGAAUUAAUGUUUUUACAAAAAAUUACAGCUUUAUAUAUUUGUAUGUGCGCGUGCGUAUAAUAAUAAUAAUAAUAAUUAACGAACCGUAACGGACUCGCCGUUGUCGAGGCACUUGAUAGCUUCGGACUGGAAUGGGUCGAGAGUGAAAGGGAAUUCCUUAGCAUGUUUAGCGUCAGCUUCAGCCACUUGACCAAGACGCAUUAAACAUAAAACGCGGCGUUUUCAUGGACUAGUACAUUCCAUGCUUCGAAAGUUUUAUGGUUUAGACUGAUUGGUUUGAUACAUUAUUUGUUUGUUGCGUUUUUCUUGCUUUAAAUAUUAUGUUGGAUACUUGGAUUGAUAAGUUUUGUACACGUUUAUAUUGCUCGCAGUAAAUAAUUUAUGACAUUUAAAAAACUAUCAACCGUCUAUCAAAAGAUUUCUACUAUAAAUAUAUAUACACAAAAAACUUUUAAUUUGGUCAAUUUGUUCUCUUAUUUAUUUUUGUUCUAUUUCUCUUUUCCUUUCCUUUCAUUUUAUUGUUUUAUGGUAUAAAAUAAAAAAAUAACCUUAAAAUUUAAGGUGAUGUUUGGUUGGGAGGAGAGAAUGUAGGAGAGGAAAGUAAUUUAAAUUCUCUUGUUAUUUCCAUUGUUUGGUUUGACAAAAUGUAUAAGAAUUAAAUUUUUAUUAGAAUUUAAUAUCCAUCAUAAUGUAGAAUUUGAAUUCCAUAUUAAGUAGCGAAGAAUUUAAAUUUCUCUUCUAUUAGAAACUAAAGGUUCCAAAAUUACCCUUCAACUUUUUAGCUUAUUUAAUGCCAUUAAUAAUAAUAAUUUAAUAUUAUAAAUGGACCUCCACCGGAAAGUCGCCGGACUACCCCCGGAUCUCGUCGGACCACCGCCGGAAGAUCGUCGGACCACUGCCGGAAAAUCACCGGACCACCGCCGACCUCGCCGGACCUCCGCCGCCGGCCACCGGAUCGCCAUUUAUAUAUAUAUAUAUAUAUUAUUACUAAUAUAAAUAGUUUAAUAUUUAAGGUAAAAGAUAAAUUUGUCUAAAGAAAAAAAUUAUAAUUCAUUUCCUUAUCAAAUUUUAUAUCAAACCAAACAACAAAAUUUAAUUUCACUACUCUUCUCUAUUCCUUUCUUCUCCAUUCCUCUCCAUUCCACUCUUUUCCACUCCUCCAUUUUCUUCAAACCAAACAUGACCUAAGGGUAAAAUACUCAUUUUACUAAAAUUCCGUUUAAUAUCAUAACGCUGUCAAUGGAAAAAUAUACGAGUGAUAUAAAUUAAAAACAAAUAAAUUGAAAGUUUUUAUGUAUUUUCCUUUUAUUUUUUUAAUAGCCGAUUGAGAUUUCCCUUCAUAUUUUUAAAUUCAAUAGGUUUAGACCGUUUAACAAAUCUUAAAUUAAAAAAACCCGCGGUGUAAUAACAAACUCACAUCAAACCCUGUACACUGUCAUCCCUAAUUAUAUUUACCACUUCAUACUCACAGUGAUAAUAACUGUGUAUCACAAUUGAUUUUGCAUACGGGUAAAAGUUCCAAGUCCGGAUAUUUAGUUAAUGAAAUUUGAUGAAAAGGGCAUGAAAGAAAAUAAGAAAUUAAAUAAUACAGGAGGUAUUAAUCAUUACAUAUUUAGUUAAUGAAAAUUGAUGAAAAUAUUUCUGCAGACGUGAGCCAUAAUUAUAUUACCGUUAAGAAUGAAGCAGAAGAGUUUCCCCAAACAAGCUAAAACACAGCACUUCAAUUUAAAGAAUUUUUAUAUCACAGUACCGGGGUAAAAAGUUUAAUGCAACAACAUACAUUAAGUUAAUUCCAUAAUCUAUCCCCAAAGAAAGACAAACACAAGCUUAUAAGAUUAAAACUUUGGAAAACAUUAGAGUCGGACAAAAUUGUGUAAUCUUCAGAGUUUGGAGCCUAGUUCAUCCAGGAAAGCAAAAGAAAUAAUAAUAAUAAUAAUAGUGGUGGUUUGAUCUCAAAAGGUGGCAUCAAAGUGGUAACUUUGAGGUAUUGGAAGCAAUAACGUCUUCAACUUUGUCCUGAUUUCGAAGUCCCUUAACCCAUCCGCCAUCAAUGGAUUGAAUGCUUCCAUUCAACCCAUCAUCCACAAAAUCACCAACCCGUUUCACCUUCAUCUCCUUGGGCUUAACAGGGUACUUUCCAGAGAAGCAAGCAAAACAAAAAAUCCGAGAAUCAUCGCCUAACAACUUGUUCAAGCUGUCAAUCGGCAGAAAAGCAAGCGAAUCACACCCAAUAAACUCCCUGAUUUCCUCAACGCUCAUCCUGUUGGAAAACAACUCCUCAGUACUUGGAGUGUCUACUCCGUAGUAACAAGAAGCUAUGAUUGGUGGGCUUGCAGCGUACCCAAGUGCAGCCACCACUCCAGAAUCUGGUACUGCAAUCACGACAUCACACUCAGCAGGAGCCUCGGUAGCAAGUACUUCCCCAAAAUGAUACCUCGACUCAUAAACAGACCUUCCAAAAACAACAGAAUUAGGCAAAGCAAAAUAAAUAUGCUCAACGAAGCACUGCUUAGGUUCAGGGUGAGGCAUCAAACAAGGUGAUUGAACCCCAUCUUUAUCCACCAUCAAAACUUCACCGGGAUAUACCGUAUGUGGCCUCAAUCAAAUAGUGCACAAGUCUCUGACGCAAAAACCAGAGCACCAUUACUCCUCCUACCCAUCACCAAUGGCAUAAACCCAUACGGGUUACGAACCGCAACAAGCUUAUCCUCAGUAACAAACACCAUUGAAUAAGCACCCUCAAGCUUCUCACAAACAUCCACAAUCCUCAAAAAGAACGGCCUAGCUUUCGAUAUCGGAAUCAAAUGGAGAACAACCACAGUAUCAGAACUAGUAUUGAAAAUGGAUCCAUUAUCUUCAAGCUUAGCCCUCAAAGUAUUAUAAUUAACUAAUGUGCAACACCAACAGAACCAAACCUGUACCCAGCAACAAAAGGCUGCACAUUCUUAAGCAUAGAACUACCCGCAGUCGAAUAUCUAACAUGACCAAUGGCCAUAUCACCCGGCAAUUGAUCAAGUUUAGACUGAUUAAACACAUCAGAGACUAAACCAACACCAGUAAUAGACUGAAGAACUUUGUUAUUCACAGCAACUAUACCUGCACCUUCUUGGCCGCGAUGCUGCAUCGCGUGUAGCGCCAAAUAGCACAAACGCGAGGCCUCUGGGUCACCAUAGAUGCCCAUAACACCACACUCCUCACGGGGCUUAUCGUCGUCAUCAUCAUCAAAACUGCCAAAACCGUCAUCUGGAUAUUCUUUAUUUGUGGUGAAAAACUCAGAGAUGGGGUUUUUUGAUAGAACAGUGAAGUUAUUUUUGUGGAUUAAAGAUUGUUGUUUCUGAGGAAAAAAAGGGUUUUUUUGCAGGGUUUUGGAGAAAAGAGAAAGAUGGGUUUUUUGCGACGGCUUAGGGUUAACAGAUGGAGAUGGGUUUGAGAGAGGGCAGAUGUUGGCGUGCCUGUUGUGGUGGCUGCCAUUAAUGGCUGAAUUUAUUCUAUUCUAUUUUAUUUAUUGGGUUGCCUUGCCCUUGCUCAAAGAAAAAACAGAGGAGGUGUGUGGAGGGAGACAGUGGCGAAGGGUACUUUAAGUAGAGGGGAACUUGUUCUAGGUUUUUUUCUGGAAUUGUGAGGGAAUCUGAUCCUGGGUUUGUGCAUAUGAUUCAAUUACUUAUAGGUGAUACUGUUGUGUCACCACAAAUUCUAAUUGGGAAGCUUCAGCUGUCAAUUUUUUUCCAAGGGUUAAUUAGGUAGAACUUUCAUGUCGUCGAUUUUAUUUGGAGAUUCUAAAAGUAGUUUCCAAAUAAAGAGAUGGACCAAAAUCAACAAUGUGACAAAGAUACUUUAGAUUUUUUUUCCUUGUGGGACAUGAAAAUUGAUGCAUGUUCCAAUGCAUUGCUCUAUCAGAAUUGGAAUUAAACUUAGUUUGUAUUCUCCUAUUCCGAAAGCAAAACUUAUAAGUGAUAUUAUAAGAAGAAGAAAUUAAGAACCAUAACAAAUUUGAUGAUUCUAAUUUGCUAGAAAUAUUGCAAUCCAAAACUAAGAAAGUUAAAACCAAUUAUUAGAAGAAAAAAGUAGGACGGAAGCUCCCAGAAUAUUGUUAUGUGUUGUAUUUUUUCAGUUUGUAUUUCCCAAUCAAUAAGGAAAAGUAAGUACACACGUUACAAAAAUUUAAUAAAAAAGAUUGGAGGUGACAAAACCGUCAAUUUUCUAAUUAACUUUCUCUCCUUUCGAAUUUCCUGAGUUUGGUAGAGACUGCUUAAGUGGUGUAUCUAUUAUAAACAAGCAAAACUAUGUUGCAACAGUGGUACGGUACCACUGUUGCAACAGUGGUACGGUACCACUGUUGCAACCAGCUAUUGAAUCUAUAGUUGUAUAGUUACAUUAGCAAGAUCCAAUAGCUAAACGAAACAAUAGUACCGUACCACUGUUGCAAUAUAGCUAGACCCAUUAUAAAUACCUGAAGUCAAAGUUAAUGUUUUAAUUGUUAAGAAAAGUUCGAAGAAGAAAUUUUUGUAUAAGAGAAUUGGGUUUAAAUUUAGAAUUCUUUGGAAGGAAAUGAGUCUAAAUUCCAAUAAUAUAAUUCAGCUCUAUUUAUAUAUAUCAUUAGUUGGGUGAAAAAUUAAUUUCCCUCAUUUGAUGUGAUUUUCAUCAUUUAUUUUCAUAUGAUGAUAAUUUUUUGUUUAGAGUGAAGUUAUUGGCACCCUUUCAUUAUCCUUAUAAAACCCUACUUCAAAUAAAAUUACACUUAAAGACAAUAGAAUUAAAUAACAUAGUUUUUUUUUUCAAACAAAUUACUCACAUUCAUAAUUUUUUUUUCUUCUAAUUUUCUAUAGGUUGCUUUGCAUCUAACUAAAAUAAAUUGUACAAAUUUAGAAUAAUUUAUUAUUCUUUUUAAAUUUCUUAUUGAUUAAAUAUUUGUGUAUUUAAGAUAGCUUUAAAAUUAUAAGAUAAAAUAUAUAUAAUUUAAGCCAAUGAUUAACAUUCAAAAAUUUCUCUCUCAUAAAAGUUUUUAAUUUGUGCGUAGGGUAAUAAUAAAAUUGCAAAAGAAAUGAGAAAUAGCAUAACACUAUUUUGAGUUUAAACAAUAAAAAAAUUAAAUGAAAAAUUAGAAGUGUAUUUAAAAAAAGGAUAUUUUUAAAAGUAAAAUAAAUAUAAUUAAAAAAAAAGAGUUUCAUGAGGGGUGCAAGCAAUAGUUCAACUCUUUUGUUUAUAAGUUUUAAGAUGUUGGUAUCCGUAGCUUAGCUUUUCCCUAAUUAUUAUAUUAAAAUGCAACAACAAUGAUGAUCAACCCUAAUUUCAUGGAGGUCAAAGAUUUUGGUCAUGCCGCAUUAAUUAGUUCGGUCAUACUUUCUACAAAUUUAUUUACAUUUAAUAAUUUGACCAAGACUAAGGCGCCGCCUGGAGUCAUAGAAUUUUAUAUGUCAAAAAUGCAUUUCACUUCAAUUAAGCCAUAAAUGUCGUUUAAUAUGCUUAUUUUGUAUUUUUUUAAAAAGUUUUAUUAAUUUUUUUUGUUUUUAAAAAUAUCAUUUAUUUAUUUUUAAAUUUUUUUUUUUAAAGGUAAAUAAGUGGGUAAAGUUCAAAUUCAAUUUUUAUCCCUUACGUCAUGGCUCCUAAGAUUUGAACUUAAGUGACCAAAUGUAUAAUAAUAGGCAUCUCAAAUAUCAUUUCUAAUUAUAUGUAAUUUAUUAAGUGAUUGUUAAUCUUUACAAGAUCCAAGUGAAUUAAUUGUAUUAUUUCACUACUAAUUGAUGAGUAUCAUAUUAUUUGGAAUAACUUUUGAAUAAAAAAAUUGUGAUGGAUGAAAUAUUCUUUUGAGAAUUUAUUGACUUAUCUCAUUUAUGAUUUAUUGUUGCAUUUAAGUGAUAUUGCAAAUAAUUUUUCCAAUAAUAUUAUUGUUUUGACGAGUAAGUUUGGAGUAAAUAAUACAUAUGGCAAGUGUGAGGUUUGUUAUUGCAUAUAUUUUGUGGAUCCAUUUUAAAGCCAAAAAAAAGGCAUUUCAAUUCAUUAUGAUUCCAGAUAAUUUCAAGCCAUAUGUCAUUAUUGGGAUAAAAAUAAAGUAAAAUGAUUAAAACUAUUUUUAUGUAAUUUAUAAAAAUUAAUGAAGCAACUGCAAAAAUUUUUAAACGAAAAACAAUUGAAAUGUGUGUGGAAAAAGAAGAAAAAAAUAAGGCAUUUAAAUAUCUUCUUAAAAAAUACGAUUGAGUAAAAUCAUUUUAACAGAAUGCUCUUCGAAAUGCAAUUCCACAUUAUUUUUUUUAUUGCAGUGGGAUAUUCCAAAAUUGGCACAACUCAUUAAGAAUUCGGCAACUAAAAUUUUAUUUAUCACUCUAUGCAUUUGACAAAUUAAAAAGAAAAAAAAAUCAUAUAUCUUCUGUUCAAAAGAAACCUUGGUAAAUAUUGUAAAACAAAUUACCAAUUUUUUUAAUUUAUGCCAUUAUAUCGUCGCUAUUUUCUCGCCCACUUUCUUAAAAUAGAAUCAAUAUUUAUUGAUGGGUUGGGUUCCAAAGUAAGUACCAAUUCAACAAAAUGGUUUUAUAGCAGAAAAAACACUUGUAAGACAUUCAGAACACAUUUUUCAAUUUUGUCUUUUGAAAAUGAGUCUUGAGUUUCCACAAGCCAAGAAGAAUGGCUAAAAAAUGUAUGGUAUCAAAGAAAGAGAAACACACACACACACAGAGAUUAGUGAGGAGAUAUAUGAGUGUGUAAUUUGUAUAUAUAUCCCCAUUAAUUGUUGAUAGUCCAAUGGGUAUAUGCAAAAGGAAAAAAUUGGCUGUCCUUUUAAGACAAAAUUGACUGUCACAUGAAAAUGUUAGCACACUUGCCACGCAACGAAAAUAAAGAUUCCAAGAACAAACUUUAUAGUCCCCUUUCUGUCCAAACAUAUGCGAUAGAAAUUAGUGUAAACGACACUUGAAAUAUAUAUGUAGAUCCUCACACAAUUGAUUAAAUAUUUAGAGUAGGAUGGAGUGAUAAAUAGUUUCACAAAAUUAUUGGAAUUAACUACUUAAUACAUGAGAUCUAUCUCAUUAAGUAUAAAAGAUUGAGUGCUGCUUCAAAAGCAUGACGUUGCUGGCAACAAAUUUAACACAAAAAUUUAAUUAACUAUCCUAGUUGAGAUAAUAAAAUCUUGUGUUGAAAACAAAAGGUUUGAGGUUCGAACCUUCUCAUUCAAGAAAAUCAAGUCAAAAUAUUACAUCUUCCAGCACAUAUCAAAGAUUUUUUCAAAGGCAGACUGAUAAUUCAGGGUAAAACAAAAAAAAACACAAGGACUAUAUGCUAUUCAAGACAGGUAUACCUUGGACAUGAAGUCUGAAUCCAAAACAAGAAGCACCUAGCUGAUCUUUCACUUUCAAUUUCCAAAAUCCAACAAAAUCUUUGUCAAAAUAUCUGAUCUAGUCUCAUAUUAAGCACAUUCAUAGCCGUAUCAACAGGUUCAAAAUAUUUUCCCCAAAAUGAGACAGAGAUUCCACUGAAGUUGAGUUGUGAAUGUCCCAACGUUCUGUAAUUAUAUGGUUCAGGAUACCAUGCCUAUUAAUCUUUUUUUUUCCUUUUAAAAAAAGGAAGCCAUAUAAAUAAUGCUUAAAACAUUAUUUGCAACAAGGAACAAUCAUUUCAUGCUUUCAUGUAUUAGAAACUUUCCAAAAAUGCUAGCAAGAAAAUGAAAUGGAACUUUACCUAGUCACAGAAUAUGUACUGCUGUUAGCCCAAUUGUUAUGAAGUGGCUUCUGCAUCAGAAGAUUCCAGCUCCCACCAAACAUUGUUAUCUCUCUUCUGAAUACAAUCUGCAUCGUUGGGCAUGAGUUAUAUCAUUAAUGUCUGCAUCCUCACUUACAUCAUCCCAAUCAAGUGCUUUUUCUCCAUAUCUGGAUUAUAAGUCCACUCCAAUCUCUUCAAAACAUCCUAGUCCUUCCAUCACAACUGAUACGACUUCCUUCCUAAUUACUUUCCCAUUAAUAAAUCGCUCCAAGAAAAGAAAGCAUUAGAAAUUCUCUUCAACACCCCAUCACUCAUAUCCCCUACAACAACCCUCUUCAGACACCUCAACAUUGCCUCUUGAAAGACCUCCAUAAAAUCCGAAUCAUCCGACACAACCACCAAACACCCAAACCUUCUUUUGUCCACCAUAUCCACCAUAUAAUUCCUCAACAAAACAUCGGCAUCUUGUGGCUUAUCUAACACCAUCCUGACCCAAAACCAUGCUCUUUUUAACUCAUCUGCAAAACCAUAACCCACUUUUGGAGUCAAAAUUGCGCUUGCAGCCAUUUUAUAUUUUUCCAUCUUUAUUGAAUAGUUGCCAACCAAAAGCACUCUCACAUUCCCUCUAGCUGAUUCUAUUUGAUUCGACCUUUUCUUUUGUUCCUCAUGAAUUUGCCUAAAAUGAUUAACAAGUUUGUCAUUAUUAUAAAAUCUCCUUCCACAAUCACCAAUACAUACGGCUUAGCAUGCCUAAUUACACCCCUGAUUUCUAAUUGGUUAAACAAUUCUCUUUCUUUCUUUGCUCUCUUACAACUUGAGGCACAUAACUAAACGCGUGGCUAUUAGCAUUUGCCACCAUGCAUUUAACAACCCCAAAUGAAGAUAUUAAUUUUUUUAGUUUAAUUGCUGCUUCAAAAUGGGGUACUGAAUUUGGAUUUUGUUAUCCAAAUACCAAAAAUUUCCCACAUUGUGAUGGACAGUUUUUAGUUCUAAAGUUGAUGACUGGUUUUGCGAAUCAGGCUUCAAAUGAGAACUUCUAAACAAUAAGACAAAUGAGUUUUUGAGUUUCUAAUCUUGUAAACUUUGUUCUAUUGUAUAAGUUAUGAAAUCGCUGAAACAUCACUACAGUUACAGGUCUUUAUGUGUCAAUGAACUGCAGAAGCCGAUCUUCACGUUUUCACGCGGAAGUGCACAUUUGUGAGGCGUACUCUUCAUGCACGAGGACGUGCAUGGUCAUGGCGGUGGGAGAAUGUCACGGACCGCAAUCGUGGCACCCAAGAUAUGUGCUUGUAUGCUAAUGUCGAUUAUGGUUGUGCUGAUUGUUGGAGACGUGCUUCAGGGGCGUGCAUGUGGGGAAUAUAAUGGCCCUAGACUCUUUGGAGUUCAGGCAGGCCAACCCGGUUUAGUUUGGGGAGCUUGUUGCUAGUCGAGGACUUAACCUUGAAGAGGGGUCUAGGCAAAACCCUACACACACUAGUUGGGAACUGGAGUCGUUCUCCUAACAAGCCCAAGGCAGGGCGAAACCAGUCGAUAUUGUGCCACUUCCACUAGGCUUACUCUCGUAGUAUGGGAUGCGGGAGUGCCGCACGGGUUCAAAACCUCUCGUCUCGUGACACUCUGCUCAAAAGCUAUGCUGCAAGAUAUAACAUCUUUGCAAUGUUAUACUUUCUAAAAGUAAUAAGAAAUCAUUUUAAAAAAAAGUAAUAAGAAAUGAAACCAAGGGGUAAAUCGAACACCAAAAGAAAUUUAGUCGGCCAACCACAUUAUGUUCCCACACAGUCCACUAAUUAAGUUAAUAAUUAAAGGGAAUCAAAAUCUAAGAAAUCUCAUCUUCAAGCAGAAUACAAACACACCGCGAUUGAAAAUCACAAAAUCGUAAAAAGAAGUUGACUUGAAAAGGGGUGGGCCGCCUCAUUUGCCCACCAACCACACCACACACACAAACACUCCAGCACACACACAAACUCUCUAGCUUUUGUAAAAAACUCUCUUGUAUAUUCUCUCUUUGUCAGUAAUAAAAUCAUAUUCAGCCCUAUUGCUCUACUUCUCUCUAGCAUUUUCCUCAAGUGUUCUUGCUUCGCUAGUUUGAGGAGUGGUCUAGGCUUGCUUAGCAACUUGUUUGCUACAAGGACAUCUUGGUCACAAAACAUGGACAUGCAAGGAAAAAAAAAAUAUUGAUACGUUCUAAAAAUAAUACGCAUUCUUCUACAGUGAACCAAAAAAUUUAGGCUAAUGGUAGCAAGUGAAGGAAUUGUGAUUUCAUGUGCAUUUUGUUGACAUGAAGGUAAAGAACUUUUUUAUAGUUUAUAUUGUUUAAUAUAACAUUUGAAUUGCAAAAUAGGGGUACAAAAUAGAUACACGAAGGGAUAAAACUAAGCUGAUUAUGAUAAAUAUUGAAUUAUAAGAUUUAGGUUUAAUCAUAAAGACAUAAGUGGCCCACAAAGUCACGAAUUGAUAUCAUACACGAUGCAAGUUCAAACAACUGCAUAAUAAGUUGCCCCAAUCUAAACUAUUAAUCUAGUAACUAUUCUAGUCGAUGGGGGAUAAUUUUCCUAUCACCAUUUAUCACGUGCAAGCCAAAUUUGUUGCUUGGUUCUUACAUGUGGUAAGGUAAUAUGAAUCCACUUGUGCAUAAAUUUGGCUCCGAUAUUAUAUAGAAGCUUAUGACCCAAAAUUAUACUUAAAAGUUAUUUCAAGAUUUGAGGGUUGCCUCAAGGUAAUAUUAUUAUUAGCCUGGUAACCCUUUUUUUGGUUGAUAUGUGAUAUUUUCCCUAUAACUUUUAUUAAUCUUUAUGCCUAUGUUUUGUCAUUUAUCCCAAAAUAUAACAUUAACAAAAGUUCCAAAAUUUCCUUCAAGAGAUAUACUUGAGACAAGUAAUUUGUGCAAUAACUUUGUGAAUUGAUGAGCAAAUUCAGAGAAAAGAAUAUAUGUGCCAAACGUAAUGUUUAUUAUUGUGUUUAUUUGUAGAGCUAUUUAAAGCCCCAAAAAAAAAAAAAAAGCACCGGUCCGCUAUUAUUUCAAAUAAGUUCAAGCCCUAUGUCAUUAUUGGUACAAAAAUGUAUUAGAAUGGUUAAAAACUAUUUGUAUUUAACUUAUAAACUUAGGAAAUUAUCAACUGUCCACCCUUAAAUUGCAUUGUUAUAAAAAAUAUUACAACAUUUUCAGGUUGUAUCAUUCAUCUACCAUAAAUUUACAAUCUGCAUCAUUUAUCCACCAAAUCAUUAACUUUGUUAAAAAGUGAUAGACGUCACAAGGGUAAUUUAGACAUUUAACACACACAAAAAUAAAAGAGAAAUUAUCUAAGCUUACCAUGUUAUCAAAAUUGCUACAAAAUUUUAAAUUUAUUCAAUUUUCCAAUCUAAGUUUAUGCCUCCAAGAUGUUAAUUGCAGUUUGUAAUUAAUGAGUUCAUAAGGAUAAUUUAGACACUCAAUAUGCAAAAUAAAAAAUAAAAUAAUGGCUUAAAACAUUAAAACAAAAAACUUGAUAUUCAAUUAAAUACACAUAAACUCUAUUUUUUUCUUAAUUAAAAAUAUUCUAAUUUUUUUUCUCAAUUUAUCAUCAUAAAUUUACAUUAAUAAACUAAAUCCACAAAUUACCCUAAUUCAUAAAUGCCCAAUCAGUCUAAUAGUUUACUUCGAUUUCAUAAUUAAAAAAGCUAAAUUUAUUAUAUUAGUUAUGGUGCAAAGUCAAAAAUGCCCUUAAAUUCAAGGGUAAAAUAACAUUUUAUUUAAAUUCUAUAAAUUAUUCUAACAAUGUUAACAUUUUGGUGGACGGUUAAUAUAAAUUGCAAACUUAAAAUAGAAAAUCAAAUAAAUUCAAAUUUUCAAACUAUUUAGGGCAAAUUUAGGAUAUAUGGUUAAUAAUUUUCCCAUGUCUUUUUACAUUGGUUGAUACAAGUUACAAACUUAAAAUAGAAAAUCAAAUAAAUUUAUAUUUUCAAACUAUUUAAGAUAAACUUAGGGUAUAUGGUUAAUAAUAUUCCUUUAUCUUUUUACGUUAAAUUGAGUUUCAAAGGUAAAAUGAUCAAUUUAUUAUAAUUCUGUUAAUUUUUUAGUGGAAACAAAUGAUAUAAUAGACGAAUGAUAUAAAUUGUAAAAUUAAGGUGCAUGAAUGAUACAACUUUAAAAUAUUGUAGUAAUUUUAAUAAUAGAACAAUUUAAGGGUGGAUUGGCAAUAAUUUAAACUUUAAUGAAGCAGCUAAAAAAAAUUUUUAACAAAGAAAAAUAAUUGAAUGCUUUGUGAAACCAAAAAUAAUUGAAAUGCUUUAAGAAAAAUAAAGGAAAUUAAAUAUCUUUAUAAAACCAUAAUUGAGUAAAAUCAUUUUACAAAAUGCUCUUUCAAAUGCACAUUCCACAAGCCAGGGAGAACGGGUGGCUAACAAAAAUCUCACUUUUUAUGAGUUUAUAAAAUCUCACUUUUGCAGAAUCCAAAAAUAGCCAAUACUAAUCACACAAAAAAUAAAAAUUAUUGCUGUCACGACAUUACACACUUUCUUCGCGGUUUAUAAAGCUAGAACAUUUUGAAGUUCCUCAAUACAAAAUGCGUGCUGCUACUAAAUUGGCCCAAUUAAUGCCCAUCGAAAAGGCCAUCAAUUUAGCCAUCAAUUUUGUCAAAAUUUCAACAAUUAAGAAACAAUGAUCGCAAACGGAACAUGUGAAUUUUGAAGUUGAAGAAAUCUUGAGAUACAUACAACAAAGCCUUGAAACUUUAUUCUUCACAAUUUGAGCACGCACUAAAUAUUAAACAAGUAUAGAACAAAGCUUAUUUUUAGCUUCUUGUGCGAACUGAACACGCUGAAUGAAGCUUUUUUUUUUUUGGAUUUUUGGAAUUUUUUAAAGUCAUUUAUGUUCGCUGCCAUCUUUUUCUUCGCUGGCGUCUUCCUCUCGGGGCUGGCAUCUGCCUCGUCUGUAGUUUGCUGUGCCUAUAUAUCCAACCAAUAAAUUGGGCAUUAAAUACGAAUGAAUGAUGAAUAAAAUGAUUAAAAAAAAACAGAGAAAAUUAUAAUAUAACACAUAUAUAUUGAAAGAGAAAUUUUGAUUUUAGGAUAGAUCAAUUAGCUAUCACAAACGAAAACAUGAACCAACUGUGUAUAGAGUCAAUUAACUAAAGUUCUCAAGAGUUGACCUGUGCUCCUGAAUUCUUGGACUCAUCUAUCUCCUUCUGAAUUUCCACGAAGCUUGGGACAAUUACGAACAACUUUAUGGGAUGCAGAUGGAAAUGGGAUCUGAUAACCCGCAGGCCAAAAGUUGGUGAGGUUUGGUAAGUCUUCCAGUAUCAAGUCCCGAAGUUCAUUCAUAACAAUUUCAUUGUAAUCCGUGACGUCUGCUCCAUCUUUAUGCCAGAAUACUUCUUCUAAUUCAUCAUUAGCUGCUAUACAUAGGUGCUUCAGUUUUUGAAGACUUUGAGCUAUGCUGAUAUGAAAUAGAUGCUUUAGUUUGGGGCAAUCAAGGACAGCGAUAUUUGUGAGUUUUGGGAAACAAACAGGUUGGAGAUGAUCCUCAUCCUCAUCCUCAUCAAUGAUUUGCUCUAAUUCCUGACAAUUCACAAUAGAUAACACCUCCAAUUGCAACAGAUUUCGAGCAAGUGUUGAUGAGAAGAGACGUCUCAGCAUAGUGCACCCGUCCACCCUUAAUCUGGUAAGACUUUGCAGGCUAAAAUUAUGCGUGGGACCUACGUGAUAUAAUACUUGCAGUUCUCGAAUGUUUUCCAACCACAACGACUUCAAACAUGGGAAUAGUUUAUUUUCUUGUCCCUCAGCGAUAAUAGCUUCCACUUGAAAUACCACCUGUACUCCAAUUUCCAAAAUAUUCAAUUCUUCCAAAUUUUUUAAGCCGUGCUUCAACAGUGCUGGAAUCGUGUCACUCAAAUGGGAACAAUUGGCCACAUCUAGAGUAUUUAAGUUCUGAGACAAAUAAAUAAAUAACUUGAUGCAAUUAAAAUCUAUUAGCAGCUAGGAUUAUCACAUGAUAAGUGAUGAACACCGCAAAAAUAUCAUAAUACAUAUGUAAACUAAUAAAAUAAUUAAAAAGUAAUGGAUUUAAAAAAAAAUGAAAUUAGUUAAAAGAGAUCAUGUGAAGUGAUAUAAAUGUGACAUUAUAUUGUUUGAGAAAAAUUAGUAUUCUAUUAAUUUCUAUGGAUUGAUCAACUAAUUAAUUGAAUUUGAGUAAUAUAAUAUACACUUCAGUAGUGUUUGCAUCAAUUCUUUCUAAACCGAAAUGAGAUAUGACUUUCAUUUGAAAAAUGAUUUUAGGCCCUAAAAUAAAGGAAUUUCCUUAAGAUAUUUGAGCAUUAUUAUUAUCAUCAUCACAUCCACGAUCAUCAUCAUCUCCAUAGGACCAAAUAAUUAAUGGCUGAUCAUAAAAUUUAUUGCUAAACUAUCAUUUCGAGUAAAAUUGAAGGAAAAGAAAAAACAUAAACACAAACAAACAUACCUCUUUGAGAUAUUGCAAAUUGGCUUUAAGUUCAGUACUGUUGAUGGUCAAGUUGGGACAGUCAUGAAGCUGUAACUCUUCCAAUGCUGUCCAAAUUGAACAAUAAUUUUCUGAACAAAAGCUCUUGAGUUCUGGGAGUUCUUGAAGUGUUAAUCUUCUCAACAAGGGGAGGGCGAGCAUCGUAUUUCCACCUUCGACACUUAUUUCCCCUUCAUUGUGAUCAAACUUUGCUUCGACAAUACAUUCCAGUCUCUUGCAAAAAGUCACACUGAGACUUUUAAGCUGCUCCAAACUUCUAGCUUGUGACAACGUGAAGAUAUAUGUCAACUUGUUGCACCUUUGCACAUUCAAUUCUGUGAGAGUUUGGAGGCUGAUCACAUGUUGGGCGGGCGCCUUCCAUAUCCACUUCAGUUCUGGUAAUUGGAACAUAUUUAACUCUACUAAUCUUGAGAGACUCUUUCCAUGCAGCGACUUAGAGGCAUCCAUUAUGCAUUCUAAAUCUUCGCAAUCGCGAACAUCAAGACAAGUCAACUCAUUUAAGCCCCUUUCAUCUAUGCUUGGCACAAUAUUAUGACAACCUAUUAACCCCCUCAAACGAAGAAAUUUCAGAUUUUGAUACAAUGCUGAAAAAAUAACGAGCGAGGUCGCCACUUCAUGAGGGUAAUUCUCAAUGAUUAAGCUCCUUGUUUCAUCACCAUGUUCCAUGUCAUGAUCAGAUAAUUGACCAUUACCGAUGACGUACCUUUGCAUUUUCGGGAAUGUAAAGUCUUUUGGAAGACAUAUAACUUGGGAGUUCAACUCAGCAAGCCUAGCAUUACUUUCUUCUGAACUCAUCUCUUCAACCUCCCAAUCUUUUAUCCGACCAUAAAAUUCUUCCAAUUGAGGAAAUUUUUUUAUUGUAAUGGGAGAAACAGAACCAGUAUCAAUAUAUAGAAGUUUCAAUCUACCAAGUUCAUCCGACGACAAUUCUUCAGGAAUUUCAAUGGGAGAUGACUGGAGAUAAAGAAGUUCAAGUCUCUUCAACUUUCCAAGAAAAAACGCGUCACUCACAUCACACCGAAUCAACUGCAGAACCUGGAGGUUGGUGAGGCUCUGAAGCGAUUUAAGUGAAAGAACUCCACCUAUUAUAGUGACAACUUUCAAUGCUGGCAUCCCUUUAAAAAAAUGUUCUGGAACUUGCAAUCGGUGGUCGUAUUCAGGAUUCUCCAAUCGCAAAAUAUGAAGGUUAGGGCAUACCAAACUACUAGGAAGCUCUUCUACUUUAUUUCCCAUUACAGAGAUUCCUCUGUAUUGUUCCAGGCCUUCUUCCAUUGCCCGUUCUGCCAAUCCAAUGCCAACUUUACUAAAAAAUUUCUUCUCCACUAGUACUUCUGAGCCUAUCCAUAUGGCUACAUCACGAACUAUGUCAUGCAUUUUCACAGAUCUGUCAUUACCAGUGUCUAACAGUAGUGAAGCAGCUUUGAGUCCGUCAAUUGUUCCAAGCAGUAGGCUUCUGGUGUUCUCUAUUGACUCAGCUUGAUACCAAGUCAACCCUACUGCAUAUCCAACCAAAUCCUCCAAAUUAAUCUCAUAAUCUUCUGGAAAUAGCGAACACAACAAGAAGCAUAACUUGGAAUUGUCAUCAUUCAAUUCGUCGUAACUAAAUUUGAGACAACCGUAAACGUCUAAGUUCUCCUCAUCAAUACCUUCUAUUGCAUAGAGUUUUGCAGCCUUUAGGUUAUGUAGAGCUAGGUUCCAUUCAUUAAAUCUUUUUCCUCUUAGUGCACUUCCAACAGCUUCAAUAGCUAAAGGCAGCCCCUUACAUUCUCCAGCAACUUCUUUGGAAACAUCAUUCAAGGUGGAGUCAUUUACAUUAAUUUUGGCAUUUUUUCGCAGUAAAGCCAAUCCUUCUUCUGGCGUUAGUGUACUAAGUGGAAUCUGUGUGUCACAACCCAAAGAAUCACAAACUGACUUUUUGCGAGUGGUUAGAAGGAUUUUGCAACAAUUAUCUCUACCACCGACGGUAAUACCUAAUUUUUUCUCCGAGUCGAGUGGUUUCCAAACAUCAUCAAGGAUUACGAGGAUUUUGCUGCUUUUACUCUCAGAAAACAUCAAGCGCAAUCGGUCUGCUCUCUCUUUUUCAUCUUUCUCAUUUAGUGCCCAGCCUAACGACUUUGCCAACUCACCUUGAACCUUUAUUAUAUCUAGAUCCUGAGACAUAGUGGCUAUCCCCACCUUAUCGAAAAGCUUUUGUUGCCGAAGUUGAUUGCCCACAUAUUUUGCCAGGGUUGUCUUUCCUACACCACCGAGACCAUGCAAUCCCACCAUCUUUGUGCUCUCUUUUUUCAGUGCGUCAAUGAUCUGAUUGCAAGCGGAUUCUGUGGUCUUGAAAAUAGAAGUAAAAUGCCUUGGCAAACUUAAUUCUCUUUCUAAUGGUAGAGGUUUAGGAGAGGCAACUGUGUUGAAUUGGCUGCAGCCUUGUAGCAGAUCGGACAACUUGCUAGUCUUCUCUGAUGCUUUUCUGCCCAGACGAUAUCGGCAACACCAAUUAGGACACAAUCCAUGAAGACUACUAUCCUUUUCAUCUAUCUCUGCUUUCAACUUCCAAACAUCGUCCAAUUCUUCGACUCCAUUAUUCAGCCACUCCAUUACAUUUUCAUCGACUACUAUGUCGGGGCAUUUUCGCAGUUCAUCGUCUAUUCUUGUUUUGAUGCCAUCUCGUGCCUUCUUCAACUUAGUUUCUUUAUCCUCAAGUUCUUUAACAAUGCUGUUGAAACAGAACAUAUAGCGAGCUUGGUCAAUGGCUGCAUUCACCAAUAAUUCUUCAACCUUUGAUUUUAAAGCUUCCAUGCUAUUUAUCUGCAAAUAACGAAGUUGAUCUCAGCACACUAUUAGCGAAACAACAAGGCUUGAUCACCAGACAAAAUGAGAACGUUUAAUUACCUCUUUCUGCACUGUGAAUGCACGUCUAUUAACACCAGCUUUGACCAAUAAGAGCAAAAUGCAGAGGUGGGGCCUUAAGAGUUUCGGUGGCCUUUAGCUGCAAAACGGCAGAUGACAAAUAAGGUGAACGUUCCUAGCAAACGUGAUUUACGGUGAAUUAUAUUCAAAUUAGAUUAUUUUAAAAGUUGGUAAAUUAUUUAUCACUCUAUCUUAAUGAUACCUUAUUUGGGAUGAUAAAGAUUGGGGUAAAUUCCCUUUUAUUCUCACAUGUUUAUAGUAUUUAUAUUUUUAUAAAUUACCUAAAACAUCCAUGUAACUUACUUUUAUAGCUAUUGAACAUAUCAUUUCAAAUAUAAAAUACUAUUUCUGUCUAAUAUAAAUUAAAAAUCAAACAAAUCUAUCAUGCAAUAAAUGAAAAGUAAAGAAUAUUAAUUAGGUUUUAAUGGAAACAAAUAUAAAACAUAGAGGUUUUGAGUAACUUUUGUAUUUUUUUUAAUGUUCAAUUUAGAAUUGAAUAAUUUGCAUAAUGAAAUUUUGAGGUUUCUAUAAUUUAUAUGAAGAUAAACUGCGAAAUAAGUUUAUAUGCCGAAAUUAAAAUAGUUAUAUAUUAGCAAUCAUAUAAUAAUAAAAAAUUUUAAUAAAAUUUAUUUAAAAAUUGGCCAAUUGUGUUUCAUGAGUAAAACAGAGAGCAUAAUGGACUUAUGUUGGGUCUUGGGAUUGAAAGACUAAGGGUAAGGGGCCGGGAGGUAGGACGGUAGGAAAAUUAAUUUUUGUUAUUUUUAAAGUAUGGUCAACAUUAGUGACUUGGAGGUGAUUGCCGUUAAUCAAUUACCUUUAACUUAAGAAUUAAUACAAAUAAAUGGAAAAAAUAAUUUAAUGAAAAUUAAUUUAAUAAAAAAUUGCACUAAAAACUUAGAACUCAAAUUCUCGAUCAUUUUAUCCGUACGUUUUAAUCCGACGCUCAGAAUUGGCAUAAAACAAACUAAUAUAGCCAUUGGAAAUAAAACAAACAUCAAAUCAAGAGCCUAUGAAACAAUAUUAUCUCGUACCUUCUUCCUUAUAGAUCCUCAAUUGCUGUUGAAAGCUGCAUAUGACAAUAUAAAUAAACAUGAGAUCAAAACAUCAUAGGAUAUAUCUAGCCAAUUAACAUCAUAUAUAACUCCUUGUUCUCAGUCAAAUCUUUCAUUCUUAGAUUAAAAAAAAAAUGAAAUAAUAACUGUUAAGUGAUAUAGGAAGCAAAAGUAACACACCGAAAUGAAAGCAGCUAGUUCACAGAUGACAGAUGCGGUGACUUCAAGAGCAUGAAAAAUGAUUAAACUUUGGUAGAAGGGUCUGAGCCGUGUUUCACAAGUUGCUAUUGACUUCGUGGCUUCGCUUUUAUUUAUUAUUAUUAUUUUUUUAAAUUCUAUAUCAGUGAGAAUUGAAAUGUGGAAAGUGAAAUGAUACACAUGCCUUAUCAUCUAUCAUGAGGGGUGAUUUGGUAAAACCGAUUUAAAAUAAAAAAAGUUUAAAAAAAUUUAAAAAGAUGCUUUGUGUCUGACUGCUUGUAUUUGGGGUAUUUUUCGGGUUGUUGAGACUUGAGAGUGAGUUUAAUUAAAUAUAAGAUUUUCAUUUUUCUUAUUAUAUUUUUCUCUUUAGAAUGAAUUUAAAUCUCAUUCUUAUUAAAUUCAUUUUUUUAAAUGAAAAUAGAUUUCUCUCCACACAUUUGAGAUAUAUUUUAAAAUUAAUGUUAAGCAUAUCUCUAAAUUAUAUUAUAAAUAUUUUUAUUUAAAAUCUCAACAGAUUUCAUAACACACAGAGAGAAAUACAUAUAUAUGUUGUAAUGUUUUAAUGAUGGAUCUCUAAAGUUAUCAAGUUAAAAAAUAAAUAAAUAAAUAAAAAAUACACACUUCAACUUAUUAUAUGAUAAAAUAUAGUAUAUUAAAGUGAGUAUUUUUUGUGUGAAAUAAAAUUAAAGUGAGUACUAUUACCACCUCACAUCUUAUAAAUUCUAGAAAAUAAUCAAGGCUUGACAUACUUUUAUUUAUGCAAAAGCAUAAGAAAAUAAUUCAAAGUACUAAUUAGUGUACUAUUCCUCAAAAUUCUAGAAUAGAUUUGUUAGUUCUCUUUAGCCAUAGAUUGGUCCGUGAUUGGCACCGCAAUAGCUCAUAAUCACCUCAACAAUUGUUCCACACGGCCCAACAUGACACAUUGUAAACUAGUCUACAAGAAUUUUUUGAGUGGCUUUCUAGCAAUAUUCUUAGAGAAAGUGUUUAGUAGUUUCAAAUCUUCUUUUUUUAACACAAAUGUUGGCAUGAUAUUCUUAAUAUAUUUCUAAAAUCAAAAUAAGAUGCAUAGAGGACGAUAAUUUUAUUUCAUAAUUGAAUUUUUUGCAAAGAAAGUUUGAACAUGAGAGUGAUGAGAGAUGAGAAUAUUGAUGAUGGUGUGUACUUUGAAUGGAAAAAUAGAUUGGAAAUAUAUAUAGACAUAUUAAAAGAAAAAAAUUUGGUCUAUUUCAUAAGAGAAAUAAAAAAUUAUAAACGCGGGUGUUAAAAUGUAUUCAGAAUUUAUAAAUUUUUAUAAAUAUGAUAAUCAUCAGACCCUUAUAAAAGUAUAACAAAAAAGUUUAAAAUUUUUUAAUAAAUGUAGAAGAGAUGAACGAAGAAAUCAUCCACCAGUUCAGAAUUAACAAUCAAAGAUAUGAGGACUUGAUUGAAGAAAUGAUGAAAAAUAAAAGGAAACUGGGUUGGUUAGCGGGACCCUAAUAUUAAUGGUGAAAAAUAAAAGGACACUGGGUUGGUUGGCAGGACCCUAAUAUUAAUGGCAAAAAAUAAAAGGACACUGGGUUGCUAUCAAUUUCGAUCGUGUAGGUUCAUAGCCGGGGAAGUAAUUGGGCACAAAUAUCUCGGAUGAGAAAUAACCAUUUUAUCCCGCAACCAUAUGUUUAUGGCCUCUAAAAAUUUUCACCUCUUUCACUUUCUGGAACCCGUGCUUUCUGGCACAUGCACAAAUACUUGGUUGCUACUUAUAGAGCGUUUUUGGAAUUGCAACAACAUGGUGCUCUUUGAUAAUUCAAAAAUCCAAUAUAAUUUAUAGAGAAUUACAGAAUUGUGGUACGUGAUAAUUUGCUGAUGCAAUGAGGCGCCGAAAUUCUUAUACAUGUGAUUUAAGUUAUAUAUGUAUAAUUAAGUAAUUAGAAUAUACUAGUUGGGGGUAUUUGUGUCCAUGAAAAUUUACAGCUGGUUGUUGACAUUACACUGCGGGUGUGUAAGUGUAAUCAUGGAUCUGACCAUUCAAAUUUAAAAAAUGGGGGUCCCGCUAGCUUACGGAGUUAGUAAUUAUUAGAUAUGCAUAUAUGCUCCCAUACGAUAAUCUUAUCAUAAAUUUGAAGGAUACGAGGACUUGAUUGAAGAAAUGAACGAAUAUUUGAAUUAAAAAAAAUUUUAGAAUAAAGACAAGUAUUAAUUUACUAUGAAUGCAACUUACAUAAGCUGUAAGUUAGCGGGACACUAUUAAAUCACAAGCAAAAAGCAAUCUGACUUCUUCUUGAUUCCGUAAUUUGGCUGUCAAAAUGUAAUCUAUAAAAAUUACGAUACCUCGAUUCAAAAAAAUGUUGUUUCUGAUGAAAUAAAUGAAAAUUGAACGUACAAUCUGCCACGAACACUGUUUAAUUAACCGUUUAUUUCCCCUUAAAUUUUUAAUCUCAAUGAAACAUAGAUCUAAUGGGAACUACAUAUAUAUAAAAAUACUAUAGAUUGAAGAAGUUGAAUUUUUCUUGUGUGUUAAGUAUUUUUAGUUAAUACGAAAGGAUUCUAGCAAGUUAAUACAAAAGUAUCAUAAAUUCAUAGUAGUACAAGAGAUUUUUUUUUUCUUUUGAUAUUAAGAGUUUUCGAGAUAAAAAAAAAAAAAUAGGUGAAAGAAGAAGAUGAGAGAAGAAAAAAUAUUAAGAAUAGUUUUGGCAUUUUGAUGCGUUUUAUAGUGUAAAAUCUAUAUUUUAUAGUAUAAAAAGGUACACCCAUAAUUUAAUGAUAAAAUUUUAGGAAAAAAUUGCACUCGUCAAAAAAAAAAAAGAAAAGGCUCAGCUUAGCCCAAAAAUUUUUUAUUAAUCGUCUAGUCGCUAAUGUAAUCUCUUUUUUAUGAGAUUCUUUGGCGUUUUAGUUUAGUCCAUUGUUAGCAAUCCUAAUAGCUUUUAUGUGCAUCUAUUUUUAUUUGGAAUAUGUUUCAAGCUUGAAUAAAAUCUGCGGGACAACUGGUAAGUAAUAAAGCUCAUCAUUUUUUUAUUUUGAAAAUAAAGGGAAUCACUUACACUUAGCAUGAUAUUAUUUUUGAUAAGUCAUUUUUUUGGUAGAUUAUUUUUUCUAACACGCUCUUAGAUUUAGUGAAAAUAAAUUGUAUACUUUUAAUGAAGAAAAGUAAAGAUCAACAAAAUAUUUUGUUCUUUGCGACAACUUUUGCGUUCUCAAGUGCGCCUGAUACCCUUUUUUUUUUAACAUGGGCCCACGUGCCAUGUUUCCAUUUCAAGUUUCAUAAGUUAACAGUAGAAAUGGGUUCCACAGAUAAUUUAUUUUAUAAUUUUUUUUAAAAAUUACUAAAAUAUAAUAAAUAAGGUAAUAAUAAUUAAUAAAAAAGUAGAUUUUAAGAUGGAAAAAUCUUUUUGUGUACUUAAUAAAAAGAUGAUAAGAAUGGGAUGCUUUUAGUUUACAUUCUCAUAGCUAUUUAUACUGAAAAAUUACAUCAAAAUUUAAUUAAUAAAUCAGUGAACUGCAGACUUAUUAAAUUUAAGCUAUUUUAAUAAGUCAUAAAUAUACUAAAUUAAAAUAGUAAUAAACCCAUUGUUACACAAUACUCUCCAUUGAGUGUUCACCAUUUUAAGAUAAUCAUAAAAUGACACCGGAAGUGCUAUUAUAGCUGUCUCAUGGAAAGCCUUCACCAAUAAAAAGGAGGAUAGAGCACAUACAUCCAGUUUUUAUACCCUUUGAUGCUCAGUCGACACGUGCCAAUGCUAUAGACUAGCUUUUCGAAGGUUGAAGUGGGUAUGCUAUUAGUAAAAAGACCUGCAAAAUUAUAGUGUACCUAUUUGACAUCAACUUUUUUUAUCUGCUGGAGCUUAUGAUUAUAGAAGAUCUUCGGUAAGAUGUGUUUGAUUUUAUCUUCUUUUAUAUAUCCUCCUCUAACUUGUGUAAUAGUAGUAAACCCCUGCCCGUUUUUAUUUCGUUUAGUAUUUUCUAAAUGGCCGAAGGAAAAUUGGUAAAAACUCAUUUAAAAAUUAAAAAAAAAAAUCAAAGAAAUUCAAGAAGAAGCUUUGUAUCUGUCAUUUGUAUUUGGGGUAUUUUUUUGGUUGUUAAGUGAAUGAGCUUAAAUCUAAAACAUUUAUUUAUAUAUUUCUUGUUGGAAAGAAUUUAAAUUUUAUUCUUAUUAGACUUAUUCUCUUUAAACAAAGGUAGAUUUUUCUCUAUGUGUUUAACGUGUAUUUUAAAAUUAAUGUUCAACAUAUCUUUAGAUUCUAUUAUAAAUAUUCAUAUCUAAAAUCUCAACAGAUUUCAUAAUAUAUAAAUGUAUAUAAAGAGAGAGAAUAACGUUUCUAAUAAGAAAUUUAUUAAGUUAAAGAAUAAUUCAAAAGAUAAAUUUGUAUUAAACCCAUUUAUAUGAUUAAUUAAGGUUUUAAACAAAUUUUGGACUUGUUCUAUUGUAGAGCUUAAAUUCAAAAUGGAAGAGUGAAGAAGGGAAAAAGAAGACGAAUAAAGAAGAAAAGAGGAGAACAACUUAUACAAAAUAGGGAGAACGAAAAAGUGAAGGGCAGAAAAAGAAAAAGAAUAAAGAAGAAAUUAAUCAUCGCUGAUAUGAAAAUAAUUCCUUCUUCUUUAUUGUUCUUAGUGGUUCUACUUUUUUUUAUUGGAUUCUAAAUUUUUGUCGUAGAUGGAUUAUAAGAACUAGAAAAUUAUAAAGAUAAUUUUUUAAUUAUUCGAUUAAUUAAUUCCAGCAGAAGACAAGAAAUUGAUUCUGCUUCGUUAGAAAGCCAUCACAUUCUAUACGCAAUUGCAAAAAGUAUAUAUUUUUGUCUGUUUUAGACAAGAAUAAAAGGGAUACCUGGUAUUGCAAAUCUAGACACGUUUUAGUGCUUUAUGUCCGAAUGAAUUCUUUCUUGCAACAAUAAACUUGGCCGAUCAGGAUUUGCCGUUUACAUAUGUAGGUCCUGUUGGUUCUGUAGUAGGACUCAUAAAUUUUUAUUUUUAAUUUACUGAAUCCAUAAAUUUAAAAUAACGGUGCAACUCCUGAGGAUGACAAUGGGGCGGGUGAGGUCUUGGAGUCCUGAAAAAAUUUAUAUCUGCAUAUUAAAAAAUGUGGAUCCGAAUAAGAAAAUCCGCAUGAAUCCGAAUGCAAGUGCAUUUGGAAAAUCGGAUAUCGAGAUCUGGAUAAAAAUUUAUUUCAAAUUAAAAAUUAAAUUAAAUAUAUAUUAAAAAGUAAAUGAAAAAUUAAGAAAGUAAAUUUUAUUUGUAGAUUUAUGAUGUCAUUGUAUAUUAUUCAUGUUGAAUUAUUAAUUGUUGGAUUAUGAUUGAAUUUUAUUUGAUAUUAUUGGGUAAAUUAUUGAAUUUCAUUUUAAAUUAAAAAUAUUUAUUAAAAAUUAAAUUUUAUUUGUAGAUUUAUGAGAUUAUUGUAUGUUAUUCAUUUAAAAUUUUUAAUUAUUGAAUUAUGAUUGAAUUUUAUUUGAUAUUAUUAGGUAAAUUAUUAAACUUUUAAAUUUUAUAUUAAAUUAUAAGCAGUAGGAAAUUAUGGUAUUCAGAACAUGUAUACCUUCGCACAUGAAGCUUGAGUCCAGAACAAGAUGCAGCUAGCCAAUCCUUCAACUUCCAAAACCCCACAAAACCUCUGUCAACAUAUCUGCUCUACUUCAAUAUCAAGCACAUUCAUAGCGGUAUCAACAGCUUACAGCUCCAAAAAUAGUUUGAGAUUUCAUUGAAGCUAAGUUGUGACUUGUGACUGUCCAAAUGUUCUGUCACACGAAAUGAUUAUUCUUGUAACACAAAUCCAAUAGCAUGCAAUAUAAUCUACUCUCUAACACUGUGCAUUAGUAAAAUAAAACAGAGUAAAAAGAGAAACCAUGCCUGUGAAUCUCUUCUCCUCCCCCCACCACCCCUUUUUUUGGUAAAGUCUAUCAAAUGAAAAUGCAGCAUGACCACAUUGGCCACUACCACUGCCAUUACUCCUUCAACUGUGCCCUUUGUUGCAAGAAAUCUUCAAGUGAAAGAUGGAUUAUAUAAUUAAAGAUUCCAAUAGAAGCAGCAAAGGUUGCCUUCCACUAGCCUAUCAGAGAAUAUGCUUUCUAUUUUCCUAGUUUUAAUCAAAAUUUUGCAAGAUUUAUUUAUGGAAAACUUGGACAAAAUUUUAUGUAAGAUACCAUAAAGCCAAACACAAUCUUUUUAAUUCUCAGCAGCAACAUUUAAAGUAAAAAGAUGGAAGCCAUAUAAAUAUAACUAUAUUUGGUACGAGGAACAAUUAUUUCAAGCUUUCAGAAAUGCUAGCAAGAAAUUGUAAGAGAACUUUACCUAGUCACAGAAUAUGUCAAGCAUACUACCACCAACUGUCUUUAGCACAAUUGUUAUGAAGUAGCCUCUGAAUCGGAAGAUUCAAGCUUCCACCAGGCACAAUUAUUUUCAUUCUCCAUACAAUCUGCAGCAGUGGCAUGAGUUAUAUCAUCAACAUUUGCAUCCUCACUCUCAUCACCCCAAUCAAGGCUUCUUCUCCACCUCUGGAUUAUAAGUCCGCUUCGACAUCUUCAAACAUCUCGGUCCUUCCAUUUGCAAACAACCGAUAUGGCUUCUUUCCUUGCCUUCCUCAUCGUUUAUAUCCCCCCAAAAAAGGGUCUUUAGACACCUCAACUUUGCCUUCUGCAAAACCUCCACAAAAUCUGAAUUAUCCAACACAACAGCUAGACGCUUGAUCCUUCUUUUGUCCAUCAUAUCCACCGCAUGAUUCCUCAACAAACAUCUGCAGCUUGUGGCUUAUCUAACACUGUCCUGACCCAAAACCCCACUCUUUUCAACUCAUCUGCCAAACCAUAACCCACUUUUGGAGUCAAAAUUGUCCUUGCAGCCCUUUUAUAUUUUUCCAACUCCAUUGAAUACUUGCCACUCAAAUGCACUCUCCUACCUCUAGCUGAUUCUACUUGAUUCAACCUCUUCUUUUGUUUACACUCAUGAAUUUGGAUAAAAUAAUUAACAAGUUUGUCAUUAUUAUAAAAUCUCCUUUCACAAACACCACAUAAAUAUGGCUCAGCAGGCUUAAUUACACCCUUGCUUUCCAAUUGGUUAAACAAUUUUUCUCUUCUCUUUGCUCUCUUACAACUUGAGGCACAUAACUAAAUGCAUGGCUAUUGGCAUAUGCCACCAUGUAUUUAACAACCCAAGUGAAGAUAUUGAUUUGGGGGUUUGUUGUCCAAAUCCCUAAAAAUUCACACAUUGCGUUGGACAGUUUUUAGUUCUACAAUUAAUGAUACGUUAUGUGAAUUAAGCUCCAAAUGAGAACAUCUAAACAAUGAGACAAAUGGGCUCUAGGUUUCUAAUCAGUAAACAUCGUUCAGUCGCAUAAUUUAUGAAAUUUUUGAAACAUCACUACAGCUACAGGUCUUUAUGUGUCAAUGAACUGCAGAAACUAAUGAUCUACUAGUAGUAGACGUUUGUUGUCCCCACCGUUCCAGGAAGAAAAAUAAGUAGAAGAACUACUUUUAGACCAAAAUUAAAAAAUUGAAACUAUCUUGAAAGACUUUCCCUUCAACUAAGUAAAAAAGAAAAGAAAAAAAAAAGGUAUUAGACAAGCAUUUUCAAAGGAAAAAGAUCAUCCAUUUAUUGUAUGUACUCAGGAAAAAUAAAUGUACUAAUAGGUAGAAACACAGCAAUAAAACUCAAAAACUAACAUCUAUAAAGCUCAAUAACAAUUAUGAAUUAGAUAUUUUGGUCCCUUCAUAAUUCCUCCUCUUGACUUCACAUUUCCCCUCAGCCCGUGAUAAUUUUACCUAUUGAAUUCACAUUUCCCCUCAUCCAUUGAAUUUUCCCAAUAACAAGAUGAGUCUAAAUCUGUUAGGAAAUUGAUGGGUGAAGCAGACACGCAGCUAAAGUAAAAUUGGAAGAAAAUAAAGAACAAGCACAAUAGAGGACACCAGAAAUUACGUGGUUCGGCUUUUAGCCUACGUCCACGGGCGAAGACAGAAGGAAAUAUUUUACUAGUGAAAAUGAGUUACAAGUAUUGUAGUAUUUUAGCUCACUUCCCAAAACCCCAAUACACCCAAACUCUCUAACUCACUAGACACUCAAGAGUUUAUUAAACUCUUAAAACUCUCAACACUCAAGAAAGCAAUGCUUCUCUCUCGAUGGAAAUUGAAUACAAAUGAAUGAGUGAGCACUUCCUUUUAUAGCCAAAAAAUGGCUAUUAAAUUAAUAUAUAUAUGUAUAUAUUUCAAAUGUAGUUACCAACUUCUUCUUUUUCUCCAUUUGGAUGGCACCAUUUUCUUUGGCCGGCUGCACCAUUUUCUUUUUUCAAAUGUCAAACCUGUGUGCUCAUUUUCCUUUCCAACUUGCUGCAAAAUUCCUCUUCUUUGAACAACAUGGAUGUUGACCAUCUAGAUGGCUGCUUUUGACAUUUCUCCCACUUGGAGAUUAGAUUGAGAAGCAAUCAAUCUCCACACCAUCCUUUCUGCUUCGCCAUAAUCAUGUUGCCUACGUUUCUGCUAGACCACAAGAGGAUCUACUCCAGACAAACUUAUCAGUAUUUAUCGGCUUGGUCAAAACAUCUGCUAGGUUCUCUUUGGUAUGGAUUUUCUGCAAAUCCACACUUCCAUCUUCCACUACUUCUCGAACGAAGUGAUACUGAACUCCUAUGUGCUUUGUCCUGGAAUGAAAGGCUGGAUUCCUUGCAAUGUGCAAGGCACUCUGACUGUCACAAAAUACAGGAAUUUUCUGUUGUUUGUGCCCGAGCUCCUCCAAUAACCUUUGUAUCCAAAUAGCUUCCUUGCAAGCUUGUGUAGCUGCCAUGUAUUCUGCUUCUGUUGUAGAUAAAGCCACAACGGUCUGCAGUUUCGAAACCCAGCUUACAGCUGCUCCCGCAAGUGUAAACACAUAACCAGUAGUGGAUUUUCUUUUAUCAAGAUCUCCUGCAAAAUCUGAAUCCACAUAGCCCCUGACAGUAAACUCUGAUCCUCCAUAACAUAACGCAACAUCUGAGGUUCCUCUUAUGUAUCUCAGAAUCCUCUUAACAGUUAUCCAAUGCUCUCUACCAGGAUUCGCCAUGUAUCGACUAAUUGCUCCCACUGCUUGUGCAAUGUCUGGUCUUGUACAUAUCAUAGCGAACAUCAAACUUCCCACUGCUGAUGCAUACGGUACUCGAGACAUCUCCUUCCUCUCUGCUUCAUUACUAGGACACAUACUUGAGGAUAAUUUGAAAUUAACAGGAAGUGGGGUAGAAAUUGACUUACAAUCUUGCAUGUUGAAGCGUCGCAAGAUUUUCUUCAAGUAAUUCUUCUGCGAAAGCCAAAUCUUCCUGUUAUUUCUGUCUCGGUGAAUUUGCAUCCCUAGAAUCUUGUUUGUUGGUCCCAAGUCCUUCAUGUCAAACUCCCUAGCUAACUGUGCCUUCAAUUCUUGGAUUCGAUCUUUGUUGGGACCUGCUACCAACAUGUCAUCCACAUACAAUAGCAAAAUAAUGAAAUCAUUAUCUUCAAACCUCUUGUAAUAUGCACAAUGGUCUGAACUGAGUCUGUUGUAUCCAAGGCUCAUGAUGAAGGAAUCAAAUCUCUUAUACCAACACCUCGGCGCCUGUUUGAGACCGUAUAGAGAUUUGUUCAACCUGCAAACCAAGUUCUCCUUUCCUGUUUCUGCAAAACCUUCUGGUUGGAGCAUAUAUAUUUCUUCUUCAAGUUCUCCAUGAAGAAAUGCAGUUUUCACAUCUAACUGCUCUAGAUGUAAGUCAAAUGUAGCACACAUUGCCAAGACUACUCUGACUGUUGUGAGUCGAACCACGGGCGAAAAUAUCUCGUUGAAGUCAAUGCCUUCUUUCUGAGCAUAUCCUUUCACUACCAAUCUUGCACGAUACCGCUCCACUUGGUCAUUACCAUCACGCUUGAUCUUGUAGACCCAUUUGUUUCCAAUGGCUUUUCUUCCAUGUGGUAGUGGUACAAGUUCCCAUGUCUUGUUCUUGUGUAGAGCUUCAAUUUCUUCCUGCAUUGUUGUCAUCCACAAAGCAAUAUCUGAGCUUUCUAAAGCUUCAUGGAAAGUUGAUGGCUCUCCAUCCUCCGUUAAAAGACAGUAUGCAACGUUGAUCUCUGUGACAUACUCCGAGUGCCACGUUGGCGGUCGUCUCUCACGAGUUGACCGACGAACUCUGGAGCCUCGGACUCGACUGGUUCUUGUUCCUCGUUCUCUGGUGCUGCUUCAGAAGAAUCUGAAUCUUCUGGAUUAUUUUCCACAUAUACUGGUACAAUCUCUGACUUUUCUUUUACAGUGCUUUCAUCCUCAUCUUUCCUUUGCAGUUGAUCUUCUAUAAAGAUAACAUCUCUGCUGAUGACGAUCUUGUGGGCAGUGGGGUCCCACAGACGAUACCCCUUUACUCCAUCAGCAUACCCUAAGAAGAUACAUCUUCUAGAUUUUGGAUCCAGCUUUGUUCUUUCUUGGGCAUUGUACAUCACGUACACAGGACAUCCAAAUGCAUGUAGGUAGGAAUAAUCAGCUGGCUUUCCAGUCCACAUCUCCAUCGCUGUCUUCAACCCAAUAGCUGUAAAUGGCGACCGAUUUACUAUAUAACAGGCGGUUUUGGCUGCUUCUGCCCAGAAUGAAUUGGGUAAACCAGCAGUCCUCAACAUAGCUCUUAUUCUUUCUGUAAGAGUUCUGUUCAUCCGCUCCGCUACUCCGUUUUGUUGAGGAGUGUAUGCCACCGUGAACUGCCUCUGAAUACCUUCUUGCUUACAGAAAGCAAGAAACUCUCCGUCUGUAUAUUCUCCACCAUUGUCUGUCCUUAAGCACUUGAUCUUUUUACUAGAUUCAAGUUCCAACCGCGCUUUGUAUUCUUUAAACACAGGAAAUACAUCUGACUUUUUCUUAAUUGGAUACACCCAACAUCUUCUGGAAUAAUCAUCAAUGAAAGUCACCAUGUACUUUGCACCUCCCAUAGAUAUAUCCGGUGAUUCCCAAACAUCAGAAUGAAUCAAGUCUAGAAUGCAUUUACUCCUAGCAAUAGAUCUACUGAAUUUUAAUCUAUGCUGCUUACUUGUAACACAAUGCUCGCAAAAUGGUAAACUUACCGAUUUGAGCCCCGGAAGCAAUUUUCGCUCAGAGAGAAUCUUCAAACCUUGUUCUGACAUGUGGCCAAGUUUGAGAUGCCACAUCAUCGUUGAUUCUUCUCCAUUUGAUGCGACACACGCAUCAGCCUCCUGUAGUGUUUCUCCUUUAAGCAUGAAUAAAUUAGCACCGAUCUUUUCUGCCUUCAUCAAUACAAGCGCACCUUUAACGAUCUUCAUUAUUCCAUUUUCCACAUGAGUUUUGAACCCAUGACUAUCCAUUUGUCCCAAAGACAAUAGAUUUUUCUUCAGGCCAUUGACAUGUCGUACCUCCCCAAUUGUGCGAAUUGUACCAUCAAACAUUUUUAUUUUGAUAGUACCAAUACCAGCGAUCUCCAAGGCAUGAUCAUCUCCCAUAUAUACAGAUCCUCCUGAGAUAGGUUCAUAUGUGUGGAACCAUUCUCUCUUAGAGGUCAUGUGCCAGGUAGCUCCUGAGUCUAUAAGCCAGACAUCAGAUAGUCGUUUUCUGCCUUCUGAAACAGUUGUUGCCUCGCUGUAGAGAAUUUCACCAUCAUCUGAGGUACUUGCUACACAACCCUGAGCAUUUGAUGACUCAGGUUCUUUGCCCUCUCUUCUCUUCUGGUUACUCCAACACUCUUUCUUGACGUGCCCUUUCUUGCCACAGUUGUAGCAUUUAACAUUCUUCUUACUUCUGGAUUUUGAUCUACCCUGAUUUUGACUCCCACUGGGGCCACGUUCCGUUGAUCUCCCUCUCGUCACUGAUAGCGCUUCUGCUUGCUGCGAACUUGCUUGUCUGUUUUCCUUGUUUUUCCGCCUGCUCUCCUCAUUUAAUACGGAGGCUGCAACAUCGUCGAAAACUAGACCCUCCACUGGAUUGUUGUUCGUCAGGUUGAUGAUGAGUUGAUCAUACGAAUCUGGUAGACUUUGAAGUAGAAGCUCUGCACGUUCAUUUUCCUCUAUAUUAUGACCCAACGUUGUGAGUUGUGAAAAUAGAGUCUUCAAUGUGUUGAUGUGGUCGGUCACCAUUGUAGAUUCCGCCAUUCGAAGAGUAUAGAGUUUUCUCUUCAAGAAGAUUUUGUUGUGUAGUGACUUGGCCUCGUACAAUUUUGUGAGAGUAUCCCAAAUUUCCUUCGCCGUAUUUUUCUCUGCCACACUGGAUAAUACUCCAUCCGCAAGUGCCAAGUGUAGAUCAGAAAUAGCGUUGCCGUCUACCUCGUUCCACUUGUCAUCAGUUAUCUCUAUGGGCCUUUCUCCAAUUGCUGCCAAACAAUUAUUUUUCCUCAAUACAGCUUUCAUCUUCAUUUUCCACAACGAAAAAUUAUUUCCGUUAAACUUCUCAAUUUCAUAUUUUGCCGCCAUUUUGUUGAUAAUACUGCACACAAGCUAGUGUACCACCUUGAAUAGUUGUGAGUAUGUGUGAGAAUGCACACCAGGAAAGUUCCCAGGAAAGACUAGAGGGGUCACAAUGGUCCCACUUAAAACCCAAACUCCUUAAGCUCUUAUCGCCUUUGUGACAGAACUUUCCUAGACAUGUACAGAACCACACAGUUGCUUUACUCACACCACUAUUCCCUGCUUUGCACCGCAAAAUUCUUGGAUGGCUUCCACCGUUUCACGUGAAUAGUACCGUAUACGUGAAUAGUGCCGUAUACGUGAAUAGUGCCGUACACCGUAUACGUGAAUAGUGUCGUACACCGUAUACGUGAAUAGUAUCGUACACCGUAUACGUGAAUAGUGCCGUACGCCGUAUACGUGAAUAGUCCCGUACGCCGUAUACGUGAAUACGUGAACAAUUCCUGACUCCAAAAAUACAACCAAUAGCUCUGAUACCACUGUUAGGAAAUUGAUGGGUGAAGCAGACACGCAGCUAAAGUAAAAUUGGAAGAAAAUAAAGAACAAGCACAAUAGAGGACACCAGAAAUUACGUGGUUCGGCUUUUAGCCUACGUCCACGGGCGAAGACAGAAGGAAAUAUUUUACUAGUGAAAAUGAGUUACAAGUAUUGUAGUAUUUUAGCUCACUUCCCAAAACCCCAAUACACCCAAACUCUCUAACUCACUAGACACUCAAGAGUUUAUUAAACUCUUAAAACUCUCAACACUCAAGAAAGCAAUGCUUCUCUCUCGAUGGAAAUUGAAUACAAAUGAAUGAGUGAGCACUUCCUUUUAUAGCCAAAAAAUGGCUAUUAAAUUAAUAUAUAUAUGUAUAUAUUUCAAAUGUAGUUACCAACUUCUUCUUUUUCUCCAUUUGGAUGGCACCAUUUUCUUUGGCCGGCUGCACCAUUUUCUUUUUUCAAAUGUCAAACCUGUGUGCUCAUUUUCCUUUCCAACUUGCUGCAAAAUUCCUCUUCUUUGAACAACAUGGAUGUUGACCAUCUAGAUGGCUGCUUUUGACAAAAUCAUCAAUCUCAUUAAACACUCACAUCUACUAAAUAAUAUCGCAUGCAGUAACUUUAAGUAAGGAUCUAAAACUUACAAGAAAAAGAAAACUACUGUUUAUUAAUUUCAAAAUUUACACAAAAUUACAAAUGAUUUUAUAAACUGUACCAAAACAUGUUCUCUAAAAGAGAUUCAUUAUCCUGCAUUUUCAAAAACAAUAUAAACUAACACUAGAAUAGCCAUUUGAUAAUGAUGUGAAUUUGGGCAGCACCAAGAAGCAGUGAGCCCCAUUUGGUGAAAGCAAAAAGAAAAAAAAUUAAAAUAAAGCACUAUAAAUUCUAAUCAAAUUAUUAACAUUAGCUACACAUCAAGAAACCAGAAUAAAAUCGUUAUCUAAACCACAUACUGAAAAAGAAAAAACAAUGCAGUUAAAAUUCUAUCAUUUUCACUUACAAACAAAUAAAGAAAAAAUUAAGAACAAAGGUUGAAGCAAAGAAUGAUUGUACCUUGAGGUACUUGAGGUUAAUGUUUCCAUAAACGAGACCGAGCGAAAAAGCCGAAACCAGAGCAACCUAUUCUUACUACUCAAAAACACGCCCAGAUCAGAAAAUAAAUGAUCAUUCAAUAACAAUUCAUAGGAAAAUGAUGUUUGCCCCGGGUCAAACCCCGAAAAUAACUUAAACGGCGUCGUUUUGAUUUUUUUUUUUCUUUUGGAAUACUCCAAAACGACGACGUUUCUGAUGAUAUUUUGAGAAGAAUAAAAUCUAUCUUCCUCUUCGUUUUCGUUUCUUCGUUUCACCUGUGAAAGAACAGAGCAACAGAGCAACAGAGAUCCCAACUUGGUCUUGUUCCGUUUGACCGUAAAUCUCUUCAUUUCUUCGUUUCUUCGUUUCUUCAAAUAACGGCAAUAUCACCCAAAACAAAGUUUCAUGCAAUGUUGUAAAAAAUAAAUUAUGAUUUGAGAACUGAAAAAAUAAUAUGAGAACUAAAAAAAUGAGACAAAUCAAGAAUAUGAGAACUGAAAAAAUUAAUUCAAUGUUACAAUGUUACAAUGUUCUAAAAACGAAGGCCAACUUCCUAAAAUAAAAUUAAAAAACAAAAUGCUACAAUGUUAAUCUUCGAAAAUUAAACUGAAAAAAUGAGACAGUACCGAAAAAAACAAAUCUUCGAAAAUUCAAGCUUGGCACAAUGUUAAUCUUUCGUCCAAACUCAGCUUUCAACCGUCCAAAUUCAGCUUGUCCAAACUCAGCUUUCAACCGUCCAAACUCAGCUUGUCCAAACUCAUCUUUCAACCGUCCAAACUCAGCUUUCAAGGACACAUUUCGCAGCCGAAACUCAGCCGAAACUCAGCUGCUGUUGGUCUUGUUCUUCAAUGGGUACCAAACGAAAAAGAAACGAAAAAGAAACUCAGACGCUUUCAACUCAGCUUCCAAGGACAAAUUUCGCAGCCGAAACUCAGUCGAAACUCAGUUGCUGUUGGUCUUGUUCUUCAAUGGGUGCGAAACGAAAAACAAACUCAGAUGAAGAGGAUGGAGCUUUAAUUAGUAGAUCCCGUUCUGCUGUCGAUGAGUGCUCCGGCUGUGGAUCUCGGUCGAGGAUGGAAGAAACGAAAAAGAAACGAACAAACGAAAAAGAAAAUAAAAGAAAACGACGCAAAUCAUUCAAUAAACAAACGAAAAAGAAAAAAAAAAAAGAAACGACGCAAACGACGCCGUUUAAGUUAUUUUCGGGGUUUGACCCGGGGCAAACAUCAGCACUCUUUCCUUUAUGAAUUGGGAAAAUGCUACUUUCCCCGGGUCAAACCCCGAAUUAUUUCAAAACGGUGUCGUUUUGUUUUUUUUUUUUCUUUUUACUUGCAUGAAACGUGGUCGUUUGAGCUAGUAAAAACAAAACAAACUAAAGCAGAAAAAACUCAAGUGCUUAUCUUCUCUGCCCCUUUCUUAAUUUCCUUUUGACAAACCACGGAAUCACACCCACAAACAACAAUCACCCACAGUCACGCGAACAGCCGGCACAGACGAAGGAUGAGCCCACAGACGACGGACCACCGCAUUGAAAUCUCUGUCCACAUCACCGGCACCAUCAUCGUAGGUCUGUAACAAACUGUCGUAAGUUAAACCCUUCUCACCGUCGAUGAACUCGACGUAAGUACGGAAUACUUCGUCGAGAAUUGCGUUGAUUUGUUCGUCGCUGAAUUUGACUCGAGGGUUUACGGCCACCACUAAAGCCGCCAUUUCUUCUCUAUUACGGCCACCGUCGCGGUUCGUGUCAAAUUGUUGAAAAAUUCUCUUCACUUUCUCUGAUCUGCUUCCUCUCGUAGCCAUUUUUUUUUUCUGUUUUUCUGGGGGUCAGUUUGGUUUCUCAGUGUUUGUUUGAGAAAGCGGAAUUAGUAGAUAAGGGAAUAUAAGGAAAAGUUGAUAAAAAGGCAAAGGGUGGUUACUUUAAUUGUUGGUGAGAAUAAUGAUGAUGAUGGCUUAAUUCUGGGUUUUGUUGGAUCUGAAUGAAUUCUUAACGGCAAAAGUUAAAGAGUAGAAGAAGAGCAAGAGGACGGACUCUCAUUCUUUCCCUUUUUUCUUUUAAUUUUAAAUAUAUCAAAAACGGCAGCGUUUUGGAGAAACAAAAAAGAAAAAAAAAUUAAAACAAAACGACGCCGUUUUUGUUUUCGGGGUUUGACCCGGGGCAAACAUCAGCACUCAUUCAUAAAAACUCCAUCCCAUCGCAUUUAAAACAAAACAAAGAAAAUAUUGAUUAGAAAAAAAAUUACACGCAUGGAAUAAAAGAAUAUAAAAAUGGAAUUACCAGAGGGAGCUAGUGCCGGAGUAGGAACCAGAAGGCAGCGCCAUAUGAUGCUCUUGUUAUGGUUUUCCUUCUUGUGGGUCUGCGCUGAAGUCGAAGAUGAAGAAACAAGAAAGAGCCAGCAAAUUGAGAAAUCGACUACCAUCUUCGAUUCCGACUCGCAUGGCCAUUUUUCUUUGAUGAAUGAAAUAUUGUUUUACUCCCUAAUUCUUAACCAAAUUACAAGUUUUGACUUCUGUUUGUAUGUUCUUUCAUACGGGUUCUUGUUCACAGGAAUAACAAAUGGGCCGGACGUGUGGCUAAGCCCGGGCCUGGUGUCGAUAGCCAGGCCUGGGCUUUUACGAGCCCAGGCAUUUUAUUCUGAGUAUGAUCCUUAUAUCACUUCACUUUUGUAAUCGUAAUUUUAUUGUACUGAAAAUUAUAUGAACGAUUAAUAUGAAUUUAAUUAAACAAACAUGUCUUUACAACUCAUGCAACCUUACUAUUUUCUAAUCCUAAUAUGUGAUAUAAUUAAUUUUACUGAUAAAAUCAAAAUAAUUUUUAAACAAUGAAGAAAUAAAUUAUAAUAACAGUAAAUUUAUUACGAAAAAGUAUGUUUACAAAAUUUAUUUUAAAUGAUAUGAAAUCUAAUUAAAAUUCUAUUCUAAUUUUAUGCCCUUUUUUACAAUUUUAUUAAAAAGUGGGAUCUCUUAAGAUUUUAGGAGUGUUGGAAUUCUAUUUUUCCAGAUUUGAAUUUUAGUGACCUUUACUUCAUUUAAAUUUUUUGUUAUAAACUUGCAAGCAAGUGCAUUUAGGAUAUCUUUGGUGAACUGGAUUGUAACAAUAAUUUUAUUUAUUAAAAUUAUUAAAAGUAUUUAAUUAAUAAAACUUCACGUAUCCUCGGGUCUAACCAAUCAAAUUCUUUCUCUCAAAAGUACACAAAAGUGAGAUUGGCUCUUGCCUAUUAGUUAACAUAUGCAUAUUAAUUAACACUGACAGAUAUAUAGAUAUACAGCACAGCUAGCAGCACAUUCGACUUACAGAUAUACAGAACUUGAACAUAAUUCACAUAUCUGAAGGGAGAGGGAUAUCGAUGUUGCGGCCUGCAAUUCAUAACAUAUCAUCGGUCAUUUAAUCUAGAAUUGAGGAGAGAAAAUGAGUCUAAAUUCGAAAACUUUGGCACUAUUUACAUAUCAUUAUUUGGGUGAAAAUUCAUUUCUCUGCUUUGAUAUGAUUUGGUCUUUCAUUGUUACGGUGCCAAUUUUUUAUUUAAAGAUGUAAGGUAGUGGUACUAUAGCUUAUAUUUUCCGUAAUUACUAUCCGGUAAGUACAAAAAUAAAAUACUAGUUUAAAAUAUAAAAAUGAAAAAUUAUUUUUAUAACCAAUAUUCAAUUAAAUACAUUUAAAACUCUAUUUUUUCUUAAUAAAAAAAAUUCUAAUUUAUUUUCUCAAUUUAUCUAAACAACUUUACCUAAUCAAGCUAAAUCUACAUAUUACCCUAAACCUUAAUUCAUAAACACCCAAUCAAUCUAAUUGUUAAAUCUUAUUUCAUAAUAAAAAAAAAUUAAUUUCUUUUUUAUUAUUUAUGGUGCAAAGGAAAAAAUGAAUUUAAAGGUAAAAUUGAUAUUUUAUUUAAAUUUUGUUAAUAUUCUAAUAAUAUUAAUGUCUUGGUGGUUAAUAAAAGCAUAAAGUUAAACUUUUGUAGUAUUUUUAAUAAUAUGGUAAAGAUAUAUGUUUGAUAAUUUUCUUAUGUCUUUUUACGUUAAAUUGAGUCUCAAGUAUAAUGAAUAAAUAAUACAUAUUAUAAAAUUAGUGUAGAUAAAUAAUACAACUUGAAAAUAUUAUAGUAUUCUUAAUAAUAGAGAAAUUUAAAGGUGGAUAGUUGAUUGUUUAAUGAAACAACUACAGAAUUUUCCUUUCAAAUAUCUUUUUAAAAAACAACAGAAUGACCUUUCAAAUGCCCAUUCGACAAGCCAAGAAGAAAGGGUAGCUAACAAAUUUACAAGUACCAGAGAUCCAGAAACACAUUUAUAGCCAAUCCAUUUAUGAGUUACAUUCAACACUCUCACAAACUUAAAAAAUAAAAAUUAUUACUGCCAAGACGCACACUUUUUGACAUCUAAAAAGCUAAACAUUUGAAGUUCUUUGAUACAAAAUGCAUACUAAAUUGGCACAGUUAAUGCCCAUCGAAAGGGUCAUCAAUUUAGCCAACAAAUUUGCCAAAGUUUUAACAGUGACCACAAACGGAACAGGUAUAGAAUAAAAGCUUGUUCGGUUCUUGCGCGAAGUGAACCCCUCUGAAACGCUAAAAGAGGAAAUACAAAAUAAAGAAGACCAUAUUACGUGGCUAACUAACAGCCAUUCCCAAAGAAAUAGAGUGACGAUAAUGUGCUUCUUUUUUUUUUUUUAGAAAAGAACACAGACCCCUAAUAUUUAAAUAAAAAACAUAAAAUUUCUUAAUAUUUAAAAAAAAACAUUCAGACCUUAUUGUUUAACAGAAACUGUUUUUUUAACAGAAAUUAUAAUUUUAAAAUAUAAUUACCAUUAUAUCCUUAUAACAUAUUAAAACUAAUUAUUCAUUGUCCAAUUUAUCUUUAUAUUAUUAAUAAAAUUACGAAAAUAAAUUUGAUAAAGAAAAUUUCAUGCACAUCUAAAAAUUGAUAAAGAAAAAAAAAUAACAAAAGUAAUUAGUAAGAAAUCUCCAAUAAACCGACAAAUUAAGAACCCUGUUCAUCAAACUACCAUAAACCAAAAAAAAAAAUUCUCGUAAUCAUUUAUUUAUAUUCUUGCACAUACAUCACAUAUGCAUCAAGCAUGCUAGAGAAGUUAAUUUAGUAAAAAAAAAUGAAAAUUAAAGAGAAUUCAACAGGCAAGAUCAGCAACCAAACGCAAGCACAAGCAGCAGCCAAACGCGAGAUUCAACAAGCAAGAUCAGCAACCAAACGCGAGCACAAGCAGCAGCCACAAGCGAGCACAAGAAGCAGCUAAAAGCGAGCACAAGCAGCAGCCAAACGCGAGCAAUUCCAACAGCCAAACGCGAGCGAUUCCAACAGUUCCAACAGCACAAGCAGCAGCCAAACGUCGAUUGCGAGCAGAUCCAGCAACCAGACGCGGUCUCGAUCGACGCACGAGCAGUUCCAGCAGCUUCUGGUAGCGUGAGCAGUUCCAGCAACUUCCGGCAGCCCUAGCAGCUUUCGGCAAAGGCAAACCGUGAGUGUGUGUUAAAAGAUUUGUCUGGAAUCAGCGUGUGAUGUGUGUGUGGGGUUUGUUUGUGCGUGUGAUGUGCGUGUGGGGUUUUAGUCAAUUCACUUGUUUUUAAUUUAUAAUUACGAUAUUAACCUUGUAAUGAUUUAAGGAAACGAUUUCCGUUAAGUAAUGGGUCCGAAUGUUUUUUUUAAAAUAUUAAAACGUUUUGUCUCUUACUCAAACGUGGGUCUCUGUACCCUUUUCCCUUUUAUUUAUUCUUCGCUGGCAUAUUUCUCUUCAUCUUCUUCUUCACUGGCAUCUACAUUGGCGUCUCCCUCUUGGUUGGCAUCUUCCUCGUUUGUUGUUUGCGGUGGCUGUCCAACCAAUAAAUUGGGCAUUAAAGAACAAACAGAUAAAGUUAUAACAAUAAGAAUUAUAAACAUAAAAAGAAAAAAAAAAGAUAUUUGAAGGGAAAUUUUGGUAGAACUCCAUGGCUCAUCUAUGAAAUUAAUUUAAAGUUCUCGAGAGCUUACCUCUGCUCCAGAAUUCUCGGAAUCAUCCAUCUCCUUCUGAAUUUGCAGGAAGCAUGGGACAAUUACGAAUAAUUGCAUUCACUGCAGAUGGAAAUGGGAUCUGAUAUCCCGUAGGCCAAAAGUUGGUGAGGUUUGGUAAAUCUUUCAGCCUCAAGUUCCGAACUUUAUCCAGAACAAUUUCAUCGUAAUCCAUGACGUCUGCUCCAUCUUUAUGCCAGAAUACUUCUUCGAAUUCAUUAUUUUCUUCUAUGCAUAUACGAAUUAGUUUUUGAAGACUUGGAGCUACGCUGAUAUGAAAUAGAUGCUUUAGUUUGGGACAAUAACAGACAGAGAUCUCUAUGAGUUUUGGGAAACAAACAGGUUGGAGAUGAUCCUCAUCCUCAUCAAUGACUUGCUCUAAUUCCAGGCAAUAUAGAAUAUCCAACCUCUCCAAUUGCAACAGAUUUCGAGCAAGUGUUGAUGAGAGGAGACGUCUCAGCUUAGUGCACCCCCUUACGGUUAAAUCAGUAAGAUUUUGCAGGCUAAAAUUAUGCGUGGGACCUUCAUAAUAUAAUACUUGCAGUUCGUCAAGAACUUCCAAUUUCAACUCUUUCAAACAUGGGAAAUGUUUGUUUUCUUGUCCAUCAGCGAUAAUAGCUUCCGACUGAAAUAACACUUGCACUUCAAUUUCUCUUAUAUUCAAUUCUUCCAAAUUUUUUAACCCACGCUUCAACAGUGCGGGAAUUGUGUCACGCAAAUGGGAGCAAUCGUCCACGCUUAGAAUUCGUAAUUUCUGAGAAAAAUAAAUAACUUGAUGCAAUCAAAAUCUAUUAGCAGCUAGGACUAUCUCAUGAUAAUCAAUAAACUAACACCAAAAAAAAAAAAAAUUCCAAAUCCGUACAAAAUAGUUAUAUUUUAUGAAAGUAAUAUAUUUAUUAAAAAAAUAAAAUUAAUUAAAAGAGAUCAUGUGAAGUGAUAUAACGGUGAAAUCUGUUUGUUUAUGAAAAAAUUGUAUUCUAUUUCUAUGGCUUGAUAACUACUUAAUUGAAUUUGUUUAAUAUUAUAUAUGCUUCACAAGUGUUUUCAUCCGACCUUUUUUUUACCCCCUUCAAAACAAAAACGAGAAUUUGACUUUCAUUUGAAGAAUGAAUUUUAGGCCCUAAAAUAAGGAAGUUUUCCUAAGAUAUUGGAUCUUAUUGUGAUCAUCACCGUUAGCACUACCAUCAUCAUCAUCUCUCUACAAAGCCAAAUGCAAGGUGAUAUGAAUGGCGCAUCAUAAAAAUUAUUAAUAAACUAUCACUUUGAGUAAAAUUGAAGAAAAAAAAAAGAAAAAAACAUAAACACAAACGGACAUACCUCUCCAAGAUACUGCAAAUUAGCUUCAAGUUCUGUAUUGUUGGCGGUCAAGUUUGGACAGCAUCUUAGGUCUAACUUUUCCAACGCUGGCCAAGUUGAAUAAUAAUUUUCUGAACAGAAGCUGGUGAGUUCGGGGAGAUCUUCAAGGCUUAAUUUUCUCAACAAAGAUAGCUCGAGUAUUCUAUUUUCAUCUGCUACACUUAUUUCCCCUUCAUUAUGAUCAAACUCCGCUUUAACGAUAAAUUUUAUUCUCUCGCAUCUGAACACUGCAAGACUUUCAAGCUGCUUUAAACUUCGAGCUUGUGACAACGAGAAGACAUACGUCAAAUUGUUGCACGCGUACACAUGCAAUGCUGUAAGAGCUUGGAGGCUCACAUGUUGGGCGGGCGCCUUCCAUAUCUGCUUCAUUUCUGGUAACUCCAGCAUAUAUAACCUUGCUAAUUUUGAGAGCAUCAUAGGAUUCCCACUCUCUCCUUGCGGCGACUGAGAGGCAUCCAUUAUGCAUUCUAAAUCUUCACAAUUGUUGACAGAAAGAUAAGUCAACUCAUUGAAGCCCCUUGGAUCUAUGCUUGGCACAAUAUUAUGACAACCUAUUAUCCUGCUCAAAUCAAGAAAUUCCAGAUUUUGAUACAAUGCUGAAAAAAUACGGAGCGAGGUCGCUUCAAAAGGGUGAUCAAUGAUUAAACUCCUUGUCUUAUCACCAUCUUCCAUUUUAUAGCCAACUCUUUCACCUUUAAUCAUGUACCUUUGCAAUUUUGGGAAUGUAAAAUCUUUUGAAAGAUAUACAACAGGUCUGCCAACUUGGAAGUUAAACUCAGCAAGCCUAGCAUUACUUUCUUCUGAACUCAUCACUUCAACCUCCCAAUCUUUUAUCCGACCAUAAAAUUCUUCUAAUUGAGGAAAUUUUUUUAUCGUAACGGGAGAAACAGAACCAAUAUCAAUAUAUAGAAGUUUCAAUCUACGAAGUUCAUCCGACAAAUCUUCAGGAAUUUCAAUGGGAGAAUCCUCAAGAUAAAGAAGUUCAAGUCUCUUCAACUUUCCAAGAAAAGACGCGUCACUCACAUGACAUCCAAUCAACUGCAGAACUCGGAGGCUAUUGGCAAGGAAUCGAAGCGAUUUUAGUGAAAGGACUCCAUUUAUUAUAGUAACAACUUUCAAUGCUGGCAUCCCUUCAAAAAAAAUUUCUGGAACUUGCAAUUUGUAGACAAAUAGAGUAUUGUGCAGUCGCAAAAUAUGAAGGUUAGGGCAUACCAAACUACUAGGAAGCUCUUCUUUUUUAUUUCCCAAUACAGAGAUUCCUCUGUAUUGCUCCAAGCCUUCUUCCAUUGCCCGUUCUGCCAAUCCAAUGCCAACUUUACUAAAAAAUUUCUUCUCCACUAGUACUUCUGAGCCUAUCCAUAUGGCUACAUCACGAACUAUGUCAUGCAUUUUCACAGAUCUGUCAUUACCAGUGUCUAACAAUAGUGAAACAGCUUUGAGUCCGUCAAUUGUUCCAUGCAGUAGGCUUCUGGUGUUCUCUAUUGACUCAGCUUGAUACCAAGUCAACCCUACUGCAUAUCCAACCAAAUCCUCCAAAUGAAUCUCAUAAUCUUCUGGAAACAACGAACACAACAAGAAGCAUAACUUGGAAUUGUCAUCAUUCAAUUUAUCGUAACUAAAUUUGAGGCAACCGUAAACAUCUAAGUUCUCCUCAUCAAUACCUUCUAUUGCAUAGAGUUUUGCAGCCUUUAGGUUAUGUAGAGCCAAGUUCCAUUCAUUAAAUCCUUUUCCUCUUAGUGCACUUCCAACAGCUUCAAUAGCUAAAGGCAGCCCCUUACAUUCUCCAGCAACUUCUUUGGAAACAUCAUUCAAGGUGGAGUCAUUUACAUUAAUUCUGGCAUUUUUUCGCAGUAAAGCCAAUCCUUCUUCUGGCGUUAGUGUACUAAGUGGAAUCUGUGUGUCACAACCCAAAGAAUCACAAACUGACUUUUUGCGAGUCGUUAGAAGGAUUUUGCAACAAUUAUCUCUACCACCGACGGUAAUACCUAAUUUUUUCUCCGAGUCGAGUGUUUUCCAAACAUCAUCAAGGAUUACGAGGAUUUUGCUGCUUUUACUCUCAGAAAACAUCAAGCGCAAUCGGUCUGCUCUCUCUUUUUCAUCUUUCUCAUUUAGUGCCCAGCCUAACGACUUUGCCAGCUCACCUUGAACCUUGAUUAUAUCUGGAUCCUGAGACACAGUGGCUAUCCCCACCUUAUCGAAAAUCUUUUGUUGCCGAAGUUGAUUGCCCACAGAUUUUGCCAAGGUCGUCUUUCCUACACCGCCGAGACCAUGCAAUCCCACCAUCUUUGUGCUGUCUUUUUUCAGUGCUUCAGUGAUCUGAUUACAAGCCGAUUCUGUAGUCUCGAAAGAAGAAAAAAAUCUUGGAAUAGGCAUUUCUGUGUCUGAUGGUAGAGGUUUAGGAAGGGCAACUGUGCUGAAUUUGCCGCGGUCUUGUAGAUCGGACAACUUGCGAGUCUCUUUUGAUGCUUUUCUACCCAUCCAAUAUCGGAAACCCCAAUUAGGACACCAUCCAUUAAAACAACUCUUCUUUUCAUCUAUCUCUGUUUUCAAAUUUCGGACAUCGGCCAUUUCUUCGACUACAUCCGCCAGCCACUUCUCUACAUCUUUCUCAACUACUAUAGCGCAAUGUUUUUGUCGUUCUUCUUCUACUUUUUCGUUGAUGCCAUCUUGUGCCUCCUUCAAAUUAGUUUCUUUGAAACAGAACAGAUAGCGAGCUUGUUUUACAGUAGCAUCCACCAAUAAUUCUCCAAGCUUUGAUGCAAUAGCCAAUAAAAUUUCCAUGCUAUUUAUCUGCAAUUAACAAAGUUGAUCUCAGUACGCUAUAAGCAAAACAACAAGGCUUGAUCACAAUGUUUAAUAAGUUUUUUACUGAACGUUUAAUUACUUUCUUCUAUUCUGCGAAUGCACGUUUAUUAAUGCCAGCUUUGAUCAAUAAGAGCAAAAUGCAAACGCCAGACUUUAAGUAGCCUUUAGCUGCAAACAGAAGAGAAGAAAUAAGGUAAACGUGAUAGAUGGUGGAUUAUAUUGAAAUUAGAUUACUUUAGAAAUUUUUAAAAUUUGAAGAUAAUUAUCCCAUUCUUACUUCAAUCAAUAUUCUAAUACAAUAAUUCCAUAAAUCUCAAAUAAUAUCUUAAGAUUUUUUGUUUUCCUCAAACACUCAUAUGAUUAGUUUAAUUAUUUAUUACUCUAUUUUACUACAUAAUUGAUGCAAAUAACACUUUGUUUGGGAUGGUAAAGAUUGGGGUAAAUUCCCUUUUAGUCUCUAAAAUUUGGGCCUAUUAUAGCUAUUGAACAUACUUUCAAAUGUAAAAUAGUAUUUUCUGUCUAAGAUAAAUUAAAAAUCAAACAAAUCUAUCAUGCAACAAAUGAAAAAUAAAGAAUAUUAAUUAAGUUUUGAUGGAAACAAAUAUAAAAUAUAGAGGUUUUGAGUAAUUUUUGUAUUUUUUUAAUGGUUGAGUUAGAAUUGAAUAAUUUGCAUAAUGAAAAUUUGAGGUUGUAUAAUUUAUAUGAAGAUAAACUGCAAAAUAAGUUUACGUGCAGAAUUUAAGAUAGUUAUAUAUUAGUAAUUAUGCAAUUAUCAAAUUUUUUUAAUAAAAUUUAUUUAAAAAUUGGCCAAUUGUGUUUCAUGAAGUAAACAAAGAGCAUAAUGGACUUAUGUGGGUGCUUGGGAUUGAAAGACUAAGAGGCCAGAAGAUAGGACGGUACGAAAGUUAAUUUUAAUUAUAAGGUAUGCUCAACAGAAGUGACUUGGAGGUGAUUGUCGUUAAUCUAUUAUCUUUAACUUUAGAAUUAAUACAAAUAAAUGAAUGAAAAUUAAUGUAAUAAAAAAAUCGCACUAAAAACUUGGAACUUAAAUUCUCAAUCAUCUUUUCCGUAUGUUUUAAUCCAACGGUCAGAAUUGGCAUAAAACAAACUAGUAUAGCCAUUGGAAUUAAGUAAAAUAAACAUCAAACUAAGAGGCAAGAGCCUAUGAAAGCAAUAAUAUCUCAUACCUUCUUCCGUUUAUAUCUUCAAUUACUGCUGAAAGCUCUAGCUAGAGAGUCGCACAAGCUCGGAGAAAAUUAAAAGCUGCAUCUAGCAAUAUAAAUAAACAUCAGAUCAAACCAACAUAGGAUAUAUCUAGAUAAUUAACAUCAUAUAUAACUGCUUAUUCUCAGUCAAAUCUUUCAUUCUUAGAAAAAAAAAAUUGAAAUAAUAACUGUAAGUGAUAUAGGAAGCAAAAGUAACAUACCAAAACGAGAGCAGCUAGCUCACAGAUCUGGUGACUUCCAAGAGCAUGAAAAAUGAUUGAGGUUUAAUAGCAAGGUCCGAGUCAUGUUUCAUAAGUUGCUAUUGACUUCGUGGCUUCGCUUUUCUUUGUUUUUUUUCGUUUUUUGUGUUUGUUUAUAUAUAUAUAUGAUGAGGGGGUAAUAAUUUUUUUGGGUUCGGCUAUAUUGUAGUUUAUCUACGGUGGAGCGCAAAUCACAGCCACACACAUAAAGUGAUAAUUAAUAAAUAAUGAAUUAUAAUGAGAUUUUUACUAUUUAUCAUUUUGCGUGUGUGAUUGAGAUUCGUGCUCACUGUAGGUGAAAUUCAACAUAGCCAUACCCUUUUAAAAACCUUUCGUGAGGUUUAAGGUCACUCGGAUAGACUAUAUUUCGGAACUACCAAAUAUCCCCCUGCCCAUUGUACUCUGUUUAGCAUCUUUUGGAUGGUUGAGGGUAAUUUGGUAAAACUCAUUUAAAAAUAAAAAAUUUCAAAGAAAUUCUAAAAGAAGCUUUGUAUCUGGCCAUCUGGGGUAUAUCCUUGGAGUUGUCGUGGGAAUGAGUUUGAAUCUAAAGAUUUUCAUUCUCUUAUUUUAUUUAUUUCUCCUAGGAAUGAAUUUGAGCCUUAUUUUCAUGAGACUCAUUCUUUUUAAAUAAAGAUAGAUAUCUCCCUACAUAUUUGAGGUAUAUUUUUAAAAUUAAUGUUCAACAUAUCUGUGGAGUGUAUUAUAAAUAUUUAUGUCUAAAAUCUCAACAGAUUUCACUAUAUAUAUAUAUAUAUAUAUAUAUAUAUAUAUAUAUAAGCGGGAUUAGCUAAACAAUAAAAAGAACACAUUAUGAUUGGAAAUACGGAAUUAGAAUUGUGAUUAUAAUAUGAAUUUUAAUUGAAAUUGAAAUUGUAAUUGCAACUAGAAUUGUAAUUGCGAUCGGAUAUGUAAUUAUCAAUGUAAUAGAAGUUGUAAUUAUUACGGCUAUUGUAAUUGUUCUUGUGUAAUUGCAACUGUGUUUUUAAUUUUAAUUACACUUAAUAAUACAAUUAUAAUUGUGAUCAUAAUUGCAAUUGUAAUUACAAUUGUAUCUUUAAAAAAAAAUUAAUUACAGUUGUUAUUCUAUUUAUUGUUACAAUUACAAUUUUAUUAUCGUUAUUCUUAUUGUAAUUGUUGUUAAAUAUUAUUAGAAUAAAAAUAUUAUUAGAAUAGCCAUUGUAACUGUCAAUGGAAUUACGAGUACAAUUGUUAUUGUAAUUAUUAUUGUAAUUGGGAUUAAAAUUGAAAUUGUAACAAAGUAAAUGGAAUUACAAUUGAAAUUAAAUUUGUAACGGUUGUUUAAAUUAAUAAUAAAAAAAUGAAAUUGAAAUUAUUGAUGUAGUUAUUAUAAUUGCAAUUGUAAUUUUAGUUGUAAGAAAGUUCAACUGAAAUUAUCAAUCGUAAAUAUAAUUAAAAUUGCAAUUAGAAUUGUUCAACAAACAUUUACAGAAAAAAGUGUCAAUGCUAUUUUUUAUUUUUGAAAAAGAAAGAGAAGCAACAGUAACCAAAUUCUUAGAGCAGUAUAAAUGCUGCGUUUAAUUGUCAGUAAUCUAAAUGGGUUGGAAUGAGUAUGAGCUGUAAUGGAAAUGGGGAAUGAAAAUCAAAAUAAGUUGUUUACUUGAGCUAUAGGAAUCAAAAUCGAAAUAGACUGAAAUUCUAUUGAUGUGUUUAUUUUAUUUUGAAAUAAGAACCGAAAUAAGUUAAAUAAUUCUAAAUUACUAAAAUGUUGUUAGUUAAUUAUAAUAUAAUUAUUUUAUUAUCGUCGCCAUCAGGGGCGGAUUCACCUUAGGACCAGUGGGGACUUAAGCCCCCACUGGAAAAUUUUUUUUUUAAUAAUUAAUUUAGUUUUCUUAAAAUUCUCAAUAAUUUUUUCUAAAGCCCCCACUAAUUUAUAGUCAAGCCUAUAAUUUUUUCUAAAGCCCCCAGUGAAUCACUAUGAUUUUUUCUAAAGCCCCCAGUAAAUCACUAUGCUGUCUCCGCCCCUGGUCGCCAUCAUCAUCAUUAUCAUUACCAUUAUCAUAUUUUUUAAUUUUUAUUAUUAUAAAAAUAAUUGUUAAUAAUAAUAAUAUUAAAAAUAAUAUCAUUAAUAAUUUAUUAAAAUGCCUUUUGUUAAUUAUUGUCUAAUGAUGGUGGUGGUGGUGGUGGUGAUAAUAAUGGUGAUAAAUAAUAAUUAAUAAAUUAAUAACAAUAAUGACGACACCAAUAAUAAUAGUAAAAUUUGUAAUAUAAAUAAAAUAAUUAAUAAUAAUUAUUAUUAUUACAAUAAUAAAUAAAUAAUAGAAAUAAUUAAUAAAUUAAUAACAAUAACAACAAUAAUAAUAAAUUUUAUAAUAAUAUAAAUAAUAAAAUAACAACAACAACCAAUUAUAACAACAAUAAUAACUAAAUUCCAUAAUAAUAAUAAUAAUAAUUUUCAGUUUUUUUCAAUUUAUAUUUUUAAUUUCUAAAGAGGGUGUAUUUAAAACGUAUUAGAAAUAAUUUUGUUAUUCUAGGGAAUGGAGUUUCCAUUCCCAACUCUUCUUAAGAAAUCACAACUCUAACAAUCAAUCUAAAAUUUAUGAGGAGUCAUGAAACUCAUUCUGAUUCCGAAACUUAAUUUAACAAAUAAACAAAUUAUUCAUUUCAAUUCAUUUUCUCCGAUUCCCGAGUUGUAAAACACAGUAUAACUUUUUUUUUUUUUUGUUGUUGUUUCAGCUGGGCGACCACAAGUUGUUGCUGUCAGUUGCCCGCAAAUUCUCGACUAUUUCAAAAUAACUUCCAGUCGCUGAUUGUACAAGGCAUCAAAUCCAGUGCUCUAUAUUUGUUUAAAAACAUUUUAUUACAUGGGAUCUUUUAAUAGAUCCAGUGCAUGCAGCCGUAGCCGUUGUGGGGUUUCGACAACUUUUGUCUUAUAUGGCGACUUUUUGUUGUUGUUUUAUUUGUAUGAUGACUAUCAUGGACCUACGUGCCCGCAUUUAAAACUUCAUAAUAAUUUAAAAAAACAAAAGAAAUUGGUCUCACAUUAUAAUUUGUUCAAACAAUAUUAUUUUAACACAAACGAUCAAAAUAAAUUUUAUAUUCACUAAAAACUUAAUAUAUAUAUAUAUAUAUAUAUAUUAUAACAUAAAUAUGAAAACAACAUUUGAAAAAAAAAUACAUAGGCACCUUUAAAUUUGAUGUAUAGCACUAGAAUAUUCUUUGUUGUAGGUCGCUUCUUUUGUAUUUAAAAUUUUCUAAUAAUUUAAAUAAAAUAAUAGAAGUGCGUCUCACAUAUAGUUUAUUGUAUAAUUUUUUCAAACAAUAGUAUUUUAAUACAAACGACCAAAGCAAACUUCAUAUUUACUAAAAAUUAACCAUAUAUAUUAUAACAUAAAUAUGAAAACAACGUUUGACAAAAAUAUAAAGGCACCUUUAAAUUUAUUGUACAGCACUCUAUCAAUAUUUGUCGUAGGUCUUUCUUUUGCAUUUAAAAUUUCGUAAUGACUUAAAUAAGACAAAAGUAGUGGGUUUCACAUACGAUUUAUUAUAUAAUUUUUUAAACAAUAUUAUUUUAAUACAAAUGACGAAAAAAAAACUGUAUAUUCACUAAAAAUUAUAUAUAUACACACACACACAUAUACAUAUUAUUACAUAAAUAUGAAAACAACAUUUGAAAAAAAUACAAAGACACCUUUAAAUUUAUUGUAGAACACUCGAUCAAUUCUUAUCUUAGGUCCCUUCUUUUUCAUUUAAAAUUUUGUAAUAAUUUAUAUAAGACAAAAGAAAUGGACUUGACACAUAAUUUAUUGUAUUUUUUUUAAGGUUGUAUAUUUUUUUCAAAUAAUAUUAUUUUAAAAUUUCAUAAUAAUUUAAAUGAGACAAAAGAAAUGGGUCUCACAUAUAAUUUAUUGUAAAUUUUUUUUUCAAACAAUAUUAUUUUAAUACAAACGACCAAGAGAAAUUUCAUAUUCACUAAAAAUUAAUCAUAUUUACAUUAUAACAUAAGGCAAUUCCUAAGUUACGAUUUGUGUAACUUACGGCCUGGCAAAUUUUAAGUGUUAAAUGUGCUUGUAUCCAAUCCAACGGACGACAUCAAAUUUAUCACAAAGUAGUAACGAGUGGUAACUCGACUGAACUGAUUGUUUCAAGUGAUGGGCUACCUGUCCUUGCCUCUCUCUUAAGAAUCUAAGCAGCGAAGAACUUGACUUGGAAAUUGGCGAGGAAGGACUGUUUAUCGGAGAUGAGUAUAGAGGUGGUGACCUCCCAAGUAGCGUCGGCUUGUUGAAACUGAAUGAGCCACUAAUUCGCUGCCACGCGGUUGCAUAAUUAGUUCUUGUGAUUCAACCCAUGAAAAAUUGCUCCACCUGAAUUUGCAAGUCCAUCUGCAUCACAUGACAAAUUCGGUUGCGGAUUUUGAGGAGGAUGGUCUUGGAGGAUAUGAAACUCCUCUUGCUUAACAUUUUGGGUCUUCCUAAUUUUUGUUUCUUCAUACAAUAGCAAACAUUUGAGGUUAAAGCCUAUUUAAUCUAUUUAUUUUUUAAAAUAUCUUAAAACAUCCUUAUCGUUAAAGUAUUAAUACACCUGCCGUUAUUUUUAUUUAUUUUGGCUUAUUUGUACAAUAUCACCCUUUUAUAAUAAUUUUUUUAUUUAGACAUUAAUAAAAAGAAAAUAAUUAAAUUACCAAUUUAAUUAUAGAAAAUAAAAAAAAUUAUAAUAAUUUUUUUACAAGCACCAUUUGCACACUUGGUAGUUUGCAUACAAUUUUUGACAAUUAAAAAUAAUAUAAUUUUUUAUUUUAUUUUUAGGGUUAAAUUGGUAAUUUAAUUAUUUUUUUAUUAAUGUUCAAAAAAUAUUAUAAAAGGGUAAUAUUAUAAAAGUAAGCCAAAAGAAAUAAAAAGUAACGGUAGGGGUAUCAAUACUUUAACGGCAGGGAUAUUUCGAGACAUUUUAAAAAAUAUAGAAACUAAAUAAAUACUAAUCUUAAAAUAAAAGGACUAAUAAACUUUUACGUUUGGGAUUUAUUUCAGUGAAAUCCACCAUAAAGCCCUCAAAUCUCUAAUACUCGCUUCUUUGGGAAGAUCUUUCACUUAACCAAUCACAAAAAAAGAUGUCUCUCUUUAAAGUUAAGGAAAAGGCACAAAGAAACAUUAAACAUAACCGACCACAGAAAAAAUCCAAUUUUCAGUUUAAUGUUUAAAAUUCAAUAAAGUUAAGAAAGCAUGUUUCACUCUUUCAGGGAUUGCAUCCCUUGUCAAUCAAUCGUUUCUUCGUGCAUGGUCCAACCUGAAUAUGUCAUUCAACCCGUAAAAGCUUCCCUGAAGUUUUGGCAUCAAAUGGAACAUCUGCUGAACCCACAAGUUGGAGAUUAUCGGAGACAAAAAUAAGCACGCUGCCAGCGGGACUACAGAGCUGGCAAUUGAUGGUGGUGAUGGAGUGUUGGCACUGCAGGAAGGGAUGGCUAGUGAACUCAGCAACGAUAUUUUGCGAGUCUACGCCUCCCUCUCUUUUUUAAUUUCGCAUUUACUGUUUCCGCUAGAGACUCACGUGACCGAGAGAGAGAGAGAGAGGGGUCUUCUUAAUUUAAUGUUUAGAAUUUAAUCGUGAAACGACCUCGUUUUUAUUUAUCGCCAUGGAUUAUAGAAGGUAAUCUUUUACGCUACGUUUGAAAGAUAUAAUUGGAUUAAAUUAGAGUUGAUUAUAUAAUACUAUCUUUUGUUUGGUACAAUAUUAGACAAGACUAUGCUAAUUUAAUUUAAUAAAGCUAAAUACUAUUUAAAUAAUAUAAUAUUUUUAAAUUAUAUUGAUAAUUGUUUACUUUAAUAUUUAAUAUCCAAUAUUAGUUUAAGUAAAUUAAUGAAUAAAAUUUUGAUGUUCUAUAUAAAAUAAAAUUACAUGUUGAAAAAAUUAUGAAAUUAACUUCUAUGUUUAAUUUUUUUUUCUAAAUAUUAGGUUAAAUGAAAAAUAAAAUAGUGAAAAAAAUACACAAAUUCUUCAUUUAAUUUUAUCCCACCUAAACCCAUAUAAAUAUGAGGACUAAUAAUCCCAAUUUUUUUGACUAAAUCUUAAUCUAUCCUAUUAGUUCAUGACACCUAAACAUAUUUUAGGAUUAAAUUAUUUUAUUAAUCUUAAAAUAUAAUCCAAUCGCACAAUUUAUCCAACCUUCCAAACAUAACCUUAAUUGACUCUUUUACCAUCGCUCUCCAACCGUUUCAACCAAUUACAAUUUCCUUACUGUUACGUACAUGUGGCAUAUUUUUACUGGUUGACUAAUUAAAUCACGGGCUGUAACAUACAGUAAAACGUAACUUAGGGUGACCCCAUAACAUAAAUAUGAAAACGGGAAAAUUCUAUAAUGUCGUAAUUAAAUUUACGGCAUUGAUGCCGUAAUAGACGUGGACCGUUAGAUUAAAUCAACGAUUCACAAUAAUAAUAAAAUAAUAAAAAAAUUUAAUUAAAUUAUAUAUAACCGGUUUAUAACCGGUUAAGUACUUUUUAAAAUAAAAUUCCGGUGAUAUAAAUUUAAAGGAAAAAAGGAUUUACUUUUUAAAAGAAUAAAAAAAAAUACAAAGGGAAAACUUGAUCCCUAAUUAACGAAUUGCAAAAGAUAUAGUCACACCCACUGCUGCGUUAACUUCCGUUCGGGUGCACCGGCGAUACGUCUGCAGAUUGCAACCAUUCUUUGAGUUGAUUUUCUGUCUUGUUCGAAUUGUUGAGUCUCUGUCGUUGCUGCCUCUGUCUUGGUUUUGGCAGUCGUCACCUGUGCAAGGUAAGUUUAAUCCUCUUUCUCGUUCGAAUUGCUAAGCAAUUUCGUUUUCUUUGCUGAAUUUGCUAAGUAAUUUAAUUCCAGAUUUCUCAUUCAAUUUUAUAUUAACUGACAUAGUAUCAUCGUCAUAAUUUGUUCACGGAAUUCUUAGAUUCAAUUCCGCUGGAAUUAACAAGUCUCUGCACGCCGGAUUUGUUCACGGAAUUAAGAAGGUCUGUGCAAAGUGUUUGGGUUUGCUGGACCACAUAGACAUUGCCCACUUGCCUGGCAAUCUGUCACUAUACCGGCUGGACCACAUAGACAUCUUUCUCAAAGUCUUUGAGUGAAUAGUAAGUUCAUACUCUCCAUUUUCUAGUGUAUAUAUAUCUCAAUUGUGGGAAAGAAAUCUGUAAUAAUUCACUGCUACUAACAGAUCAUAAUUUAGUACAAGUUCACGCUCAUGAUAAUUUGUAAUAAGAUGUCUGUUUUCCAGCAAUUGUUAAACUUGCAAUCAUUGUUCACAAUUGCAGCCUGCAUCUUUGCCGUAUUUCUCAUUUUCAAAUGGUUUCUUAUCCAACCACUUAGCACCAAAAAAACUUCAAAGUAGGUUGAUGAUUUUCUUGAGGUAGUCAUUCAAGAACAUGAGAAUAAGAUGAGUGACAAUUCUCAAGUUGAAGAUCAUAAGGACUUUAUAGAUGUCUUGUUUUGGCUUGAGAAAGAAAAUAAUUAGCUGCUGUUUUUAGGUUAAAUUUUCUGUUGUUUCUGGGUAAAUUGGCUGGUGUUUUUCAGUUAUUUUUCUGCUGUUUUUGGGUUAUAUUUUUUGCUGUUUCCAGGUAAAAUGUUCUGGUGUUUUGGGCUUCAUUUGCUGCUGGUUCUAGGUUAAAUAUUUUGCUGUUUUUGGGUAAAUAUACUGCUAUUUUUCAGUUAAAUUUUCUGCUGUUUUUGGAUAAAAUUUUUGCUGUAUUUGGGAUGAUUUGCUACUGUUUGUGGUUAAAAUUUUCUGGUGUUUUGGGCUUCAUUUGCUGCUGUUUUUAGGUUAAAUUUUCUGCUGUUUUUGGGUAAAUUGGCUGCUGUUUUUCAGUUAAAUUGUUUGCUAUUUUUGGAUAAAUUUACUGCUGUUUUUGGGUUAUAUUUUAUGCUGUUUCCAGGUAAGUCUUUUUGGUGUUAUGGGCUUCAUUUACUGCUAUUUUUUGGUUAAAUAUUUUGCUGUUUUUGGAUAAAUUUACUGCUUUUUUGGAUAAAUUUACUGCUGUUUUUGGGUUAUAUUUUUUGCUGUUUUCCUGGCAGUCUGUCACUAUGUCGGCUGGACCACAUAGACAUCUUUCUCAAAGUCUUUGAGUGAAUUGUAAGUUCAUACUCUCCAUUUUCUAGUGUAUAUAUAUCUCAAUUGUGGGGAAGAAAUUUGUAAUAAUUCACUGCUACUAAUAGAUCAUAAUUUAGUACAAGUUCACGCAUAUGAUAAUUUGUAAUAAGAUGUCUGUUUUCCAGCAAUUGUUAAACUUGCAAUCCUUUAUCACAAUUGCAGCCUGCAUCUUUGUCGUAUUUGUCCUUUUCAAAUGGUUUCUUAUCCAACCACUUAGCACCAAAAAAUCACUACCACCUUCUCCCCCACAGCUCCCAAUCAUUGGAAACCUUCACCAACUGGGCUUGUUCCCUCAUUGCUCACUCGGUGCUUUGGCACAAUGCUAUGGCCCCCUGAUGUUGCUUCACUUAGGCAAAGUGCCAGUGCUUGUUGUCUCUUCUGCUGAUGUUGCCUGUGAGAUCGUUAGAAAUGUAAUCUUUGCAAUCAACCAAAAUUAACCCCAUUUGUAAAACUUUUAAACGGUUGUAUAGAUGUCUCUAUGACACCUUAUGGUGAGUACUUAAGAAAAGUUAAAAGCUUAUUUGUUGUACAACUUUUAAGUAACAAAAGGAUUCAUUAUUCUUUUCGUGAUGUUAGAAUAGAAAAAUAUAAUGAUCAAGGAGAAGUUGGUAGUAAGUUUAGGAAGCAGUUUAAGGACUUUAUUGAGUUGAUGGCUACUUUUCAUGUGGGAGAUUAUAUUCCAUGGCAAGGUUGGUUGUGCUAUUUUAAUAGCUUGAAUGCCAAGCUUAAGAAAACUUCAAAGGAGGUUGAUGAUUUUCUUGAGGUAGUCAUUCAAGAACAUGAGAAUAGGAUGAGUAACAAUUCUCAAGUUGAAGAUCACAAGGACUUUAUAGAUAUCUUGCUUUGGCUUCAGAAAGAAAAUAUUUUAAACUUUCCUAUUGAUAAAGCUUCAUUUGCUGCUAUUUUUAGGUUUAAUUAUCUGCUGUUUCUGGGUAAGGUGGCUGCUGUUUUUCAGUUUAUUUUUCUGCUGUUUUUGGAUAAAUUUACUGCUGUUUUUGGGUUAUAUUUUUUGCUGUUUUAAGGUAAUUUUUUUGGUGUUUUGGAUCCUCUUCUUUCUCCAAUUGCAGGGCCUGAAGAUAUAAACAUCAGCUAUCAGGAAGCCCAAAGUAACAAUGAUGAGAGUAAAACUACCAAGAAUUUCAAUAAUUCCAUAUUUAAAGUUUAUAGAAUUUGUUACUAGAAUACUCUGAAUGGCUAAGUAAUUUCUCAAAAGAUUUGGAAACAAUGAAACAUAUGUUUGACUUACAAUUGAUCAAAAAAUAGGUCCAUCAACAUUGUUUUCCCGGUCCCUACUCCCCCAUAAAGGUACAAUCCUUUGACAGGUGAGUAUGAAGAUUGUGGUAGUAAACGUGACCACAGCCACCGACUCCUGUAGACAAACAGGACUAUCUGUCAAAUAGUUAUGUAAAUUCGCACCACAUUAACAUUGUAGAAUUACAAAUUUAAAAAAAGAAAAAUAGACCAGAUGAACAGGGGAGUGAUCCUGCAAUAUUAAAAUGUAAUCCAUUAGUUGAAAUCUGAACAAAAUUAGAGUAAACUGUAAUAUUUACCUUUCAGAUUUCUCAGAAGAUGAAUAGCGAUCUAACUUCCAGGCAUCAGCUGAUUCAACAAGCUAAUCAUACAGUCUUUGAAGUUCUCCUAACGCUCCUAACUGCCAAAAAAAAAAAUUUCACUGUAAGGGCAACUUUUACAUCAUUAAACAACAUAGUAGAUGGUCCACUCACUUCUUAGUCAUCAGGGAACUGACCGUUCCAGUGGUGCCAACUUUGAUGGAUCCUCCACUGCUCUUGAUAGUUUCUAGUGUAUGAACCAUGUUUUUCCACAAGUUUCAAUUAGAAGUCUAAGAAAAGAUCUUCCAAAAGAUGAAGUUCUUUGCCCUCAAAGCUCGCUUGGAGAAAGAUUGCAGAUGAAAGGAAUUAAAAUCCUGCAAAGCAAUAACACCACCCAAUGCAUGUAGAUUUGAGUUGUAUUUUCUGGUUGAAAGGUAGCUCAUAUUCUUAACAUUAAAGUUAUUUUUUUUCCCCAAAAAAUGAUAUAGUUACACUGGCAAACUAUAAAGCUGCAAAUUGAAAGAAAAGCCGGAUAAUUCCCAGAAAAUACUAUUUUCUUCUACAGUGACGUUGAGACUUAAUGGGAAAUGUUUUUUUUUUUCCGCCUUUUAUUUUCAAAAAAGGGGAAAAAUAGAUAGUAUAAAAUUUUUUUUUUUUAACUUUUUUGCUGUUGAUGGUGCCAUAAUUGUUAUAAUAUUGAAUUUUUUUAAUAAAUAAUAACUAUAAAAAUAUUUUAAUUAAUUAUUAUAAAUUUUAAUUAGGUAAUAUUAAAUAAAUAAUAAUAAUAAAAGAUUAAUAAAUUAUAAUGAAUUAUAAUUAUAAUAAUAUUAUAAUAAAUAAUAAUGAAAUAAUUUCAUACUGAUAGUAAUACAACAAAAUUAUAAAUAUAAUAAUAUUUUUACUAAAUAACAAUAUAAUAAAAUAUUAAUAAUAAUAACUUAUUAUUAUAAUAAUUAUUAUAAAGUUUGAUUGCAAUAAUAUUUUCAUAAAUAAUAAUCAUAUAACAAAAUCAUGAAAUUAAUAAAUAAUAACAAUAAUGAAUUAGUAAUCAUAAUUAUAAUACUAUUUUAAUAAAUAUGAUGAUGAUGAUGAUGAUGAUGAUGAUGAUUAUUAUUAUUAUUAUUAUUAUUAUUAUUAUUACAAUAAUCAACAAAGGGCAUUAAAGUAAAUUAUGAUAAUUCAUUCUGAUUUCAAGACAAAUUAAACACAUCGAUGGAAAUGAAUCUCAUUCCGACUUCAAUUUCUACAACUCAAAUAAAUAACUUAUUCUUAUUCACAUUCUUGAUUCUAAUUGUAGCCCGUUCCGAUUACUGAUUAGUAAAUGCACCAUGAGCAGAUUAUUGUGGUUUAAUUGGGUCUGUUUCAUUUCAAGUUUCAUAUCAUUUUCAUUGUUCAAUUUAAAAUUUUGAUUUGACCUUCAACCUAAUCAACUUAACCAGAUGAUAUAAGGUUUGGGUAGAAUUGGGUUAAACAAGUUUAUUUAGUUAAGUUUGAUGGAUUUUAUCUCAGCUCAUUAAAAAGUAGACCAGGUUAGAAUUUCACUAACCCUAUCAAAUCCAACUCAUGCUCACCCUUAUAUCAUUCUAUCUAAAUCAUAAAAUGCCAAUAAUCCAACUCUUUAACCAUUUUCACAUUGGAUUUAAGUUGAGGCAAUUGACCUGAACUAAAUAACCUAAAUUUCAAAUAAAUGUGAAAUAACACAAAAAAUUUCUAAACCACACAUAUGACUCGUAAAUUGAAGGUAAAACAGGUAAAUUAGCGUUAGAGUGGUAAAUUGGUAUACAAAAUUUAUAAAAAAAAUAGAAAAAAAACUAGUAAAUUGAUAGAAAAUGUAGUAAAUAAAUGUUGGAGUUGUAAAUUACAAGAAGAAAUUGUAAACAAAACAAAAACUUAGAAAAAUGACAUAGAACUUGUAAAUUGAAAUUAAAUGUGAAAUGAAACAAAUAAUUUGUAAACCACACAUAAAACUAGUAAAUUAAUGGAAAAAGGGGUAAAUUAAUGUUGGAGUUGUAAUUGGCAAGAAGAACUUGUAAACAAAACAAAAACUUAGAAAACUUACAUACAACUAGUAAAUUGACAUUACGUGUGAAAUGAAACAAAAAAAAGUGUAAAUCACACAUAAAACUAGUAAAUUGAUGGAAAAAAUGGUAAAUUAAUGUUGGAGUUGUAAAUUGCAAGAAGAACUUGUAAACAAAACAAAAACUUAGAAAAAUGACGUAGAACUUGUAAAUUGACAUUAAGUGUGAAAUGAAACAAAAAAUGUGCAAAUCACACAUAAAACUAGUAAAUUGAUGGAAAAAUGAGUAAAUUAAUGUUGGAAUUGUAAUUUACACGAAGAACUUGUAAAUAAAACAAAAAAUUAUAAAAAUGACAUAGAACUAGUAAAUUCACAUUAAGUGUGAAAUAAAACAUAAAAUUUGUAAACCACACAUAACACUAGUAAAUUAAUGAAAAAAAUGGUAAAUUAAUGUUGGAAUUGUAAUUUGCACGAAUAACUUGUAAAUAAAACAAAAACUUAUAAAAAUGACAUAGAACUAGUAAAUUCACAUUAAGUGUGAAAUAAAACAUAAAAUAUGUAAACCACACAUAAAACUAGUAAAUUAAUGAAAAAAAAUGGUAAAUUAAUGUUGGAAUUGUAAUUUGCACGAAGAACUUGUAAACAAAACAAAAACUUAUAAAAAUGACAUAGAACUAGUAAAUUGACAUUAAUUGUGAAAUAAAACAAAAAAUGUGUAAAUCAUACAAAAAACUAGUAAAUUGAUGGAAAAAUGAGUAAAUUAAUGUUGGAGUUGUAAUUUGUACGAAUAACUUGUAAACAAAACAAAAACUUAGAAAAAUGACAUAGAACUAGUAAAUUCACAUUAAGUGUGAAAUAAAACAUAAAAUAUGUAAACCACACAUAAAACUAGUAAAUUAAUGAAACAAAUGGUAAAUUAAUGUUGGAAUUGUAAUUUGCACGAAGAACUUGUAAACAAAACAAAAACUUAGAAAAAUGACAUAGAACUAGUAAAUUGACAUUAAUUGUGAAAUAAAACAAAAAAUGUGUAAAUCACACAUAAAACUAGUAAAUUGAUGAAAAAAUGAGUAAAUUAAUGUUGUAGUUGUAAUUUGUACGAAAAACUUGUAAACAAAACAAAAACUUAGAAAAAUGACAUAGAACUAGUAAAUUCACAUUAAGUGUGAAAUAAAACAUAAAAUAUGUAAACCACACAUAAAACUAGUAAAUUAAUGAAACAAAUGGUAAAUUAAUGUUGGAAUUGUAAUUUGCACGAAUAACUUGUAAACAAAACAAAAACUUAGAAAAAUGACAUAGAACUAGUAAAUUCACAUUAAGUGUGAAAUAAAACAUAAAAUAUGUAAACCACACAUAAAACUAGUAAAUUAAUGAAACAAAUGGUAAAUUAAUGUUGGAAUUGUAAUUUGCACGAAGAACUUGUAAACAAAACAAAAACUUAGAAAAAUGACAUAGAACUAGUAAAUUGACAUUAAUUGUGAAAUAAAACAAAAAAUGUGUAAAUCACACAUAAAACUAGUAAAUUGAUGAAAAAAUGAGUAAAUUAAUGUUGUAGUUGUAAUUUGUACGAAAAACUUGUAAACAAAACAAAAACUUAGAAAAAUGACAUAGAACUAGUAAAUUCACAUUAAGUGUGAAAUAAAACAUAAAAUAUGUAAACAACACAUAAACAAGUAAAUUAAUGAAAAAAAUGGUAAAUUAAUGUUGGAAUUGUAAUUUGCACGAAGAACUUGUAAAUAAAACAAAAACUUAUAAAAAUGACAUAGAACUAGUAAAUUGACAUUAAUUGUGAAAUAAAACAAAAAAAAUGUGUAAAUCACACAUAAAACUAGUAAAUUGAUGGAAAAAUGAGUAAAUUAACGUUGGAGUUGUAAUUUGUACGAAUAACUUGUAAACAAAACAAAAACUUAGAAAAAUGACAUAGAACUAGUAAAUUCACAUUAAGUGUGAAAUAAAACAUAAAAUAUGUAAACAACACAUAAAACUAGUAAAUUAAUGAAACAAAUGGUAAAUUAAUGUUGGAAUUGUAAUUUGCACGAAGAACUUGUAAACAAAACAAAAACUUAGAAAAUGACAUAGAACUAGUAAAUUGACAUUAAUUGUGAAAUAAAACAAAAAAUGUGUAAAUCACACAUAAAACUAGUAAAUUGAUGAAAAAAUGAGUAAAUUAAUGCUGUAGUUGUAAUUUGUACGAAAAACUUGUAAACAAAACAAAAACUUAGAAAAAUGACAUAGAACUAGCAAAUUCACAUUAAGUGUGAAAUAAAACAUAAAAUAUGUAAACAACACAUAAAACAAGUAAAUUAAUGAAAAAAAAUGGUAAAUUAAUGUUGGGAAUGUAAUUUGCACGAAGAACUUGUAAACAAAACAAAAACUUAUAAAAAUGACAUAGAACUAGUAAAUUCACAUUAAGUGUGAAAUAAAACAUAAAAUAUGUAAACCACACAUAAAACUAGUAAAUUAAUGAAAAAAAUGGUAAAUUAAUGUUGGAAUUGUAAUUUGCACGAAGAACUUGUAAACAAAUCAAAAACUUAGAAAAAUGACAUAGAACUAGUAAAUUGACAUUAAUUGUGAAAUAAAACAAAAAAUGUGUAAAUCACACAUUAAAACUAGUAAAUUAAUGAAAAAAAUGAGUAAAUUAAUGUUGGAAUUGUAAUUUGCACGAAGAACUUGUAAACAAAACAAAAACUUAGAAAAAUGACAUAGAACUAGUAAAUUGACAUUAAGUGUGAAAUAAAACAUAAAAUAUGUAAAUCACACAUAAAACUAGUAAAUUGAUGAAAAAAUGAGUAAAUUAAUGUUGGAAUUGUAAUUUUCACGAAAAACUUGUAAACAAAACAAAAACUUAGAAAAAUGACAUAGAACUAGUAAAUUCACAUUAAGUGUGAAAUAAAACAUAAAAUAUGUAAACAACACAUAAAACAAGUAAAUUAAUGAAAAAAAUGGUAAAUUAAUGUUUGAAUUGUAAUUUGCACGAAGAACUUGUAAACAAAACAAAAACUUAGAAAAUGACAUAGAACUAGUAAAUUGACAUUAAUUGUGAAAUAAAACAAAAAAUGUGUAAAUCACACAUAAAACUAGUAAAUUGAUGAAAAAAUGAGUAAAUUAAUGCUGUAGUUGUAAUUUGUACGAAAAACUUGUAAACAAAACAAAAACUUAGAAAAAUGACAUAGAACUAGCAAAUUCACAUUAAGUGUGAAAUAAAACAUAAAAUAUGUAAACAACACAUAAAACAAGUAAAUUAAUGAAAAAAAUGGUAAAUUAAUGUUGGAAUUGUAAUUUGCACGAAGAACUUGUAAAUAAAACAAAAACUUAUAAAAAUGACGUAGAACUAGUAAAUUCACAUUAAUUGUGAAAUAAAACAAAAAAUGUGUAAACCACACAUAAAACUAGUAAAUUAAUGAAAAAAAUGGUAAAUUAAUGCUGUAGUUGUAAUUUGUACGAAGAACUUGUAAACAAAACAAAAACUUAGAAAAAUGACAUAGAACUAGUAAAUUCACAUUAAGUGUGAAAUAAAACACAAAAUUUGUAAACCACACAUAAAACUCGUAAAUUAAUGAAAAAAUGGUAAAUUAAUGUUGGAAUUGUAAUUUGCACGAAGAACUUGUAAACAAAACAAAAACUUAUAAAAAUGACAUAAAACUAGUAAAUUGAUAUUAAUUGUGAAAUAAAACAAAAAAUGUGUAAAUCACACAUAAAACUAGUAAAUUAAUGAAAAAAAUGGUAAAUUAAUAUUGGAAUUUUAAUUUGCACGAAGAACUUGUAAACAAAACAAAAACUUAGAAAAAUGACAUAGAACUAGUAAAUUGACAUUAAUUGUGAAAUAAAACAAAAAAAUGUGUAAAUCACACAUAAAACUAGUAAAUUGAUGGAAAAAUGAGUAAAUUAACGUUGGAGUUGUAAUUUGUACGAAUAACUUGUAAACAAAACAAAAACUUAGAAAAAUGACAUAGAACUAGUAAAUUCACAUUAAGUGUGAAAUAAAACAUAAAAUAUGUAAACCACACAUAAAACUAGUAAAUUAAUGAAACAAAUGGUAAAUUAAUGUUGGAAUUGUAAUUUGCACGAAGAACUUGUAAACAAAACAAAAACUUAGAAAAUGACAUAGAACUAGUAAAUUGACAUUAAUUGUGAAAUAAAACAAAAAAUGUGUAAAUCACACAUAAAACUAGUAAAUUGAUGAAAAAAUGAGUAAAUUAAUGCUGUAGUUGUAAUUUGUACGAAAAACUUGUAAACAAAACAAAAACUUAGAAAAAUGACAUAGAACUAGUAAAUUCACAUUAAGUGUGAAAUAAAACAUAAAAUAUGUAAACAACACAUAAAACAAGUAAAUUAAUGAAAAAAAUGGUAAACUAAUGUUGGAAUUGUAAUUUGCACGAAAAACUUAUAAAUAAAACAAAAACUUAUAAAAAUGACGUAGAACUAGUAAAUUCACAUUAAUUGUGAAAUAAAACAAAAAAUGUGUAAACCACACAUAAAACUAGUAAAUUAAUGAAAAAAAUGGUAAAUUAAUGAUGUAGUUGUAAUUUGUACGAAGAACUUGUAAACAAAACAAAAACUUAGAAAAAUGACAUAGAACUAGUAAAUUCACAUUAAGUGUGAAAUAAAACAUAAAAUUUGUAAACCACACAUAAAACUCGUAAAUUAAUGAAAAAAUGGUAAAUUAAUGUUGGAAUUGUAAUUUGCACGAAGAACUUGUAAACAAAACAAAAACUUAUAAAAAUGACAUAAAACUAGUAAAUUGAUAUUAAUUGUGAAAUAAAACAAUAAAUGUGUAAAUCACACAUAAAACUAGUAAAUUAAUGAAAAAAAAUGGUAAAUUAAUAUUGGAAUUUUAAUUUGCACGAAGAACUUGUAAACAAAACAAAAACUUAGAAAAAUGACAUAGAACUAGUAAAUUGACAUUAAUUGUGAAAUAAAACAAAAAAAUGUGUAAAUCACACAUAAAACUAGUAAAUUGAUGGAAAAAUGAGUAAAUUAACGUUGGAGUUGUAAUUUGUACGAAUAACUUGUAAACAAAACAAAAACUUAGAAAAAUGACAUAGAACUAGUAAAUUCACAUUAAGUGUGAAAUAAAACAUAAAAUAUGUAAACCACACAUAAAACUAGUAAAUUAAUGAAACAAAUGGUAAAUUAAUGUUGGAAUUGUAAUUUGCACGAAGAACUUGUAAACAAAACAAAAACUUAGAAAAUGACAUAGAACUAGUAAAUUGACAUUAAUUGUGAAAUAAAACAAAAAAUGUGUAAAUCACACAUAAAACUAGUAAAUUGAUGAAAAAAUGAGUAAAUUAAUUACCUGCUACUUAGGUAACAUGUUACCUAUUUAUUUAGAAUUAAUGGUAGAGAUUUUUUAUUCAAAUCUAACAGUCCACGUCCAUUACGGCAUCAAUGCCGUAAAUUUAGUUACGGCAUUAUAGAAUGACCCAUGAAAACGACAUUUGAAAAGAAAAAUACAAACGCACCUUUUCAUUUGAUGUGCAUUACUAGAACAAUUUUUGACAAAGAUCAUUUGAUGUGCAUUACUAGAACAAUUUUUGACAAAGAUGUUACAACCGAAAGAAUGAAAAGGUCUAAAGUUUUAGGGUGAACAUGGACGAAUUGAUGACACGACAUGUUUUACAGCUCAAUGUCGUUAAUUAAUAUAUAUAAUUGAGUAAUUUCAUCUCUAUAUUAAGCACGCGCCGCCUCAAAUUGCAUGCAAAUACAAAAACAAACUUUUGAAUUUGUUUUUUGAAUUUUUAGGUUAACAAUUGAUUUUUUAUUUUACAUUUUUUUGUUUUUAUUUAACAAUUAAUUUUAAUCAAAUCUUAAACUGUCGUAAUCAAUUAAGAUUUUUCAUUAUGACUCCUUAGCUAAAUUUUGCUCCUUAACUAGAUUUUGGAUCUGUAAUAAAUAAAAAAAUUGGUAACAUUUGUUCCUUUAAGAUAUAUGUUUGAGGGAAAAAUAGGAAAGGCAAUAAAGCGCUACGUGUUAACUAAUGGAAUGAUUCCGACACAAUUUGAGGUACCCCACACAAUUAAAGGUACCCUAUAUAAAUAGAGAUACCCCAUGUAAAUAGAGGUACCCACACAAUCAGAGGUACCCCGUACAAUUAGAGGUACCCCACGUAACUCGAGGUACCUUCGAAAAUAUCCGCCAUGAGAAACGUCUCCGCCUCCUAAAAGAUAUUAUUCGAUUUUAUCAGAAUUAAGAAUAAAAAACGACGCCCUAAAAGGAGGGACAGCCGCCUGCGACCUCUGCCAAAAGUGAAGGACACUGUCCCAAGGAUAGUGGUCCCCAACCGCCUACUCGACAGCUACUGCAAAGGUACCCUGGACCACUCUCCAGUGCGCGCCACGUUUCUAAAAGAUGAGAUAUGCCGCGAACAUACAGAUAACGGCCAAAAAAAUUAUAAAGAGGUAAAAGGACGUUAGCCAAAAAGGGUAUGCCACGUGGCAGCUGAGGUACUCCAUAUAUAAAGGCGCCUAGGUUUCAUUUUCCAUCAGGCUCUCAUUCGCCUAAAAAACACUCACACUCCAAAAAUAGGUUUUUUUAACCUUAAACCCUAAUUUAUAGAGGGCUAGCCAGCUCUCUUUACCAUAAAAGCUUGAGUUUGCUAACUUGAGCGUCGGAGUAUGAACGCCAGGUUACCCCGGCUUCACCUCUAACCUCUAUUUCACUGUUUUGUAGGCGUGAAGCUCAUUUUGAAGGACACCUCUCUUGUUUUUGACCUUCCACCAUUAUUACCACUCUCUCUCCCCUUCUCACCUCCCCCGAAUUUCAGAUACACUGCACCGCACCGCACACAAUAUACUAGUGAGGUACCCCAUCUCCCCCAAAAAUAUAAAUUCAUUGUUCUAGAUUGGUUUGACUUUUCCUACCCCAAAAUCAGUUGAAAACAAUUGGCGCCGUUUGUGGGAAGUCGCACAAAAAGCCUCAUCUGCGAUUACCAAACUAGUUGUUGUGUGUGCUCCAAUACAUAGCACCCGACGUACCUCCCGAAGGUUUAAUGGGGGAUCCUACAAGAAUAAGAGAUGACAGCAGCAGUGAAGGAAGUGAUCCCGCAAGAAGGGUAGCCCGCAUCAGCAAAGCAAGGGUAUCAAGUAAUCGACGGGUGUUCGCCAAGAUGAGGAACCUAUUUCUCACAAGCGUUUUGAAGAUCUUGCCCACGCAAUACUUAGGGCGUUUGGAUCUCGGGCACCCGAAAGUUCACUUCCACCAGUGACGCUAGAUGCUCCACCACCUCAAAUGGGCGACCAAGCUAUGGUCAGAAAAGAGGUACCCGAGGCCAGCAAACUAAAGCAUAGGCCAUUGGGUACCCGUUCUAAGUUUCAAACCAUGGGCUUCCGCGACAAGCGUUCCACCGCCUCUUGCAAUUCCCGUAGCAGCCAGGGUACGAGGCGUGCAAAGCAUACCCACGAGGAUCUUCGUGAGAAGUUAAACGCCAAAAAGGCUUCUCAAAUGACGGCGACAUUAUCGGGUACACCGAGGGUACCCCUCGAACUUGUGGAAAAGAUGGAGAACCUGGAAGCCCAAGUGAAGCUCCUCUCCAAGAAGCAAAACAUCACAGCUGCACCAACGCCAAUGACCUACCAAUCUCCAUUCACUAUGGAAAUUAGGACAGUAGCUCUCCCCGAGGCGUUCGUCAUGCCUCAGAUACUCCAAUACUCGGGUACCACUGAUCCCUCGGAGCAUGCUGAGCUAUACUGUGAUCAAACACUUAUCAAAGGUGUAGAUGAGAGCGCCAUGUGUAGGAUGUUUACACACACACUCACGGGCCCCGCGAAGUCGUGGUUUCGCUCUUUGAAAGCGGGUAACAUAUCUUCCCUACACCAAUUGCUAUUCGAAUUUACUAAACAGUUUUCCUACGCCUCCACUCAAGAUAGGGUAACCUCCAAACUUGGCUUUAUCAAGCAAGGGGAAGCCGAGCCUUUGGCGAAGUACGUGAGUCGUUUCCACUAAGAGGUGUUGCGAACCGGGGUAUUUGGAAACCAAUACACAUUGACCCAUUUUGAGAAAAAUUUAAAGCUGGGCAAGUUAUGGCGUUCUUUUCAAAAGAAGAGCCCACUCUCAUAUGGGGAUGCCCGUUCCCGAGCGUUCCAGCAGGUGGAAAUGGACGAAAAAUGCCAAUUGAAGCGCCAAGAAGAUAAGGCUGAUGUUACAAAGAACAAGGAGAAACCCAAGAGGGUGGAGGCCCCAAUACCACGGGUACUCUGAGCACGAAGCCCUCCACGGGCUGCCCUGCGGGGACGAGGGUAUAACCCUCAGGAUACCUCAAGGGUACCCCAACCUCCAAGAACGCCACCACCGGAUCAGCGAGAGCCACCACCGAGGCCUCGGUACGAAUCUUACCAGAAUCGAUCCCCAGAGCAUAUCUUCUACCAUAUUCGGGAUAGCGGCCUCCUCCGUCCUCCUAAGCCAAUGAAGAAGUACCCCAACAUGAAGCGUAGCCUGAAGUAUUGCGAGUUCCAUGAGGACUUUGGUCACAGCACAGCCGAGUGCUUCACCUUGCGAGAGGAAAUUAAAUCUUUGAUUCUCAGCGAGUACCUCAAAGAAUUUAUUGCUGGCAUGAGAAAAGCUCGGAAAUCUGCGGAACAAGAUAAAGGCAAGCGGGUAGCUGAUGGCAGUCCUGAACGAGAGGUACCCCCUGGACACAAAAAAUGCGUGUAUGUCUGAAUGAUCAUGGGCGGACCGACUUUAGCGGGCCAAUCUAGGAGGGCUAUUAAAAGUUAUGGUAGAUUGUUGUUAAUAACCACCAAUAUUGGCAGAGAAAUCAACCUUAAUGAAUGGGGUACACCGAAGGUACCCCACCGUGUUGUUCAUAUGAUUGAUUUUCUUAUUGUAGAUCACCCGGGUGCCUACAAUAUUAUAUUGGGUAGGCCUUUCUUAAAAGCAACUAAAGCGGUGGUAUCCAUGCACUACCUCGCCAUGAAAGUCCCGGUUGCCCAAGAAGUUAUCACCAUUAAAGGGGACAAGCAAUCGGCUCGUGGAUGUUAUUCCGUGGCCUCCAAAGUCACUUACCAAAUAGCUUCCGAUCCGCCAAUGAAAGGGUAUCCCAGUAGCAGCCAGCCCACACCUUCCCCCUCAAAGCGAGCACUUGCUAGACAGCGGAGAGCAGUACUAAAAAAAUCUCCUAAAGUAGCCCACCCACAAAAACAGUUGGAGUCUUCACCAAUGGGAGUAGAAGCAGUUACGGGGGAUAAGUUGAGGGUAUCCCACGGGGACCAGGAGGAGCCCAGAUGUGAAGUUGAGGUACUUUUGGAUCCCUGAAUAUUGAAAGAUGAAAAGCGGGGUACCCUAGUUGAAGACCUUAUUUCAGUCUCGAUUUGUGCCACAGACCCAACAAAGACUGUGAAAAUAGGCUUCAAUCUUUCGGAGGAACAAAGAGAGAGGUUCAUAACCUUCCUACGCGAGCACUACGACAUAUUCGCCUGGUCCCACUCGGAUAUGCCAGGUAUCCCACCUUCUCUCUCUUGUCAUAAACUCAAUGUCAGCUCGCAUUAUAAAUCGGUCAAACAAAAGCGUCGCACCUUCAACCACGAGAGGUACGAUGCAAUUAAACAAGAGGUAGACCGCCUAUUAGCAGCGAGGUUUAUUCGGGAAACAGUGUACCCCGAUUGGGUAUCUAACAUUGUUCUUGUCAAGAAAUCAAAUAGAAAGUAGCGUAUAUGUGUGGACUUCACCGAUUUGAACAAGUCCUGCUCCAAGGAUAGCUUCCCGCUUUCCCGGGUAGACCAGCUGGUUGAUGUAACAGCGGGGCAUGAGAUGCUUAGUUUUAUGGACGCCUUCUCCGGGUAUAACCAAAUUUCGAUGUAUGAACCCGAUCAAGAGAAAACGACCUUCAUCACCAACCAGGGGUCAUACUGUUAUAAGGUUAUGCCGUUUGGUUUGAAGAAUGCCGGGGCUACCUAUCAGCGGCUAAUGAACAAAAUUUUCAAGGAACAAAUCGGGCGCACCAUGGAGGUGUACAUAGACGACAUGAUCACAAAAUCAGUGCAUACGGGGGAACACCUGGGACACCUCAGAGAUACCUUUAUCGUUUUGAGAAGACACCAGAUGCGGUUUAACCCUGAAAAAUGUGCAUUCGGGGUCACCUCAGGAAAGUUUCUCUGGUUCAUGGUACAACAACGGGGGAUUGAAGCCAACCCCGAUAAAAUUCACACAGUUCUUGACAUGAAAUCGCCAAGCACCGUCAAAGAGGUUCAAAGCUUGGUAGGCCGGGUAGUUGCCCUGAGUUGCUUUAUCUCCAAGGCUACCGACCGGUGUAAGUCUUUUUUCAAAGCUUUGAAGACCGACAAGAAGCUCCAAUGGACACCCGAUUGCGAAGAAGCUUUCCAAGAACUGAAGGGGUACCUCGUGAAUGCUCCAGUACUUACCAAACCUGAGCUGGGAGAGGUGCUUCUGUUGUAUCUCGUCGUAUCCGAGCAUGCCACCAGCUCUGUGCUACUCCGAGAAGAUGAGAAUGGGGUACAACGACUUAUUUACUACACUAGUAAAGCUAUUGUUGAUGCCGAAAAGAGGUACCUCACCUCUGAGAAGAUCAUUUUGGCAUUGGUUGUCUCCGCACGGAAGCUCAAACCAUAUUUUCAGGCUCACACCAUUGUAGUCGUCACCAACCUUCCCCUCUGACAAAUCCUCCAAAAAUUAGACAUGUCUGGAAGGCUUCUCCGAUGGUCCCUCAAAUUAAGCAAGUUCGACAUCAUCUUCAAGCCUCGUUCCGCGAUUAAAGCCCAGGCCAUCGCGGAAUUCGCCAAUGACUCAAGUGGUGAAGGUGAUUUGAGAUACAUGUUAGAUACCCCACCCACCGAUGAAGAGGAGCAGGUCUGGGAAAUAUAUAUGCAUGGUUCCUCUAAUUCACGCGGAAGUGGUGCGGGCAUUAUUAUUAUCGACCCGAACAAGGUGAAAAUAUGCUACGCUUUGCAAUUUGGAUUCAAAGUUUCAAACAACGAAGUCGAAUAUGAGGCCAUCAUAGCGGGGUUGAAGAUGUCGAAGGCUUUGGGAGCGAAAAGAGUACACGUCAAGAGCGACUCCCAGUUGGUGAUAAGCCAAAUUACCGCACAAUAUCAAGCGAAAGAGGAAAACAUGAAAGGGUACCUCGGAAAAACCAGAGAGUUGAUGUCCCAAUUUUGUGAGGUUAAGGUGGAAAGGGUACCCCGACUGGAGAACAGCGAAGCCGACACCUUGGCGAAAAUGGCGUCCCUUGGGGUAGCCCAGUCAUCUGGCCCCAUCACAACAUAACACAUACCUGCAUCCAGUGUUGGUCUCCCAAAGCCAUUGGAAGUAAGAUCACUGUCCAAUGAGGUGUUUUGGAUGGAGCCUAUCAUAAGGUACCUCAAGAACGGAGACCUCCCCUUAGAUAAAAGUGAAGCAAGAAGACUAAAGUAUAAAAUCGCACAGUAUUGCCUGAUCCAGAAUACCCUAUACAGAAGAGAGUUCACUCUUCCUUACCUUAAAUGCUUGGAAAACGACGAGGCCGAGUAUGUCAUGAGGGAGAUACAUGAGGGGAUUUGUGGCAAUCACUAUGGACCACAAUCACCGGUGCAAAAAGCCCUCCGUCAGGGGUUGGCCAACCAUGCAGGAAGAUGCCAAGAAUAUGGUACGAAACUGUAACAAAUGUCAAAGGUUUGCCAGGGUACCCCACCUACCCUAGAGAAGCUAACAGUUAUAUCUUCCUUUUGGCCCUUCGCUAUAUGGGGAGUGGAUCUCAUUGGACCGUUACCUACCAGAAAGGGGCAAGCAAAACAUGCAAUUGUGGCGGUAGAUUUUUUUAUAAAAUGGGCGGAAGCGGAGCCACUAAUAAGCAUUACAGAAAGGAAAACUACCAAAUUCAUUUGGAAGAACCUCAUUUGCAGAUUUACGAUCCCCUAUGCAAUUGUUAGUGAUAACGACAAGCAAUUUGAUAAUGAAAAUUUUAAAAACUUUUAUUCGAAGUUGGGGAUAGCCAACCGAUUUGCUACACCUGCCCACCCCCAAUCUAAUGGGCAAGUCCAGGCCGUUAACAAGAUUAUCAAAGGUAUCCUGAAGAAGAAGCUAGAAGAAAGAAUAUGAGCAUGGGUAGACGAGCUACCUGGGGUUCUGUAGGCUUACCGGACUACUCAAAACACUUCCACCAGGGAGACCCCGUUUUUCCUCGCAUUCGGUGUUGAUACAGUGAUUCUAGCAGAAAUCGGGGUACCUUCUCACAGGGUUGAAUACUUUGAUGAGGCCGAGAACACCUCAUUGGUUGCUUCAAACCUUGAUUUGGUGGCUGAAAAAAGGGCUAAAGCAGAAUUGAGGACAGCCAUAUAUCAGCAUCGCAUUUCGGGUCUAUAUGAAAAAAGGGUACGCCCUCGAUCCUUCAAGAAAGGAGACUUCUUGAGAAGGAUAACUCAGAAUACUAGGGUACCCUGCGAAGGCACUUUUGGGGCAAAUUGGGAAGGACCCUACCGCAUCGACAAACCCAUUGAGACAGGUGCAUACAGGCUACUCCACAUGGAUGGCACAAUCGUGAGGCACCCUUGGAAUAUUGCAAUGCUACGGAAAUAUUACUAAAGGAAAAUGUCUUAACCUCUAGUCUUUUUCUGAUUAUUUACUUUCUUUAAUGUCUUUGUGUGGUAGGCCAAAUGGGGUACCCCAAAUGCCCUAUGUUGGUCAGUUGCAACUUUAGAGUUUCUUUAAUUUUCAAAUGAAAAGGAUAGGAGGCCUUGCGGUCUCUCAUUCUCCUUAGGGUAACAAAACUAAGUCAUGUAUUGAUCAACGCUUUCGUUAUCUAUAAAUGCAUUUUCUUUCUCAACAAAUAUGAUGUGGGUUCUUUCUCUAUUUUUCGCCACUUUGAUCUUAGAAUGCGGAUUAUAUUCAUUUAUCGCCAUUAAUAUACCCUCGCAUAUGGUUAUAUGCAAUUCUCGCCAUACGCUUGUCAAUUAUGACUAACCUAUCACAGGACCAGCCAGGGUACCUGAUAUGCCUAGAUCGUGACGAUCUAUGUAAAGCCAAUAUGGGCAACAAAGUGAACAGCCUUUCUGCGGAAACAUGACAAAGCCACCUAAACAAAGAGAUGGAGGGUCAAAGAGGACCCGAGGGUGGAGUAAAACCGGCAUACCCUAGCACCAUGAGGUUCAGCUUAGGUAUGAGUACACUCACACUUCCGUCCUCUUACUUGAGUAAAGUAGGGGGUAAGCUAUUCAAAAAUUCAGAGAGAACUUCUAAGGAAUAAGAAAGUGAUUGGUUGGACCAAUUGCGCACUUUCAAUUUUUGAUCGAGAUGUCGCGAUGAUGUUUUGAUUACCUAUUUGUGGGAAAUCUGCCAUGGUUGCCGAGAAGGGUAUGCACCAAAUUCGCCGAUUUGUGUAAACCAGCAGGCGCCUGAUGUUGAAUAUUUUUUAAGGUACCAGGGGUACCCCAUUUAAAAAAGAAAAAAGAGGUACCCUAGACAUUCACAAGAUAACAGUUUAGCCAAGCAUUCAUUUGCAGAAUAACAAGCAUACAAAGUACAAGAAGACUCGGUGGCAUGGUAUCAUAACAAAGGAGAAGUCCCAAUAAUACAAAAUAUCCCAAGAAACCAAAAAGAAAGAAACAAGGUCCAAAUAACAAAAUAUGGAUAGAUCCAAAAAAAUAAGAGCACAACAAAAAGGCUACACUGAGGGGGGAACGCCAUCCCCAACAUCUGUCUCCAGAGGGCGAUCAGCAGAGGACUCCGAAGUACCCGGAAUAUGAGCAGCUGAAGUAUGAGCAUCCGAGGCAGGCAACGGCUGAAGCGCACGGGGUACCCUAGGCGACCCGGAAGGGGUACCCUACCGUGCCUGGGAAGACUUCUUCCUUUCUGCAAUUGUCUUCAGAAUCGUAGCCUUGUUGACAAAUUUCUGCACACGGGGUACCUCCAGUUCUGGAUCCACACUCUACACCUCUGUCAUGAUAAGUGAGAAUGCAUCCUCCGCCAUUGUCUUUUGUCGAGAUAGCAGAUCUCCGUUGGUGGCCCUCAACUCCUCACAAUCCUUCUCCAUCCGAGCUUUCUCUCCCGACAGGCCAGCAAUGCGUUCUUGCAAAGUCUUAACUUCUCGAGCAAGAUGAUCCUCGCGAGAUUGAUGGCUUUGGAGCUCACUCCUUAACUUAUCGACCUCUGACUGGGCGACAACAAGGGAGUCGAGGUCGGAAAGGCAGUGGCUAAGGAGAAAUGAUGCUUGCGGGUCAUGAAAGACAUGUUAAAUAUAUAUGUAUGGUAAUAGGAUUAAAUAAGUAAAAAAAAUAAUGAAGGGUACACCCGGGGUACCCCAGAAAAGCCUACCUCUUGGGUAGUCCUAAGUGCUUGACCAUAGCGCUGACUCAAACUCAUCUUGUCAGCCUCUUCAGCAACCUCGGAGGUGACAUUUUCAGCAGAGUAGUAAAAACAGCGAGCCAUGUGUGAAACCUCCUUAUUGGCAGCUGGGUCUAGGUCACAUUCGCAUAACUCAUCGAGGAAAGUGGAAACUAGCCCGAAUUUUGUUUUCCUUGAGCGAGGGGUAUCCUUCGACCUGCUGUGGGAGGUACCCUGAGAUUUCCCCUUUGGAGCGGGAGCUGGAGGAGGUCAGGAGCCUUUCGGGGGUACCACCGAAUCCUGAGAUCUGGAAGCACCGCCCACUACUCCUUGGAAAAAGGAGUAAAAAGCGUCACCCGCUGAUUCCAUAAUUGCACCCAAUGCACAAACGUUGUGUUAGCCGGACAAGUACUAAGUACUACAAAAGCCAAAAUGGGAAAUGAAAAGUGGGGAAACAAAAUAAAGAUACGGUGAUAACGGGGUACUCUAGUACCGUAGAUAAUAAUAGAGUACCCCUCGACACCCGAAUCAUACAUGAGUCACCCCCGGGAGCAGAUGGAGGACUUCGGUUAAUCAGCCCCACUCUCCACAAUCUACUCUCCUCCAGCACAUCACUACCCCUUUGUGCACCUCGAAACCUGUCCACAAACUUCUUCAUCUCCCUCCCCACCUCUUGAACUGGGCAUGAUCCUUUAGCCCAUGUCACACCUGCAAAAGCAUAAAGAACCCAGGGUUAGCGAGACAUUGAGGCGAAAGACUCCGAUAAAGAACUAUAAGUAAGGGAGAUACUUACAGUCUACAUUGAAGAAAUGAGGAACCUCCACGGGGUUGCCCUUUUCACCCAAAGUCUCUGUCCCCCACCUACCCUCAGCAACGAACCAUCCCUUUCGGUAACCCUUCUUCAAGGCGGGGUUCCCCUCAACAAUAUGGCCAUGAUCCCCCCAAGGGGAGAAGUAAGCAAUACCGAGACCCUUAGGCUUUUUAAAUUGAUAAAGGCCCCUCAACUCCUGAACAGAAAUGUUGUGCUUCAAGACCUCCAACCAUAACACAUGUAAUCCUGUGAGUGUCCUCCACCCCAGAAGGGACAGCUGCCCGGGAGCUACCCGCAAGUAACUAAACAUUCUCAUAUAGAAAGGUUGGAGGGGCAGCGGAAUCCUAGAUCAAAAAGGUCAAUAUGGAGAGCAAUCCCAUCAGACUUCGGACACUCAGGUCGCUUAUCUACAUGGGGUACCCUAAGCUGAACAGAAGGAGAAAUAUUGUAUUUAGCUCUAAUUUUUUCUAAGUCCCCCAAGGUAGCCCUCCUAGAGCCUAGGAAAAAAAAAGUUGCCAGAUUUUGAAGGUGUGGCAGGGGGAGAUUUGGGAGGCUAGUCCGAGGAACGAACGGGAACCUUGGGUUUAGAUGACUUACUCUUCUUUCGAGGAUGGGGGAUUGGCUGUUUACUAGGAAAGCGUGGGCUGACACGAGGGGUACUCCUAGGGGGAGGGGGUUCAGAAUGAGAAUUACAACUCCUAGAGGAAUUAGGGGGGACCGAUCCCCCUCGUUAAUGGAGAUGUGGGAAGGGGAACCCGCAGGAGGGCUGUCAACCCUACUAGCCCCAACUGCAUGUCGCUUCCUCAGGGGUAUCGUGUGUUUCUUGCCCAUCUACUUUCCCCCAACGACAUAUCCACCAGGCCACAAGUCCCCAACAAUACACCCAACGAUACACCCAACAAUACACCCAACAAUAUAUCCAACAAGCCACAAGUUCCCCAAACAACACAUCCACAAGCCCCCAACAACACAUCCACAAGCCCCCAACAACACAUCCAACAAGCCACAUGUUUCCCAAACAGCAACAUAUUCAUACCAAGCACCAUCCACCACACAUCAACCACCAAAUGCAAACACCAACCAACAAAAAAAAAAACAAAAACAACAAAAACCAAAAAUAAAUUUUUCUCGGAGUAUGCAAAAUAGUGCCACUGUGAAUAUGCCAAAGGAGGAGAAGCAAAGAGGGAUACCUGUGAUUCACCAAUUCGGCAGAUCAAGAUUGAUAAUCGCAGCGAGACGAAGCUGCAGGCAACCAAAAAUAGUGGGUAAAAAUAUGCAAGUAUAAAAAUAAAAAUAAGCUUAAAUAUAUAUAGUUAUUUAUAAAUAAAUGAAUGAAUAAAAUGAAGAACGAAGAAGCUGCAGCAACCGGCGUCAGCUGUCAUGGCUGCAACCACCGAGAACCGACGCCGGAGAUCACGAGAAGGAUGCCGAAAACCACCAAAAGAGGACGCCGACCGAAACCAAAAAAAAAAAAAAAGGAGCUUGGAGAUAUAAAAAAAAGUCAGAAUAAAAAAAAAAAGAAAGGGAAGAGCUUGGAUGAUAAAAAAAAAAUGGGAGAAGCCUGAAGAUAAAAAAAAAAAAAAAAGAGGAAGUAAAAAAAAAAGAAGAGCUUGAAGAUAUAAAAAAAAGAAGUCAGAAUUAAAAAAAAAAAAAAAGGAAGCUUGAAGAUAUAAAAAAGGAAGCUUGGAGAUAUAUAUAAAAAAAAAAGAGGAAGUCAAAAAAAAAAAGGAAGCCUAGAGAUUAAAAAAAAAAAAAAAGAGAAAAGCCUCCAGGAUGAUUUAGAAGAAAAAGAGAGGAGCAUAGAUAAAAAAAAAAAAAAGAGGCCACAUGAAGAGACGAAGAAGCAAAAUGGGGGGUAGAAGAUGGCUUACCACAAAGAGAUCACUGCACCACCAGCCGAACGCCGUCGUCACGCCACCGGAACAUCUCGGUAGACGCCGCCGUCACAAGGCCAGCCAAAAAAAAAAGAAAAAAAAAGAGGAAGAUGAAGAAAAGAGAAAGAAAAUGACAGUGAUAAAAAAAAAAGGGGUGUGAAAGUUGCCUGGAAGGAAUUAAAGAAAAGACAAAGGAAGGAAUGCAAAAGAAAAAGAAAAUGUGACAGUAGGCUGGGAGCAAAGAAAAAAAAAAGGGAGAUGGAAGACGAAAGGACAAGAAGAAAAAAGUAGAAUAAAGAAGAAAAAGUGGAGAUGGGGAGGCGUUGGAAUGUGAAAAGUUUUUGGGGAUGGCAAAAUGAAAAAGAAUAAAGGGUGAAUGAAAACGUGCAGAAGGUGAUUUAUUUAAAAAAAUGUGAAGUUGGUGGUUGAAAUGAUUUGACUAGUUUUUGAAUUUUAAAAGCCAAAGCAAGCAAGAAGCCACUGGAAGUAAUGGGAGAUUAUGUUGGGAUUUUCAAAAUAAAUGAGAGAAAAUUGACACACGUCAGGAGUUUUUAAUUCAACUUGACAGAACACGCUGCCCAAGAAAGAAGUUAAGGGAUGUUUGCGUGAGAUUGAUAUUUUCAAAAUUUAAACUGCAUGUCAGACAGCUGCCACUUCCCAAGAAAAAGGAGAGAGACAUAUGAAGACAACUGUUUGUUCUCAUCGUAAAAAAAAAAGGGGUGGUAAAAGGAAAAGACAGAGAGAAGAUUUUUUAAUUCGAAGUACACAAAGUUUAGUCAAGGGAAGAAACUCAGUAAGGUACCCCCAGUCCAGCCACGUCGCCACGUGUCACUCAUACAAUGAGUUUCUUUUGCCUCCAAUAAUUCUCGCCAAAAAGAAACUAGGAGGAUGUUGUUUGAGGGAAAAAUAGGAAAGGCAAUAAAGCGCCACGUGUCAACCAAUUGAAUGAUUCCGGCACAAUUUGAGGUACCCCGCACAAAUAGAGGUACUCCACACAAUUAGAGGUACCCCAUAUAAAUAGAGGUACCCCGCAUAAUUAGAGAUACCCCAUGUAAAUAAAGGUACCCCACACAAUUAGAGGUACCCCGUACAAUUAGAGGUACCCCACGUAACUCGAGGUACCUCCGAAAAUAUCCGCCAUGAGAAACGUCUCCGCCUCCUAAAAGAUAUUAUUCGAUUUUGUCAGAAUUAAGAAUAAAAAACGACGCCCUAAAAGGAGGGAUAGCCGCUUGCGACCUCUGCCAAAAGUGAAGGACACUGUCCCAAGGACAGUGGUCCCCAACCGCCUACCCAACAGCUACUACAGAGGUAUCCUAGACCACUCUCCAGCGCGCGCCACGUUUCCAAAAGAUAAGAUACGCCACGAACAUGCAGAUAACGGCCCAAAAAAUUAUAAAGAGGUAAAAGGACUUUAGCCAAAAAGGGUACGCGGCGUGGCAGCUGAGGUACUCCAUAUAUAAAGGCGCCUAGGUUUCAUUCUCCAUCAGGCUCUCAUUCGCCCAAAAAACACUCACACUCCAAAAAAUAGGUUUUCUUCAACCUUAAACCCUAAUUUACAGAGGGCUAGCCAACUCUCUUUACCAUAAAAGCUUGAGUUUGCUAACUUGAGCGUCAGAGUGUGAACGCCGGAGUACUCCGGCUUCACUACUAACCUCUAUUUCACUGUUUUGCAAGCGUGAAGCUCAUUUUGAAGGACACCUCUCUUCUUUUUGACCUUCCACCAUUGUUACUACUCUCUCUACCCUUCUCACCUCCCCUGAAUUUCAGAUACACCGCACCGCACCGCAAACAAUAUACUAGUGAGGUACCCCAUCUCCCCCAAAAAUAUAAAUUCAUUGUUCUACAUUGGUUUGGCUUUUCCUACCCCAAAAUCAGUUGAAAACAAUAUAAAAUAACCGUAACAUUGGUUUUUACAUUUUGAAUUUUUCUUGAAUUACUAUUUAGAAAAAUGAUGUUAAAUAAAUCUCACAAAAUAUACAAAGCCACCUAACAUCCAAAUAUUGAUUACAUUUAUUUUGUAUUGUUGGAAUGACGCCAAAGCAAUUGAAAAGAUAUAAAAAAUAAAUAAUAAUGAUGAAGAUUGGCUACGCGAUUUCACUGAAGCUAAGUUGUGACUUGUGACCAUCCAAAUGUCCGUAACAAGUUAUGAUUAUUCUCGCAGCACAAAUCCAAUAGCAUGCAACAAAAUCCACUCUUAACACUUGCCUCUGAAGAAAAUAAAACAGAGUAAAAAGAGCAACCAUGCCAGUGAAUCUCUUUACUUUUCUCCUUAUAAUUUGGGUAAACUCUAUCAAAUGAAAAUGCACCAUGACCACUGACCACAUGGGUCACUGCCACUACCAUUUACUUCUUCAACUGUGCCUCCUGCUUUAAGAAAUCUUCAACUGAAAGAUGGACUAUAUAAUUCAAGAUAAAAAAUACACCUGAGCUGCAAAGGAUACUAUCCACUAGCCUAUCAACGACUAUACUUUAUAUUUUUCUAGUUUUUGAAUCAAAAUUCUGCAAGAUUUAGUUUGGAAAACUUCGACACAACAACCAAACACUCAGUCCUUUUGUGCAUUAUAUCCACCGUAUGAUUCCUUAACAAAACAUCGGUAGCCUGUAGCUUAUCUGACACUGUCCUGACCCAAAGCCCCGCUCUUUUCAACUCAUCUGUCAAACCAUUACCCACUUUUGGAGUCAAAACUGCCCUCGCAGCCCUUUAAUAUUUCUCCAUCUUCAUUGAAUACGUGCCACCCAAAUGCACUCUCUUCCCUCUGGCUGAUUCUGUUUGAUUCAACCUCUUUUCUUGUUUACACUCAUGAAUUUGCAGAAAAUAAUUAACAAGUUUGUCAUCAUCAUAAAAUCCUUCCACAAUCACCACAUACAUUCUGCUGAGCAGGACUCAUUACACCCUUGUUUUAAACAAUUUUUUCUCCAAUUGGUUAAACAAUUUUUUCUCUUCUCUUUGCUCUCUUACAACUUGAGGCAUAUAAUUAAAUGCGUGGCAAUUAGCAUAUGCCAUGAUGUAUUUAACAACCCCAAAUGAAGAUACUGAUUUUUUUUCGGCUUAAUGGUUGCUUCAAAUGGGGGAACUGAAUUUGGGGGUUUGUUGUCUAAAUCCCAAAAAAUUCCACAUUAUGUUGGACAGUUUUUGGUUCUACAGAUGAUGAUCGGUUUUCCAAAUAAUGGUUCAAAAGGAAACAUCUAAACAAUGAGACAAAUGGGUUCUGGAUUUCUAAUCCUGUAAAUGUUGUUCUGUCGCAUAAGUUAUGAAAUUUCUGAAGCAUCACUAUCCCCGUCGUUCCUGGGAGAAAAAAAAGUCGAAGAACUGCUCGUGGAACAAAAUUAGAAAAUUUAAACAAUGUUGAGAGACUUUCCCUUCAACUAACAGUUAAAAGAAAAAAAAGUAUUAGAUAAGCAUUUUCAAAGUAAAAUGAUCACCCAUUUGUUGUACUUAGGCAGGAAAAAUAAAUAUAUCAACCCCAUUAAACCCUCACAUCUGCUAACUAAUAAUGCAUAGACUAACUUUUACGUAAGGAUAUAAAACUUACAAGAGCAAGAAAACUACUGUUUAUUAAUUUCAAAUUUUACACAAAAUUACGAAUAAUUCUAUAAGCUGCACCAAAACAUGUUCUCUAAAAGAGAUUCAGUAUCCUACAUUUUUGGAAGCAAAAAAUUAUUUCUGGAUGGUAUAAACUAAUACUAGAAUAACCAUUCGUUAAUGAUGUGAGUUUGGGCAGCACCAUGAAGCGGUGAGCCCCGUUUGGUGAAAACGAAAAAUAAUUAAAAUAAAGCACUAUGAAUUCUAAUCAAAUUAUUAACAUUAGCUAAAUAGACAGCAAGAAACCAGAAUAAAUUCGUUAACUAAACCAAAUAUUUAAAAAAAAAAAAAAAGGCAGUUAAAUCCUUAUCAUUUUCAGUUAGAAACAAACUAAAGCACAAAUUAAGAACAAAGAUUGAAGCAAAGCAUGAUUGUACCUUGAGGCACUUGAGCUUAGUGUUCCCAUAAACAAGACCGAGCGAAAAAGCCGAAACCAGAGAAACCUAUUAUUAUCACUCAAAAACCCAGAUCACAAAAUGAAUGAUCUUUCAAUAACAAUUCAUAAAAAUUCCGUCCCAUCAUAUACAGAACAAAACAAAACAAUGAAAAUAUUGAUCAGAAAAGAAAUUACAAAAAUGGACAAAAAGAAGAUAAAAAUAUGAUGCUUUGCUAUGCUUUCCUUUCUUGUGGGUGGCAGAUAAAGAAACAAGAAAGAGCCAGCAAAUUGAAAAAUCGACUAAUAUAUUCAUUCGACUCCGACUCGUAUGGCUAUUUUUCUUUGAUGAAUGAAAUAUUAUUUCACUCUCUAAUUCGUAACAAAAUUACAAGUUUCGACUUCUGUUUGUAUGUAAUCGUAAUUUUAUUGCUUGACAGGCCUGGGCUUUUACGAGCCCAGGAAGUGUAAUCGUAAUUUUAUUGUGCUGAAAAUUAUAUAAACGUUAAAUACGAAUUUAAUCAAACUAACAUGUCUUUACAACUCAGGCAACCUUACUAUUUUCUAAAGAUAUAAUUAAUUUUACUAAUAAAAUCAAAAUUAUUUUUAAACAACAAAGAAAGAAAUUAUAAUAACAAUAAAUUAAUUAUGGAAAAGUAAGUUUACAAUAAUACGAGUCAUCAUUCUUCAUUUUCUUUCUGUUUCUCUCAUAUUUUCUCUGCAUCCAAACACAAUAUUCUCAGUUCUUGACUUGGUAUCAGAUUUGCAGUUUAAUUGUCAUGGCUUCCUUCCUUAAGCACAAAUUCAAACACAAAUCAGUCUCCUUCAUUCUUUACCCUAACAAAUGCGAUCAAACUGGACAGAUCUAACUAUACGAUCUGGAAAUCUCAGAGCCUCUCUUCAGUGCGUGCCAAUGGACUUGAAGGCUUUCUUAAUGGAACUAAAAUUUGUCCAGAUCAGUUACUUACUCAAGAGAUUGAAAGUUAUGGUGUUGAAAAUGUUAUUGGUGAAAGCUCAGCUGAUAGAUCUCAGGAGAAUCCAGCCUUUGUUGCUUGGAAAAGGUAGGAUCAAUUGUUAUUAAGUUGGCUCAUGUCCUCGAUCAGUGUUGAGAUACUUAGUCUUGUGGUAAAUUCUUAUUCUUCUCAUAAACUUUGGACUAAUCUUGAAGAAAAUUUUUGGAUUAGAAACUAUGGCUAAGAAAGCACACUUAAAAAUGAUGUUAAACAAUCUCAGAAAGGGAUCAAUGACAAUAACUGAUUAUUUUGCCAAACUUAGAGGUGUAACUAAUAAACUUGCUCUAACUGGUAGCCCUGUUUCUACUCUAGACUUUAUUACUCAUCUAAUCUCUAGAUUAGGCCAGCCAUACUACCCUGUUGUUGUGUAUAUUGAAGCUAAUAUGAUGAAAAUAUUUGUCAAUGAAGUCUAUUCUAUGCUUUCAACUCAUGAAGCAAGAAUGAAAUUUAAUCAUCCGAGUGCAAAUAAAGAAGCAAAGUUGAAUUAUGCUGCUAACAUAGCUUAGGCUGGACCUAGUGAUAACAAUAAGAAGUCUAGUAAUCAAGCUAAUUACUAUCAGGGCAACCAAGGUAACUGGAAUAGAAAUGCUAAUUGGUGUGGUAACAAUGGAGGAAGAGGUGGCUUUGGCAGAGGUUUUUCAGGGCAAGGAAGGAGUAAUUAGAAUAAUGGUGGUCAUUGGAACAACGGACCUUGGAGUAGUAGUCGAGCAGGUUAUAAUUGUUCUGAUAUAAACAUUAUGACAUGGUUGCUGGUGAACCUGUAAACAUAACCACAAAAGUAAGAAGGCAUAAUCUUUUUAUAAGAAACUCAAAAAUGUAUUAAUGAUGAAAAUUUUAAAACAAAUAGUGGACCAGCUGGUCACUAAGAAAACAAAAAACUGAAUAUUUGUGCUAUAAAAAGGCACACCCAAUCUCACCCCUAUAAAAGGCAAGAAUCAGCUACAAAUCCCUAUCUCAAAACCCCAUCCCAGUUUAGAUGAAUGAAGAAAAAAGAUGAAUCUUGAAACUCCUUAGAAACUGAAGCCCAAAGUGAAGCAAGAAGAUGAACUCUAUCCCAAGCAAGCAAUAUGGCAUAUUUCUCCAUUAAUGGUUCAAAUAAAGUGAAUGGCUUUCUCUGAUGAAUGGGAAAUUGUCAAGAUCAAUAGUCAAACUCACGCAAAGUAAACGGACUUAAUUCUCAGAGGCUACUCAUUCUAAGUCUUAAAGAAAAAUUUUCUAAUUUCUAAAGAUUAUAUGGGGAAAAAUCAUUAUUUUCUAACAUGGAAAAUUUGAUACGGUGUUUAAUGUUUGAUCACAAUCAUAAUAUGAGUACUAACAAAAACAUCUUUAAUCGGCAUGGUGCGAGUAAAACACUAUCACUUCAUCUUUGAUGGAAAGAUGAUAAUAUAAGGAGAUGGUGAAAUGGUUUUGAUCUCUGGUAGCUUGUAAUUAAAAGAAAACAAAAAACUACACUAUUAUUAAUGAUUACCGAAGCUACAGAAGUAUCAAAAUCGGAAAGCAAACAAUUGCAAAACACAUCAAUGACUGAAGGUUAGGUUCUAAAACUUCCGUAUUUAAUUUUCAGAGCAUGUUAUGUAUUAUUCAGAAAUAUGAUUUCACUUCAGGCACUAGACCAAGACGCAUUAAACAUAAAACGCGGCGUUUUCAUGGACUAGUACAUUCCAUGCUUCGAAAGUUUAUGUUUUAGACUGAUUGGUUUGAUACAUUAUUUGUUUAUUGCGUUUUUCUUGCUUUAAAUAUUAUGUUGGAUUGAUAAGUUUUGUACACAUUUAUAUUGCUCGCAGUAAAUAAUUUAUGACAUUUAAAAAACUAUCAACCGUCUAUCAAAAGAUUUCUACUAUAAAUAUAUAUACAAAAAAAAACUUUUAAUUUGGUCAAUUUGUUCUCUUAUUUAUUUUUGUUCUAUUUCUCUUUUCCUUCCCUUUCAUUUUAUUGUUUUAUGGUACAAAAUAAAAAAAUAACCUUAAAAUUUAAGGGUAAAAUACUCAUUUUACUAAAAUUCCGUUUAAUAUUAUAAAGUUGUCAAAUGUCAAUGGCAUAGUACACGAGUGAUACAAAUUAAAAACAAUAAAUUAAAAGUUUUUAUGCAUUUUCCUUUUUUUUUUUAUAGUCGAUUGAGAUUUCCCUUCAUAUUUUAAAAUUCAAUAGGUUUAGACCGUUUAACAAAUCUUAAAUUAAAAAAACCCGCGGUGUAAUAACAAACUCACACCAAACCCUGUCCACUGUCAUCCCUAAUUAUAUUUACCACUUCAUACUCACAGUGAUAAUAACUGUGUAUCACAAUUGAUUUUGCAUACGGGUAAAAGUUCCAAGUCCGGAUAUUUAGUUAAUGAAAUUUGAUGAAAAGGGCAUGAAAGAAAAUAAGAAAUUAAAUAAUACAGGAGGUAUUAAUCAUUACAUAUUUAGUUAAUGAAAAUUGAUGAAAAUAUUUCUGCAGACGUGAGCCAUAAUUAUAUUACCGUUAAGAAUGAACCAGAAGAGUUUCCCCAAACAAGCUAAAACACAGCACUUCAAUUUAAAGAAUUUUUAUAUCACAGUACCGGGGCAAAAAGUUUAAUGCAACAACAUACAUUAAGUUAAUUCCAUAAUCUAUCCCCAAAGAAAGACAAACACAAGCUUAUAAGAUUAAAACUUUGGAAAACAUUAGAGUCGGACAAAAUUGUGUAAUCUUCAGAGUUUGGAGCCUAGUUCAUCCAGGAAAGCAAAAGAAAUAAUAAUAAUAAUAAUAGUGGUGGUUUGAUCUCAAAAGGUGGCAUCAAAGUGGUAACUUUGAGGUAUUGGAAGCAAUAACGUCUUCAACUUUGUCCUGAUUUCGAAGUCCCUUAACCCAUCCGCCAUCAGUGGAUUGAAUGCUUCCAUUCAACCCAUCAUCCACAAAAUCACCAACCCGUUUCACCUUCAUCUCCUUGGGCUUAACAGGGUACUUUCCAGAGAAGCAAGCAAAACAAAAAUUCUGAGAAUCAUCGCCUAACAACUAGUUCAAGCUGUCAAUCGGCAGAAAACAAGCGAAUCACACCCAAUAAACUCCCUGAUUUCCUCAACGCUCAUCCUGUUGGAAAUCAACUCCUCAGUACUUGGAGUGUCUACUCCAUAGUAACAAGAAGCUAUGAUUGGUGGGCUUGCAAUUCUCAUGUGAACCUCUUUAGCUCCAGCCUCCUUAAGCAACCUAAAAAUUUUUGAUGAAGUUGUUUCUCACACUAUCAAAUCAUCCACAACCACAACUCUCUUUCCCUCCAACCACAACCUUACAGGAGACAGCUUAAGCUUGACACCAAAGUCCCCAAUUUUCUGGGAAGGCUCAAUGAAAGUUCUCCCAACAUAAUGUGACCUUAUCAACCCUUGUUGAAAUGGCACCCCGGCUUUCGCAGCGUACUCAAGUGCAGCCACCACUCCAGAAUCUGGUACUGCAAUCACGACAUCACACUCAACAGGAGCCUCGGUAGCAAGUACUUCCCCAAAAUGAUACCUCGACUCAUAAACAGACCUUCCACAAACAACAGAAUUAGGCAAAGCAAAAUAAAUAUGCUCAAAGAUGCACUGCUUACGUUCAGGGUGAGGCAUCAAACAAGGUGAUUGAACCCCAUCUUUAUCAACCAUCAAAACUUCACUGGGAUAUACCUCUCUCUCUCUCUCUCGCCCCCUCUCUCUCCCUCUCUCUCCCUCUCUCUCCCUCUCUCUCGUAUGUGGCCUCAAUCAAAUAGUGCACAAGUCUCUGACGCAAAAACCAGAGCACCAUUACUCCUCCUACCCAUCACCAAUGGCAUAAACCCAUACGGGUCACGAACCGCAACAAGCUUAUCCUCAGUAACAAACACCAUUGAAUAAGCACCCUCAAGCUUCUCACAAACAUCCACAAUCCUCAAAAAGAACGGCCUAGCUUUUCGAUAUCGGAAUCAAAUGGAGAACAACCACAGUAUCAGAACUAGUAUUGAAAAUGGAUCCAUUAUCUUCAAGCUUAGCCCUCAAAGUAUUAUAAUUAACUAAUGUGCAACACCAACAGAACCAAACCUGUACCCAACAACAAAAGGCUGCACAUUCUUAAGCAUAGAACUACCCGCAGUCGAAUAUCUAACAUGACCAAUGGCCAUAUCACCCGGCAAUUGAUCAAGUUUAGACUGAUUAAACACAUCAGAGACUAAACCAACACCAGUAAUAGACUGAAGAACUUUGUUAUUCACAGCAACUAUACCUGCACCUUCUUGGCCGCGAUGCUGCAUCGCGUGUAGCGCCAAAUAGCAGAAACGCGAGGCCUCUGGGUCACCAUAGAUGCCCACAACACCACACUCCUCACGGGGCUUAUCGUCGUCAUCAUCAUCAAAACUGCCAAAACCGUCAUCUGGGUAUUCUUUAUUUGUGGUGAAAAACUCAGAGAUGGGGUUUUUUUAUAGAACAGUGAAGUUAUUUUUGUGGAUUAAAGAUUGUUGUUUCUGAGGAAAAAAAGGGUUUUUUUGCAGGGUUUUGGAGAAAAGAGAAAGAUGGGUUUUUUGCGACGGCUUAGGGUUAGCAGAGGGAGAUGGGUUUGAGAGAGGGCAGAUGUUGGCGGUGCCUGUUGUGGUGGCUGCCAUUAAUGGCUGAAUUUAUUUUAUUUUAUUUUAUUUUUUGGGUUGCCUUGCUCAAAGAAAAAACAGAGGAGGUGUGUGGAGGGAGACAGUGGCGAAGGGUACUUUAAGUAGAGGGGAUCUUGUUCUAGGUUUUUUCCUGGAAUUGUGAGGGAAUCUGAUCCUGUGUUUGUGCAUAUGAUUCAAUUACUUAUAGGUGAUACUGUUGUGUCACCACAAAUUCUAACUGGGAAGCUUCAGCUGUCAAUUUUUUUCCAAGGGUUAAUUAGGUAGAACUUUCAUGUCCUCGAUUUUAUUUGGAGAUUCUAAAAGUAGCUUCCAAAAUCAACAAUGUGACACAGAUGCUUUAGAUUUUUUUCCUUGUGGGACAUGAAAAUUGAUGCAUGAUCCAAUGCAUUGCUCUAUCAGAAUUGGAAUUAAACUUAGUUUGUAUUCUCCUAUUCCGAAAGCAAAACUUAUAAGUGAUAUUCUAAGAAGAAGAAAUUAAGAACCAUAACAAAUUUGAUGAUUCUAAUUUGCUAGAAAUAUUGCAAUCCAAAACUAAGAAAGUUCAAACCAAUUAUUAGAAGAAAAAAGUAGGACGGAAGCUCCCAGAAUAUUGUUAUGUGUUGUAUGUUUUAGUUUGUAUUUCCCAAUCAAUAAGAAAAAGUAAGUACACAUGUAACAAAAAUUUAAUAAAAAAGAUUGGAGGUGACAAAACCGUCAAUCUUCUAAUUAACUUUCUCUCCUUUCGAAUUUCCUGAGUUUGGUAGAGACUGCUUAAGUGGUAUAUCUAUUAUAAACACCUGAAGUCAAAGUUAAUAUUUUAAUUGUUAAGAAAAAUUAGAAGAAGAAAUUUUUGUAUAAGAGAAUUGGGUUUAAAUUUAGAAUUCCUUGGGAGGAAAUGAGUCUAAAUUCCAAUAAUAUAAUUAAACACUAUUUAUAUAUAUAUCAUUAGUUGGGUGAAAAUUUAAUUUCCAUCCUUUGAUGUGAAAAACUCUCUUGAUCGUCUAUUUUCAUAUGAUGGUAACUUUUUGUUUAAAGUGAAGUUAUUGGCACUCUUUCAUUAUGCUUAUAAAAUCCUACUUCAAAUAAAAUUACACUUAAAGACAAUAGAAUUAAAUAAUAUAAUUUUUCUUUAAAACAAAUUACUCAUCUAAUUUUCUAUAGGUUGCUUUGUAUCGAAUUAAAAAAAAAAUUGUACAAAUUUAAAAUAAUCUAUUAUUUUUUUCAAAUUUCUUAUUGAUUAAAUAUUUGUGUGCUUAAGAUAGCUUUAAAAUUAUAAGAUAUAAUAUAUAUAAUUUAAGCCAAUGAUUAACAUUCAAAAAUUUAUCUCUCAUAAAAGUUUUUAAUUUGUGCGUAGGGUAAUAAUAAAAUUGCAAAAGAAAUGAAAAAUAGCAUAGCACUAUUUUGAGUUUAAACAAUAAAAAAAUUAAAUGAAAAAUUAGAAAUGUAUUUAAAAAAGGAUAUUUUUGAAAAUAAAAUAAAUAUAAUUUAAAAAAAAAAGAGUUUCACGAGGGGUGCAAUAGUUCAACUCUUUUGUUUAUAAGUUUUAAUGUGUUGGUAUCCUUAGCUUAGCUUUUCCCUAAUUAUUAUAUUAAAAUGUAACAACAAUGAUGAUCAAACCUAAUUUCAUGGAGGUCAAAGAUUUUGGUCAUGCCGCAUUAAUUAGCUCGAUCAUACUUUCUACAAAUUUAUUUACAUUUAAUAAUUUGCCCAAGACUAGGUAAGGCGCCGCCUGGAGUCAUAGAAUUUUAUAUGUCAACAGUGCGUUUCACUUCAAUUAAGCCAUAAAUGUCGUUUAAUAUGCUCAUUUUGUAUUUUUUAAAAAAAAGUUUUAUUAAUUUUUUUUUGUUUUUAAAAAUAUUAUUUAUUUUUUUAUUUUUUUAAAGGUAAAGAAGUGGGUAAAGUUCAAAUUUAAUUUUUAUCCCUUACGUCAUGACCCCUCAGAUUUGAACUUAGGUAGCCAAACGUAUAAUAAUGAUAUCUCAAAUUUCAUUUCAAAUGAUAUGCAAUAUAUUAAGUCAUUGUUAAUCUUUAUAAGAUCCGAGUGAAUGAAUUGUGUUAUCUCACUAAUUAAUUGAUGAGUGUCAUAUCAUUUAUGAUAACUUUUGUAUAAAAAAAAUUGCGAUGGAUGAAAUAUCCUUUUGAGAAUUUAAUGGUUUAUCUCAUUUAUGAUUUAUUGUUGCAUUUAAUGAUAUUGCAAAUAAUUUUUCUGAUAAUAUUAUUGUUUUGACGAGUAAGUUUGGAGUAAAUAAUACAUAUGGCAAGUGUGAGGUUUGUUAUUGCAUUUAUUUUGUGGAUCUCUUUAAAAGCCAAAAAAAGGCAUUUCGAUUCAUUAUGAUUCCAGAUAAUUUCAAGCCAUGUCAUUAUUGGGAUAAAAAUAAAGUAAAAUGGUUAAAACUAUUUUUAUGUAAUUUAUAAAAAUUAAUGAAGCAACUACAAAAUUUUUUAAACGAAAAACAAUUGAAAUGUGUGUGGAAAAAGAAGAAAAAAAUAAGGCAUUUAAAUAUCUUCUUAAAAAAUACGAUUGAUUAAAAUUAUUUUAACCGAAUGCUCUUCCAAAUACAAUUCCACAUUUUUUUUAUUGCAGUGGGAUAUUCCAAAAUUGGCACAACUCAUUAAGAAUUCGGCAACUCAAAUUUUAUUUAUCUCUCUAUGCAUUUGACAAAUUAAAAAGAAAAAAAAUUCAUAUAUCUUCUGUUCAAAAUAAACCUUGGUAAAUAUUGUAAAACAAAUUACCAAUUUUUUUAAAUUUAUGCCAUUAUAUUGUCGCUAUUUUCUCGCCCACUUUCUUAAAAUAGAAUCGAUAUUUAUUGAUGGGUUGGGUUCCAGAGUAAGCACCAAUUCAGCAAAAUGGUUUUAUAGCAGAAAAAGCACUUGUAAGACAUUCAGAACACAUUUUUCAAUUUUGUCUUUUGAAAAUGAGUCUUGAGUUUCCGCAAGCCAAGAAGAAUGGCUAAAAAAUGUAUGGUAUCAAAGAAAGAGAAACACACACACACACAUAGAUUAGUGGGGAGAUAUAUGAGUGUGUAAUUUGUAUAUAUAUCCCAAUUAAUUGUUCAUAUAGAUUAUAUGAACAAUUAAUGUGUAUAUGCAAAAGGAAAAAAAAUUGGCUGUCCAUUAAGACAAAAUUGACUAUCACAUGAAAAUGUUAGCACACUUGCCACGCAACGAAAAUAAAGAUUCCAAGAACAACUUUAUGGUCCCCUUUCUGUCCAAACAUAGGCGAUAGAAAUUAGUGUAAACGACACUUGAAAUAUUUAUGUAGAUCCUCACACAAUUGAUUAAAUAUUUAUAGUAGGGUGGAGUGAUAAAUAGUUUCACAAAAUUAUUGGAAUUAACUAUUUAAUACAUGAGAUCUAUCUCAUUAAGUAUAAAAGAUUGAGUCAUGCUUCAAAAGCAUAACGCUGCUGGCAACAAAUUUAACACAAAAAUUUAAUUAACUAUCCUAGUUGAGAUAAUAAAAUCUUGUAUUGAAAACAAAAGGUUUGAGGUUCGAACCUUCUCAUUCAAGAAAAUCAAGUCAAAAUAUUACAUCUUCCAGCACAUAUUAAAGAUUUUUUCAAAGGCAGACUGAUAAUUCAGGGUAAAAAAGAAGAAAAAAAAAGAAAAGGAAUAUAUGCUAUUCAAGACAGGUAUGCCUUGUACAUGAAGUCCGAGUCCAGAACAAGAAGCACCUGGUUGAUCUUUCAAUUUCCAAAACCCAACAAAAUCUUUGUCAAAAUAUCUGAUCUAGUCCCAUAUUAAGCACAUUCAUAGCCAUAUCAACAGGUUCAAAAUAUUUUCCCCAAAAAGAGAUAGAGAUUCCAUUGAAGUUGAGUUGUGACUGUCCCAACGUUUUGUAAUUAUAUGGUUCAGGAUAUCAUGCCUAUGAAUCUUUUUUUUUUCUUUUUUUCCAUGUUUCGAAGUCUAUCAAAUGAAAAUGUAAUUAUAUGGUUCAGGAUCUCAAUAUGCCGCAGCUGCAAAGGUUGACUUCUACUAUCCAAUCAAUGUCUAUACUUUCUAUUGAAUUUCCUUGUUUUUUUUUAAAUUACGAGAUUUAUUUUUUAGAAAUCUUUGACACAUUUUAUGUAAGAUACCAUAAAACCAAAUACAACCUUUUUGAUUCUCAGCAACAACGUUUUUUUUUCCUUUUAAAAAAAGGAAGCCAUAUAAAUAAUGCUUUAAACAUUAUUUGCAACAAGGAACAAUUAUUUCAUGCUUUCAUGUAUUACAAACUUUCCAAAAACGCUAGCAAGAAAAUGAAAUGGAACUUUACCUAGUCACAUAAUAUAUACUGCUGUUAGCACAAUUGUUAUGAAGUGGCUUCUGCAUCCGAUGAUUCCAGCUCCCACCAAGCAUUGUUAUCUCUAUUCUAAAUACAAUCUGCAUCGCUGGGCAUGAGUUAUAUCAUUAAUGUCUGCAUCCUCACUUACAUCAUCCCAAUCAAGUGCUUUUUCUCCACAUCUGGAUUAUAAGUCCACUCCAAUCUCUUCAAAACAUCCCAGUCCUUCCAUCACAGCUGAUACGACUUCCUUCCUUAUUACUUCCCCAUUAAUAAAUCGCUCCAAGAAAAAAAAAAAAAGCAUUAGCAAUUCUCUUCAAUGCCCCAUCAUUCAUAUCCCCUACAACAACCAUCUUCAGACACCUCAACGUUGCCUCUUGAAAGACCUCCACAAAAUCCGAAUCAUCCGACACAACCACUAAACACCCAAACCUUCUUUUGUCCACCAUAUCCACCUUAUAAUUCCUUAACUAAACAUCGACAUCUUGUGGCUUAUCUAACACCUUCCUGACCCAAAACCAUGCUGUUUUCAACUCAUCUGCAAAAACAUAACCCGCUUUUGGAGUCAAAAUUGCACUUGCAGCCAUUUUAUAUUUUGCCAUCUUUAUUGAAUAGUUGCCAACCAAAAGCACUCUCACCUUCCCUCUAGCUGAUUCUAUUUGAUUCGACCUAUUCUUUUGUUCACCCUCAUGAAUUUGCCUAAAAUGAUUAACAAGUUUGUCAUUAUUAUAAAAUCUCCUUCCACAAUCACCUAUAUGGCUUAGUAGGCCUAAUUACACCCUUGAUUUCUAUUUGGUUAAACAAUUCUCUUUCUUUCUUUGCUCUCUUACAACUUGAGGCACAUAACUAAACGCGUGGCUAUUAGCAUUUGCCACCAUGUAUUUAACAACCCCAAAUGAAGAUAUUAAUUUUUUUAGUUUAAUUGCUGCUUCAAAAUGGGGUACUGCAUUUGGAUUUUGUUAUUCAAAUACCAAAAUGUUCCCACAUUGUGUUGGACAGUUUUUGGUUCUAAAGUUGAUGAUUGGUUUUGCCAAUCAGGCUUCAAAUGAGAACUUCUAAACAAUAAGACAAAUGGGUUUUUGAGUUUCUAAUUUUGUAAACUUUGUUCUAUUGUGUAAGUUAUGAAAUCGCUGAAACAUCACUACAGCUACAGGUCUUUAUGUGUCAAAGAACUGCAGAAGCUGAUGAUCUACCAGUAGUAGACUUCUAUUGCCCCUGCCGUUCUAGGAAGACAAACAAGUUCAGGAACUACUUCUGGACCAAACUCAUAAUAUUGCCACCGCUUUGUGCCAAUCUGAGACGGAAAGAAGAUUGAAGUUCCUAAAUAAGGCACAUCAUGAUUUAAUAGAAGCACCACUAUAAGGAAAAAUGGAUUUCAGGAAAGCACUAAAAUAUGACAUAAUCUCCCCCUAAUAGUCUAAAGUAUCAACCAAGCAAAAACACAUAAACUAGUUGAGAUACAAAGUUAUCAUAAAAGUCAGUUUUGAUCACAAAUCCAUUAAAAUUAAAAGACAUUAGAAAGUUAGAGAACAUUAUAAUUUAGGACUCAGCUAAGUUGCAGAUUCUGUAACUAACAGCUGAGUCCACAUUGGCCUUACAUCAGCUGAGUUUGGGUUGCUUUUCCUCUCUCCUGCAACGCGUACGUGGAAGCGCCCCAUUUGCUGUGUUCUAUACCGAGUUGGUACCGUAACAAGCUCCUAUAAUUUAAGUUUGAUUACUGUAGACAAUAGUCUGCCUCUGCUCAAAAGCUAUGCUGCAAGAUAUAACAUCUUUACUUUCUAAAAGUAAUAAGAAAUGAAACCAAGGGGUAAAUCGAACACCAAAAGAAAUUUAGUCGGCCAACCACAUUAUGUUCCCACACAAUCCACUAAUUAAGUUAAUAAUUAAAGGGAAUCAAAAUCUAAGAAAUCUCAUCUUCAAGCAGAAUACAAACACGCCGCGAUUGAAAAUCACAAAAUCAUAAAAAGAAGCUGACUUGAAAAGGGGUGGGCCGCCUCAUUUGCCCACCAACCACACCACACACACAAACACUCCAACACACACACAAGCUCUCUAGCUUUUGUAAAAAACUCUCUUUAAUAUUCUCUCUUUGUGAGUAAUAAAAUCAUAUUCAGCCAUAUUGCUCUACUUCUCUCUAGCAUUUUCCUAGAGUGUUCUUACUUCGCUAGUUUGAGGAGUGGUCUAGGCUUACUUAGCAACUUGUUUGCUACAAGGACAUCUUGGUCACAAAACAUGGACAUGCAAGGAAAAAAAAAUAUUGAUACGUUCUAAAAAUAAUACGCAUUCUUCUAUCGUGAACCAAAAAAAUUUAGGCUAAUGGUAGCAAGUGAAGGAAUUGUGAUUUCACGUGCAUUUUGUUGACAUGAAGGUAAAGAGCUUUUUUAUAGUUUAUAUUGUUUAAUAUAACAUUUGAAUUGCAAAAUAGGGGUACAAAAUAGAUACACGAAGGGAUAAAACUAAGUUGAUUAUGAUAAAUAUUGAAUUAUAAGAUUUAGGUUUAAUCAUAAAGACAUAAGUGGCCCAAGUCACGAAUUGAUAUCAUCCAUGAUGCAAGUUCAAACAACUGCAUAAUAAGUUGCCCUAAGCUAAACUAUUAAUCUAGUAACUAUUCCAGUCGAUGUGGGAUAAUUUUCCUAUCACCAUUUAUCACGUGCAAGCCGAAUUUGUUGCUUGGUUCUUACAUGUGGUAAGAUAAUAUGAAUCCACUUGUGCAUAAAUUUUGCUCCGAUAUUAUAUAGAAGCUUAUGACCCAAAAUUAUACUUAAAGGUGAUUUCAAGAUUUCAAGGUUGCCUCAAGCUAAUAUUAUUAUUAGCCUGGUAACCCUUUUUUUUUUGUUGAUAUGUGAUAUUUUCCCUAUAACUUUUAUUAAUCUUUAUGCUUAUGUUUUGUCAUUUAUCCCAAAAAUAUAACAUUAACAAAAGUUCCAAAAUUUCCUUCAAGAGAUAUAUUUGAGACAAGUAAUUUGUGCAAUAACUUUGUGAAUUGAUGAGCAAAUUCAGAGAAAAGAAUAUAUGUGCCAAACGUAAAGUUUAUUAUUGUGUUUAUUUGUAGAGCUAUUUAAAGCCCAGAAAAAAAAAAGCACCAGUCCGCUAUGAUUUCAAAUAAGUUCAAGCCCUAUGUCAUUAUUGGUACAAAAAUGUAUCAGAAAGGUUAAAAACUAUUUUUAUUUAACUUAUAAACUUAGGAAAUUAUCAACUGCUCAGCCUUAAAUUGUGCUAUUAUAAAAAAUAUUACAAUAUUUUCAGGUUGUAUCAUUCAUCUACCAUAAAAUUAUAAUUGCAUCAUUUAUCCACCAAAUCAUUAACUUCGUUAAAAAGUGAUAGAUGUUACAAGGGUAAUUUAGACAUUUAACACACAAAAAAAAUAAAAGAGAAAUUAUCUAAGCUUACCAUGUUAUCAAAAUUGCUACAAAAUUUUAAAUUUGUUCAAUUUUUCAAUCUAAGUUUAUGACCUCCAAGAUUUUAAUUGCAAUUUGUAAUUAAUGAGUUCAUAAGGAUAAUUUAGACACUCAAUAUGCAAAAUAAAAAAAGAAAAGUAUCAUUUGUAUACCUUAAAAUUUGCUGUAUCAAUCGUCCACCUUAAAUUGAAAAAAGUUAUCUACCGACCACUAAACCAUUAGUUACCGUUUGAAAGUUAACGGAACUGUAGCGAAUUGACGAUUUUACCCUUGAAAUCUCAAAAAAAAAACUCUUAUUAUCAAUUAUAUACCCUUAAAUUAUUACUAGUAUCUAUGAAAAGACUAUAUUACCCCUUUGACGUCAUCAUGUUUAAACGGCAACUAACGCUUUGGUGGACGACAGAUACAUUUUGUCAAUUUAGGAUGGACGACUGAUAUACCCUGAAAGUGUUGUAGUAAAUUUGAUAACGGAGUAAACUAAGGGUAUACAAAUAAUAAUUUCCUAAUAAAAAAAUAAAAUAAUGGUUUAAAACAUUAAAACAAAAAACUUGAUAUUCAAUUAAAUACACAUAAACUCUAUUUUUUUCUUAAUUAAAAAUAUUCUAAUUUAUUUUCUCAAUUUAUCAUCAUAAAUUUACAUUAAUAAACUAAAUCCACAAAUUACCCUAAACCCUAAUUCAUAAAUGCCCAAUCAAUCUAAUAGUUUAAUUAGAUUUCAUAAUUAAAAAGCUAAAUUUAUUAUAUUGGUUAUGGUGCAAAGUCAAAAAUGCCCUUAAAUUCAAGGGUAAAAUAACAUUUUAUUUAAAGUCUAUAAAUGAUUCUAACAAUGUUAACAUUUUGGUGGGCGGUUAAUAUAAGUUACAAACUUAAAAUAGAAAAUCAAAUAAAUUCAAAAUUUCAAACUAUUUAGGGCAAAUUUAGGAUAUAUGGUUAAUAAUUUUCCCAUGUCUUUUUACAUUGGUUGAUAUAAGUUACAAACUUAAAAUAGAAAAUCAAAUAAAUUUAUAUUUUCAAACUAUUUAGGGAAAACUUAGGGUAUAUGGUUAAUAAUUUUCCGUUGUCUUUUUACGUUAAAUUGAGUUUCAAAGGUAAAAUGGUCAAUUUAUUAUAAUUCUGUUAAUUUUUUAGUGGAAGCAAACGAUAUAAUGGACGAAUGAUAUAAAUUGUAAAAUUAAGGUGUAUGAAUGAUACAACUUUAAAGUAUUAUAGUAAUUUUAAUAAUAGAACAAUUUAAGGGUGGAUUGGCAAUAAUUUAAACUUUAAUGAAGCAACCAAAAAAUUUUUUUAACAAAAGAAAAAUAAUUGAAAUGCUUUAAGAAAAAUAAAGGAAAUUAAAUAUCUUUAUAAAAAUAUAAUUGAGUAAAAUCAUUUUACAAAAUACUCUUUCAAAUGCACAUUCCACAAGCCAGGGAGAACGGGUGACUAACAAAAAUCUCACUUUUUAUGAGUUUAUAAAAUCUCACUUUCGCAGAAACAAAAAAUAAAAAUUAUUGCUGUCACGACAUUACGCACUUUCUUUGCCAUCUAGAAAGGUAGAACAUUUUGAAGUUCCUCAAUACAAAAUGCGUGCUACUACUAAAUUGGCACAAUUAAUGCCCAUCGAAAAGGCCAUCAAUUUAGCCAUCAAUUUUGUCAAAAUUUCAACAAUUGAAGAAACAAUGAUCACAAACGGAAUAGGUAAAUUUUGAAGUUGAAUAAAUCUUGAGAUGCAUACAACAAAGCCUUGAAACUUUAUUCUUCACAAUUUGAGCACGCACUGAAUAUUAAAGCAAAUAUAUAUGAAAAAAAAAUCAUAAAGCUACCAAAAGGAACCACAAAAUCAUCAAUAUUAUCGUUUAAUAUGGAGAACGGCCUGCGCAUCCAAAUUGUGCGAACUGAACACGCUGAAAUGUGUGUUUUGUUUUUUGGAUUUUUGGAAUUUUUUAAAAAUCAUUUAUGUUCGCCGCCAUCUUUUUCUUCACUGGCGUCUUCCUCUCUUGGCUGGCAUCUGCCUCGUCUGCAGUUUGCUGUGCCUAUUUAUCCAACCAAUAAAUUGGGCAUUAAAUACGAAUGAAUGAUGAAUAAAAUGAUAAAAAAAAAACAAACAGAGAAAAUUAUAAUAUAACACAUAUUUAUUGAAAGAGAAAUUUUGAUUUUAGGAUAGAUCAAUUAGCUAUCUCAAACGAAAACAUGAACCAACUAUGUAUAGAGUCAAUUAAUUUAAAGUUCUCAAGAAUUACCUCUGCUCCAGAAUUCUCGGAAUCAUCUUCUCCUUAUGAAUUUCCACGAAACUUGGGACAAUUAUUAACACCUCUUCUAAAGUAUGCAGAUGGAAAUGGGAUCUGAUAACCCGCAGGCCAAAAGUUGGUGAGGUUUGGUAAGUCUUCCAGUCUCAAGUCCCAAAGUUCAUUCAUAACAAUUUCAUUGUAAUCCGUGACGUCUGCUCCAUCUUUAUGCCAGAAUACUUCUUCUAAUUCAUCAUUACCUACUAUGGAUAGGCGCGACAGUUUUUGAAGACUUGGAGCUACGCUGAUAUGAAAUAGAUGCUUUAGUUUGGGGCAAUAAUAGACAGAGAUCCUUGUGAGUUUUGGGAAACAUACAGGUUGGAGAUGAUCCUCAUCCUCAUCCUCAUCAAUGAUUUGCUCUAAUUCCAAGCAAUUCGAAACAGAUAACUCCUCCAAUUGCAACAGAUUUCGAGCAAAUGUUGAUGAGAAGAGACGUCUCAGCAUAGUGCACCCGUCCACUGUUAAAUAGGUAAGACUUUGCAGGCUAAAAUUAUGAGUGGGACCUUCAUGAUAUAAUAAUAAUUGCAGGUCUCCCAGAUUGUGCAAGGUCAAUGUCUUCAAACGUGGGAAUAGUUUGUUUUCUUGUCCCUCAGCGAUAAUAGCUUCCACUUGAAAUACCACCUGUACUCCAAGUUCUCCAAUACCCAAUAUUUCCAAAUUUUUUAAUCCGUGCUUCAACAGUGCUGGAAUCGUGUGACGCAAAUGGGAGCAACUUUCCACACCUAGAGUAUUUAAGUUCUGAGACAAAUAAAUAAAUAACUUGAUGUAAUUAAAAUUUGUUAGCAGCUAGGAUUAUCACAUGAUAAGUGAUGAACACCGCAAAAAACAAAAACAGAAAACAAAAUCCAUACAAAAAUAUCAUAAUACAUAUGUAAACUAAUAAAAUAAUUAAAAAGUAAUGGAUUUAAAAAAAAUGAAAUUAGUUAAAAGAGAUCAUGUGAAGUGAUAUAAAUGUGACAUUAGAUUGUUUUAGAAAAAUUAUUAUUCUAUUAAUUUAUAUGGCUUGAUCAGCUAAUUAAUUGAAUUUGAAUAAUAUUAUACACACUUCAGAAGUAUUUGCAUCAAUUCUUUCUAAACCAAAAUGAAAUCUGAUAAAAUAAUUAUUAUCAUUACCACAUCCACCACCACCAUCAUCAUCUCCAUAGGAUCAAAUAAUUAAUGGCUGAUCAUAAAGUUUAUUGCUAAACUAUCAUUUUGAGUAAAAUUGAAUGAAAAGAAAAAACAUGAACCCAAACAAACAUACAUUUUCAAGAUACUGCAAAUUGGCUUCAAGUUCAUUAUUGUUGAUGAUCAAGUUGGGACAAUAAUCAAGGAUUAGCUCUUCCAAUGCUGUCCAAAUUGAACAAUAGUUUUCUGAACAGAAGCUGACGAGUUCUGGGAGUUCUUGAAGUGUUAAUCUUCUCAACAAGGGGAGGGCGAGCAUCGUAUUUCCACCUUCGACACUUAUUUCCCCUUCAUUGUGAUCAAACUUUGCUUCGACAAUACAUUCCAGUCUCUCGCAAUGGCUUACACAGAGACUUUUAAGCUGCUCCAAACUUCGGGCUUGUGACAACGUGAAGAUGUAUGUCAACUUGUUGCACGAAUGCACAUUCAAUUCUGCAAGAGUUUGGAGACUGAUCACAUGUUGGGCGAGUGCCUUCCAUAUCCACUUCAGUUCUGGUAAGCCCCACAUAGAUAACUUUGCUAAUCUUGAGAGACUCUUUCCAUGCGGCGACUUGGAGGCAUCCAUUAUGCAUUCUAAAUCUUCGCAACCGUGGACAUCAAGACAAGUCAACUCAUUUAAGCCCAUUUCAUCUAUGCUUGGCACAAUAUUGUAACAACCUAUAAUCCCACUUAAACAAAGAAUUUCCAGUUCUUGAUACAAAGCCGAAAAAAUACCGAGCGAGGUCGCUUCAGGAGGGUCGUUACUAAUCAUUAAGAUCCUUGCCUUAUCAAAAUGACGUACCUUUGCAAUUUCGGGAAUGUAAAGUCUUUUGGAAGACAUACAACAGAUCCGUCGACUUGGGAGUUCAACUCAGCAAGCCUAGCAUUACUUUCUUCUGAACUCAUCCCUUCAACCUCCCAAUUUUUUAUCCGACCAUAAAAUUCUUCUAAUUGAGGAAUUUUUUUUAUCGUAAUAGGAGAAACAGAACUGAUAUCAAUAUAUAGAAGUUUCAAUCUACUAAGUUCAUUCCUCAAUUCUUCUGGAAUUUUAAUGAGAGACUUCUUGAGAAAAAGAAUUUGAAGCCUCUUCAACUUUCCAAGGAAAGAUGCAUCACUCACCUUACAUCGAAUCAACUGCAGAACCUGGAGGUUGGUGAGGCUCUGAAGCGAUUUAAGUGAAAGAACUCCACCUAUUAUAGUGACAACUUUCAAUGCUGGCAUCCCUUUAAAAAAAUGUUCUGGAAUUUGCAAUUCGUAAUUAUAUACGGUGUUCUCCAAUCGCAGAAUAUGAAGGUUAGGGCAUACCAAACUACUAGGAAGCUCUUCUUCUUUAUUUCCCAUUACAGAGAUUCCUUUGCACUGUUCCAGGCCUUUUUCCACCGCCCGUUCCAGCAAUCUGAUGCCAUUUAUACUAAACAAUCUCUCCUCCUUCUCCUUCUUCUCUGUGCUUAUCCAUAUGGCUACAUCACGAACUAUGUCAUGCAUUUUCACAGAUAUGUCAUUACCAGUGUCUAACAGUAGUGAAGCAGCUUUGAGUCCGUCAAUUGUUCCAUGCAGUAGGCUUCUGGUGUUCUCUAUUGACUCAGCUUGAUACCAAGUCAACCCUACUGCAUAUCCAACCAAAUCCUCCAAAUUAAUCUCAUAAUAUUCUGGAAAUAGCGAACACAACAAGAAGCAUAACUUGGAAUUGUCAUCAUUCAAUUUGUCGUAACUAAAUUUGAGACAACCGUAAACGUCUAGGUUCUCCUCAUCAAUACCUUCUAUUGCAUAGAGUUUUGCAGCCUUUAGGUUAUAUAGAGCCAGGUUCCAUUCAUUAAGGUAGCGUUUACUUUUUGGAUUGGAUUGAGAAUCUUGGGGAGUGGGAAUCCUAAGAUUGGGAGUGUGGAGUGGGAGUGGGAGUAGGUUGUUUACUUACACUAGAAUGGAAGCAUGGAAUGGAGAUCAGAAUUCAAUUUAUGUGUUUACUUUGUCUUGGAUUGGGAGUAAAUAGUUUCAAAUUAUAAUUUUAUCCUUAUUUAAAGAAUUAUAAUUUUUAAUUACAAAACUAAUAAAAAAUAUAUUUAAUGAAUAAUAUUUAUUUUAUUAUAUUUGUAAAUUUAUUAUAAUUAUUAAUAUUCUUAAUUAUGAACAAUAAAUUAUUAAUUGUAAUUUUAAUAUAAAAUGAAAUGUUAUUUUAUUUUAUUUAAUAUAAUUAUAUUAAAUUUAUUAUUAUAUAAAAUAAUAAUAUUAUAUUAUUUAGUACAAAAUUAAUAUUUUCUUAGAAUAAAGUAUUUAUUAUUAUUAUUAAAUAAAUAUAGUACUAUUAUUUUUAAAAUAAAUAUAAUAAUAUUAUAUUUAUUAAUUCUCUAUUAAUAUAAUAAUAUUAUUUUAAAAUAAUUUUAACUUAGAAUCAAUGUAAAUUAUUAUUGAGUUAAAUAUAAUAUUAUUAUUUAAAUAAAUAUAAUAUUAUUUAUUUUAUUUUAUUAAUUAUAAAACAUAAAAUAAAAAAAAGAGUAGAAAUGGGAGAGGUGGGAGUGGAUUCCCACUCCCACCUCCCCCAAUGGGAGUCCCACUCCCACUCCCCACUCCAAAAAUGGAUGGGGCCCACGGAGUGGGACUUCCAAUCCCUCUCCAUUUUAAGUAAGCAAACGCUGGAGUGGGAGGAAUCCACACUCCUCACUCCCACUCCAACAAGUAAACACAACAUUAAAUCCUUUUCCUCUUAGUGCACUUCCAACAGCUUCAAUAGCUAAAGGUAGCCCGUUACAUUCUCCAGCAACUUCUUUGGAAACAUCAUUCAAGGUGGAGUCAUUUACAUCAAUGCCGGCAUUUUUUCGCAGUAAAGCCAAUCCUUCUUCUGGCGUUAGUGUACUAAGUGGAAUCUGUGUGUCACAACCCAAAGAAUCACAAACUGACUUUUUGCGAGUGGUUAGAAGGAUUUUGCAACAAUUAUCUCUACCACCAACGGGAAUACGUAAUUUUUUCUCCAAGUCGAGUUGUUUCCAAACAUCAUCAAGGAUUACGAGGAUUUUGUUGCUUUUACUCUCAGAAAAUAUCAAGCGCAA
rnacentral:lncRNA from 1 species